rnacentral:lncRNA from 1 species
GUAAUUUUUGUGUUUCUAAGACUUUUACAACUAGGUCCUACUAUUAAAUUCAUUAGUUUUUGAUUUCAUGGAUGAAACUGAAAGUCACCAUGGUUGAGUGCUGUAAGUUUAUGAUGAAAUAGAAUGAAAUUGAAGCUUUAAUUUGUUUAUGAGAUGAUUUUAUUAGGUAAUUUCAAUAGAAAUUGAUUUUUAGGACCUAAUUGUGAAAAUAUUUAGAAUUAAAGUCUAUUGCUGAAAUUCUAAUUCCUAAAGGUUAUAAAGUAGUUUAAAGUGAUAGAAUAAAGUGUUAAUUGAUAAAAAUCAGCUCAAUUGAAAGGCUAAUUGAGUAGGGAUGAAAUUAUUAUUUAUUAAAAGCUUAGGGGGUAUUACAUACGCCCAAACGUAUCGUUCUCUUUAGACUUCAGUCGAAUCCUCAUCCAGCCCCUCUUUUAAUAUCGAAGCCAUUUCGAUCCAACCUCGUAAAUCAUCUCUAGAGCCGAACCCAAAAGAUCACCGCAUACGACUCCUCAAUCAAUAGACUGAAUAAGCUUGGUGACUACCGACCCGUCCACGGGUAACCCCAUGUAACGCCCCAAAAAUCCUGAACUUUUUUUUUAGUUUUAAUAAAAGGUGUGCUUAAUAUUCCUAGUCAAGUGUUAUUUAUAUGAUAAUGGGCCUUGGUUAAGUUUUGAGUUCAAACUUUGGGGUGAAGGAAAUUAUAGUUUAAUAAUUAAAAGAACCUUGAUGGCAAGUAGUUUGGUUUUAAAAUAAAUAAAGGAAGAAUUUGACACAAGGAGUGUAACAGCCCGAUUUAAGGCCAAAAUGAAAUAGUGGUUUCGAAACCACGAAUCCGAGGUUAAAAAAAAUUAUUUUGAUUUAGUUUUAGUGUUUAUAUUAUGAUUGCAUAAUUGUGUGAAAAUUUCGUUGCGAAAUUUUAUCGAUUGGGUGUUUAAUUUGACGUUUAGGACUAAAUUGAAAUAGGUGAAAAAUGUGUAUAUUCUAGUUCAUAAAGUACUUGAUUGAAAUGGGGGUUUUAAUUAGACCAUUAUACUUUAUAUGGAGAAAAAUUUGGACAUGGAUGGAAUUUUUAGAAAGUUUAGUAGUAAGGGCAUUUUGGUCAUUUGUAUAUUAAAUGAAAUAAAAUGGGGAAAAUAACACAAAAAUGUGUUCAUCUUCAUUUAAGCUUGGCCGAAACUUACAUGUUCUCCAUAGCUAGGGUUUUUCCAAGCUUUCAAGCUCAAUAGUAAGUGCAUUCAAGCCCUGUUUUUAAUGUUCUUUACAUUUUUGAAAUCCUCGUAGCUCGGUCUACCUAUUUCUACCAUUAUUUCGAGUUAGGGUUUAUGUUUAAAAAUUUAUCCAUGAAUGAUAUGCAUGUAUUUUGAUGUUUGAUGGUAGAAUAUGAAUGUUUGAAGUUAGGAGAACAAUCUUUUCUAAGCAAUUUUUAGCAAAAACGAGCAAAACGGCAUAAUCGAUAAAAAUACCUAUUGUUCAUAACUAUGUAUUAGAGUAAGAAUUUGAUGUUGUCAUAGAAGAGAAAAUGUUCAGCAUGUCAUAAAACAUAAGAAUAAGGGCUGAAAUUAAAUUUCUGAUACUAGGGGCAAAAUCGUAAUUUUGAAAAAGUUAGGGGGCAAAAAUAUAAUUUUUUCAUAAUGUGAUUUUUGGAUUGAAAUAAAUAUUAUGAGUGUUAAAUAAGCUAAAUGUGUUGUUAUAGAUCAAGAACGGCAUGGAAUCGACCUCGAACGGGGGAAAGAAAAGAUUUUGGAUUAAAUUGUAAAAUUCUCAUAUUUUGCACCAAGGUAAGUUUGUAUGUAAAUAAUACAUUAACUUCAUUUACAUUCUUAUAUUUUAGCCUAUUAUAUAUAUUUUAGCUGAUUUUGAAGCAUAAAUCGACUAUUGAAAGAAUGGAAAUAAGUAAUAGAGAGAGAAAUCCCGAUUGAACAUUCGGAAAGAUUGAAUAAUAUAGAUGGAAUGUAGCUAGGUCACAUGUAUGGUGUUGAGUGCACAUCAUGUGUACAAGAGAGCUACGAGAUACUAUGUAGUAGCGAGGUCACAUGUGUGAUACGGGAUGUAUCCCAUGUAGACAAGAGAGCUACGGGAGAGAUAAAUGUAGCUAGGUCGCAUGUGUGAUCCCAAGUGAAGGACACCAUGUAGACAAGAGAGCUACGAGAUAAAUUGGCUAGGUCAGAUGGGUGGUACUAAGUGUUCACCAUGUGUACAAGAGAGCCGAAUUAUAUGAAAUAUGAUGGGUGGAGCUGUGUGCUGAAACCACGAAGUAUCGAGAAUUGAUCCGAAGUGUUCAACGGGAUGAUUUUACGGUGACAUUGUAACCAUGGACCUAUACUUGUGAUGUAUGAAAUGUGGUGAAAAUGAAUUGUGAUAUGUAUGCUAAAUGAGGUUAAUACAAAGAAAGUGUGAAAGAGUGAAUUUACAAUAAUACUGUUUUGGACAGUCGCAGUGUCGAGAAUUUGAAAAAUCACCAAAAAUAUUAGGAAUUUAAUUAGAGGCUGAAUGAGAUAUUAAAUUAAAUCUUAAUGAGUCUAUUCUCAUGUAAGAGAAACACAGCAAGUAAAGGAACUCUAUAUUUUGAGAUAUUUAUAUUUGUGUGUGACUUGUUCAGAAUGACUAUGUGAUCCCCUGUUCUGACUUUCAUAAAUCAUUAAAAAUUGUAAAAAAAUAAUUAAGAAAUAUAGUUUAUAUUCCUAAAUUCCUUAUUGAGUCUAGUUUUAAAUAAAAUAAAUUUCAUGGCUAUUUGAAUUUUUUACUAAGAGAAAAUCAAUUCGUAGUGAAUAGAGGUCAGAUCUAUCGAGCUGUAUAAUAGGGGAAACUUUAACUAAUAAAAUGUACUAAUUGGCUGACUAAAAAUUCUAGAAAAAUUUUAGUAAAACUUAAUAUGAGUCUAGUUUCAGGAAAAUUUUAAGGAUUUGAAUUUCGAGUUUUGUAACUCGAGUUAUGAUUUAUUUAGUGAACAUGACGCAAAAGAGACAUGUAACACCCCGAACCCGAAACCGACACCGGAGUCGAACACGAGGUGUUAACUGACUUUAACCCCUUAUAAAAUUUAUUUUCCAGACACUGCCCAAUCUGUGUACUAGUCGUUUUAAAAAUCAUAUCUUGAGUUUCGUAACUCGAAAAUCAGUUUCGUAAUUUUUCCCAGAAACUAGACUCAUGUGGCCAUCUAUUUAUUUUUUUCUAGAAUUUUUGGUCGGGCCAAUUAGUACAGUUUAUUAGUCAAAGUCUCCCAUGUUGCAGGGGUCGACUACACUGACCUUUGCCCAUUACGACUUGGAUAUCUCCCUGCACAGGUCUUCAAUACUGAUGCCGUUUGUUUCUAUGAAAACUAGACUCAGAUAGGAAUCUAUACAUAUAUGGUACGACCCCUAAUUAUCUCUGGUUAAUUUAUAAUGAAUUUCCAAAGUCGGAGCAGGGAAUCCAGAAACCGUUCUGGCCCUGUCCCACAAAAAUCUGAUUAUCUCUUAAUAUACUGCCCAUAUGAUCUUUUCGUUAAUUCCUCAUGAAAACAGACUCAUCGAGCUUAGAUUACAUAAUUUAUUCAUCAAUUAAUUCCACUCCUACUAUUUUUAGUGAUUUUUCAAUCUCAUGACACUGCUGCUGCCAGCAUCUGUUACGAAAGUAACUAGGUACAUUUCAUGCCUACCCUUGAUCCAACUCAAUCGAACAUUCGUGCCAUUUUCGCAUGGCUUAAAGUUUACAUGCCAAAGUUCAAACACAACGUAAUAGCUUAUACAUGCCAAAAUGUUCUUCUAAGCCAACUAAGAAGAAAGUACCAAAACUUGCUAUCCGGUGUGAUGACUUCGAUGACGGCCUGACCCCGCAAAAAUAGAUGAGUCCAAGCAACCUAUAAUGGGUGACAAGGAAACACCGAGUGAGUUUAUAACUCAGUAAGUCAUAAGCUAUGCACUACCAUCCAUCAAUAACAUUAUCACAAGAGAAAACAAAAUGGAACGAGGCUAAUUACUCCAUCCAUUCCGAACCAUACCAUAGUUCCUCCAACCUAUCGAUUCAAUUUCAUAUCAAUUCAUGCAUUCACAUUUCAUAUACUCAUCAAUAGGACAUUGAAGCAUUUUCAUAAAUCAAUUUAUUUUCGUUACAAUCAAACGACUAAACGGCCUUUCACCCAUCCUACGAUAAAUUUUAUGUACGUGACUUCAAGUAUGGUUGUCACAUAGGUUCAAACUUACCGAGCUCAACACCAAGUAUAAGCAUAGCACCUAUUAGCCAUGUACUCAAGACACUUACCCGAUCCGCUGUCCGCGAUCGACUCAAUAGUGUCGCACACAUAGUGUCCAUAAUGAUUCACGAAUGCAUAUUGAGUCCGCACACUCAGUGCUAUAUAAUCAACUCGCACACUUAGUGCUACGUAAUCAAAUCGCACACUUAGUGCUACAUAGUCAAACUCGCACACUUAGUGCCGCAUGGUCAAUUCGCACACUUAGUGCAUCAUAUUCAUUUCGCACACUUAGUGCAACAUAGUCAAAUCGCACACUUAGUGCUGUACAAUUUAAUCCCGCGCACUUAGCGCCAAUCUCAUGGUCAUAAAUGGUUAUACCCGCACGUUUAGUGCCGAGAUCAACAACUCAGUACAUCUUACCUCUUUUCUUUUCAUUCAACAAUUUCAUCAUCACAUACGUACAUGCAUAUAUAUAUAUAUGUAUAUUUAUUCAUUCCAUUCAGCAUCAAUACAUAAACAUUAUGACCAUUUGAAAUAAUACCAACUACAUGCUUAAUGACUUACCUUGUGUUGGGUAAGACGGUUCCAACUCGACUACUCAGUGAUCUUUUCUUUGCCUUUAUCGGAUCUAGUUCCCUUUUGCUCUUGAGCUUAAGUUCAACAAAAUUUAAAAUAGUCAUUAAUCGACUAUUCAAGUAUUACUUUCAGAAUAAUAUAUAUAUUGAUUUGACCUUCACACACAUAGAUUAUAGUAAGCUUUAUAAUAGUCAAUAAAUAACUCAUUGGCAAAUUUUCAUUAAUGUUUACAACAAAAUCACAUAUUCACUACGAGCUGUUUUCCUGAGCAGUAGUCGCUAAAUUGUUUAUAACUGGAGCUACAAAACUCCAAAUCACUAGAAGUUAAUUUUCCCUGAAUAUAGACUCGUAUAUCUUCCAUCCAUAAAAUUUUCAGAAUUUUUGGCUUGGCCAAUCAAUACCAGAUUUUUCUUAAAGUUUCCCCUGUUUCACUGUUUGACUAUUCUGACCACUCUUCACUACGAAUCAAAUUUCUCAUUUUACAGAAUUCAAAAUGUGUUGUAUUUGAUCUCAUUUGAAACUAGACUCAUUAAGGAGUCUAAGAAUAUAAAUUUUAUCUUAUAAUCAUUUUUGUACAAUUUAUAAUGAUUUCCUAAAAACAGAACAGGGAAUCUAGUAGUCAUUUUGACUCAGCCCCACAAUACUUCAAAUAUCUCAAGAUCGGUAACUCUUUUGUUUUUAUAGUUUCUUUUGUAAGAAAAUAGACUCUUCAAGCUUUAAUGGCAUAAUUCACUCAGCUUCUAAUUCAACUCCUACAAAUUAUGGCGAUUUUCCAAAAUCACCUUACUGCUGCUGUCCCCAAACAGAUUAUUACCAAAUCAAAUACUAACAUUAGCAUUUCACCUUAAUAGCUAGCUUACCAAGCCUUAAUUUAACAUAUUAAUCUUUAACAUAUCUUUCACUUUUCAUCAACAACUAUCAAAAAGCUCAAGCACUCAUCAAUGGCAAAACACAAAAUCAUCAUCAAUCCACAAAAUUGAACCAUGGGUUUUUAGAACUCAAGUCAACUACUAAAACAUGCAUGCAUCUCAAGAACAACAUCAAACAUACCUUAGUCUAGCAAACCACCAUAGCCGAUUUUCUCAAGCUCUUCCCCUUCCUUUCUUUCCUCUAUUCGGCCAAAGGUGUUCAAGAAUGAACACAUUUUUUUUUUGUUUUCUUUCCUCAACUCACGGCAACAAGGGGGGGUAUGGAUGAGACCAUUUUUUUUUUCAUCACCCUUCCUUUUCAUUGUUUAAUUACCAUGCUCUUUAUUUUAUUUUUCUUAGCAUACAUCACUAGCAUAACAUGUUGGUGACAUGUUUCCACCCAUAGCAUGGCCAGCCACUAUGCUUUAAUUUGGCUAAUUUGACAUGCAAGGACAAACACUUUCCCACAUAUAUUAAUGGGCCACUUGAACACUUGCCUAGCAUAUUUCUAAAUUGUCUCACAUAAGUCCCUACUAAUAAAUUCCACAUACACUGACCAAAUUAAAGUAUGGAACUAUCACACAAGCAUUUACGCACAUCAUAAACACAGAAUAUAAUCUUUAAUUAUUUAUAAGACUCGGUUUUGUGGUCCCGAAACCACUUCCCGACUAGGGUCAAUUUUGGGCUGUCACAACUCUCCCCCACUUAAGAAAUUUUCGUCCCCGAAAAUCUUACCGGUAAAUAGGUUUGGAUAUCAUUCUUUCAUCGAGCUCUCGGUUUCCCAAGUAGCUUCCUCGAUCCCGUGUUUGAGCCAUAACACCUUUACUAGCGGAACUCUUUUGUUUCGUAACUCCUUCACUUCACGAGCUAGGAUACGCAUCGGUUCUUCUUCAUAACUCAUAUCGGCUUGAAUUUCAACCUCUGAUGGGCUAAUUAUGUGCGAUGGAUCAGAUCUAUAGCGUCGAAGCAUCGAAACAUGAAAGACGUCAUGGAUCUUUUCAAGCUCAGGGGGCAAAAUCAAUCUAUACGCAACUGGCCCCACUCGUUCGGAGAUUUCGUACGGCCCAAUGAAUCUCGGGCUCAACUUGCCCUUACGGCAAAACCUAAGUACCUUUUUCCAAGGCGAAACUUUAAGAAACACUUUAUCUCCCACCUGAUAUUCAAUGUCUUUUCGUUUCAAAUCCGCAUACGAUUUCUGACGAUCUGUGGCUGCUUUCAGACUUUCACGGAUUACCUUUACUUUCUGUUCGGCAUCUUUAAUCAAAUCAACUCCGAAAAUUUUACUUUCACCGAGCUCGGUCCAAAACAAUGGUGUACGACAUUUACGACCGUACAAAGCCUCGUAAGGUGCCAUCUUAAUACUUGAUUGAAAACUAUUGUUGUAAGCGAAUUCAAUCAAAGGUACAUACCGUUCCCAUGAACCACUAAACUCAAGGAUGCAGCAUCUCAGCAUAUCCUCGAGUAUCUGAAUUAUCCGCUCGGAUUGACCAUCGGUUUGGGGAUGAAAAGCGGUGCUAAAAUGCAGCUUGGUACCCAAAGCUUCUUGCAAUUUCUUCCAAAAUCGCGAGGUGAAUCUCGGAUCUCUAUCCGACACGAUAGAAAUAGGUACUCCAUGUAACCUCACAAUCUGAGAAACAUACAAUUCGGCUAGUUUAUCCAAUGAAAAAUCCGUACGCACGGGGAUAAAGUGAGCCGACUUAGUCAGCCUAUCAACAACAAUCCAAAUCGCAUCCUUCUUACUUGCGGACAAUGGCAGUCCGGACACAAAGUCCAUUGUGACUCGGUCCCAUUUCCACUCGGGUAUCAUGAUCGGCUGAAGUAACCCUGAAGGCACUUGAUGUUCCGCUUUCACUUGUUGACAUAUUAAACAUCUCGAAACAAAGUCGGAGAUGUCUCGUUUCAUACCAUGCCACCAAAACUGACGUUUCAAGUCGUUGUACAUUUUCGUGCUCCCCGGGUGAAUUGACAUUCGGCUACAAUGGGCUUCGUUCAGAAUCAUCGGAAUGAGUUCCGAAUUCCUUGGAACACACAAACGACUUCUAAACCUCAAACAACCAUCAUCAUCAAUCUGAAACUCCGAUUCCUUGUUCGGAACACACUCAGCUCGUUUUGCAACCAAUUCAUCAUCGACUUCCUGAGCUUCAAGAAUUUGAUGAGUCAAUAAUGGUUUGGCUUUUAAUUCAGCUACUAACACAUUGUCAGAUAGAACAGACAAGUGUACAUUCAUCACUCGCAAAGCAAACAGUGAUUUCCGGCUUAAGGCGUCCGCAACCACAUUAGCCUUUCCCGGGUGGUAAUCAAUGACAAGCUCGUAAUCUUUCAACAGCUCAAGCCAAUGUCUCUGUCGCAGAUUCAAGUCUCGUUGAGUCAUCAAAUAUUUGAGACUUUUGUGAUCCGAAAACACAUGGCACUUCUCACCAAACAAAUAAUGUCGCCAUAUUUUCAAUGCAAACACAAUGGCGGCUAGUUCGAGAUCAUGGGUCGGAUAAUUUCUCUCGUGUGGCUUUAAUUGUCUUGACGCAUAGGCCACAACUCGACCUUCUUGCAUCAAUACGCAACCCAACCCAAGUAGGGAUGCGUCACUAUAAAUGACAAACUCUUUACCCGAUUCGGGUUGCACCAAAAUUGGAGCUUCAGUCAAAUGAGUUUUCAGUUGAUCGAAGCUUUUCUGACAUUUCUCCGUCCAUUCGAACUUAACAUCCUUUUGAAGUAGCUUCGUCAUUGGUGUGGCUAUCAUCGAGAAACCUUUGAUAAAUCGUCGGUAAUAACCGGCAAGCCCUAGAAAGCUCCGGACUUCGGUAACAUUUCUCGGAGGCUUCCAGUUAAGUAUGGCUGAAAUUUUGCUCGGGUCAACUCGAAUACCCGAUGCGGAUACCACAUGACCCAAGAAGCUAACUUCUCUUAACCAGAACUCACACUUACUGAACUUAGCAUAUAACUGCUUAUCCCGCAAAAUUUGCAACACUAGCCUCAGAUGCUCAGCAUGUUCGGUCUCAUCUCUUGAAUAGACCAAGAUGUCAUCAAUAAACACAACUACGAACCGAUCCAAAUACGGCCUGAAGAUCCGAUUCAUCAAAUCCAUAAACACCGCAGGGGCAUUAGUGAGCCCAAACGGCAUCACUAAGAACUCGUAGUGACCGUACCUCGUUCUAAAAGCAGUUUUGGGUACGUCCGAAUCUCGAAUCCGCAACUGAUAAAUACCCGAUCUCAAAUCUAUCUUUGAAAACACCGAUGCUCCCUUUAAUUGAUCGAACAGAUCAUUAAUACGCGGUAACGGAUACUUAUUCUUUAUCGUCACUUUAUUCAGUUGACGAUAGUCAAUGCACAACCUCAUGGUUCCGUCCUUCUUUUUCACGAACAAUACUGGUGCACCCCAGGGUGAGAAACUCGGUCGAGCGAAACCUCUAUCCGUCAAUUCUUGCAACUGAGCUUUCAACUCUUUUAACUCGGUUAGUGCCAUACGAUACGGAGCGAUCGAAAUUGGCGCAGUUCCAGGUACAAGCUCAAUACCAAACUCUAUCUCCUGAAAAGGUGGCAAACCCGGUAAUUCUUCAGGAAAAACAUCCGGGUAUUCACAAACCACCGGCACCGAUUCGGGUUUCUUUUCUAACUCCUUGUCAUCAAGUACAUACGCGAGGUACGCUUCGCACCCUUUCCUUACAUAUUUCUGGGCCAACAUUGCUGAUAUUACAGCUGGCAACCCCCUUAAGUCCGCAGACUCAACUCGGAUUAUUUCGUUAUUUGCGCACCUCAAAUCGAUAGUCUUGCUUUUGCAAUUCACAACCGCAUCAUGCGCGGUUAACCAAUCCAAACCAAGAAUAACAUCAAACUCGUCGAACGGCAAAAGCAUCAAAUCGGCCGGAAAACAGGAUUCUCGGAUUAUUAGAGGGCAUCUCUUACACACUUUAUCAACAAGUACGCAUUGACCCAAAGGGUUUGAUACUCGAAUUACGAGCUCAGUAGACUCAACAGGUAGAGUCUUACUGGUUGCUAAGGUUUCGCAUACAUAUGAAUGAGUAGAACCAGGGUCAAUCAAUGCAAUCACAUUAGUAUCAAAGAGAGUGAAGGUACCAGUGAUGACGUCGGGGGAGGAUGCCUCCUCUCGUGCGCGAAUGGCAUAUGCUCUAGCAGGAGUACGGUUCUCGACUCGAUCGGCCGUAUCAGAGGCCCCCCUCUGACUACCACCCCUGCCUCCUAAAAUUCUCGGUGGUCUACCUCUAGAUGUCACUCCACUAGGUCUUGCACCUUGAAUCUUAUUCUUCUCAUCCAGCUCCGUGCAAUCUCUAAUGAAGUGGUCCUUCGAACCGCAUCCGUAACAGGCCCUGCUAGUAGACUUGCCCCAACAUUCACCUAGGUGUCGUCUUCCACAUUGGGGACAUUCAGGUUUCUCGUGACGAUUAUUGCCCACACUAGCUACCGAAGUAGCUCGGGAGCCCAUCGAUGGUCUUGCCCUGAUGGAAAUUCCCGCAGUCGCCCUCGACUUAUUAAUGUCCUCCCUGAAAUUCUUUACAGCUGAGAACGGAGCUUUACCCGUCAAUCUUUUACGAUAAUCUCUAGCUUCAAAUUCAGCCUUCCUCUUCUCCUUUCCAAGUUCUUCCGCCUUGCAGGCUCGUUCGACUAGUGUUACGAAUUCUUUUAUUUCCAAAAUACCCAUUAGUAGCUUUAAAUCUUCAUUCAAUCCUUCCUUGAAUCUUUUGCACAUAGCAACCUCAUCAGCUACACACUCCCGGGCAUACCUACUGAGUCUUAUGAAUUCAUGUUCGUAUUCAGAUACAGUCAUACGGCCUUGCUUGAGUUCCAAGAACUCCUUACGCUUCUGAUCAAUGAACCGUUGGCUAAUAAAUUUUUUUCGGAAUUCCGUUUGAAAGAAGUCCCAAGUUACUCGCUCGUUCGGGACUAUGGAAAUCAAGGUCCUCCACCAAUAGUAGGCUGAGUCUCGCAACAAAGAUACAGCACAUUUUAGACAUUCGUCGGGUGUGCAUGACAAUUCAUCGAACACCCGAAUGGUGUUAUCAAGCCAGAACUCGGCCCUUUCGGCAUCAUCAGUUACUAUGGCCUUGAACUCCUCGGCCCCACGCUUCCUAAUCAAGUCUACAGGUGGCUUACUCAGCCUCACAGGAUCAGCGACUGAUGGCAUUACAGGCUCUUGGGGUGGAUUAUUCAAAUUUGGGAAUUGUUGGACAGCCGGGUUGGUUCGGGCAUAUUGCGCGACCCACUCAUUCAUCAUGGUAAAGAAGGCUUGUUUAGCCCCCUCACCUUGAUUAUUCGCAGAUGACUGAGGUUCAACAGGCGGCGUCCCUUGUGCAGGAGCAGCCGCUACGCUCUCAACGUCAUCCGCUAGGGUUCUUUCUACACCGGGAUCCAUUUACUAAUCAAAACAAAAACAUUUCAACCGUCAGAAGUCAUCACCCUUUUAAACAUUAACAUUAAGGCAUGUAUAGCUAGACUCAUACGUGCUAUGGUAGUCCUAGAACCGACUAAACCAUAGCUCUGAUACCAAUCAAAUGUAACACCCCGAACCCGAAACCGACACCGGAGUCGAACACGAGGUGUUAACUGACUUUAACCCCUUAUAAAAUUUAUUUUCCAGACACUGCCCAAUCUGUGUACUAGUCGUUUUAAAAAUCAUAUCCUGAGUUUCGUAACUCGAAAAUCAGUUUCGUAAUUUUUCCCAGAAACUAGACUCAUGUGCCCAUCUAUGUAUUUUUUUCUAGAAUUUUUGGUCGGGCCAAUUAGUACAGUUUAUUAGUCAAAGUCUCCCAUGUUGCAGGGGUCGACUACACUGACCUUUGCCCAUUACGACUUGGAUAUCUCCCUGAACGGGUCUUCAAUACUGAUGCCGUUUGUUUCUAUAAAAACUAGACUCAGAGAGGAAUCUAUACAUAUAUGGUACGACCCCUAAUUAUCUCUGGUUAAUUUAUAAUGAAUUUCCAAAGUCGGAGCAGGGAAUCCAGAAACCGUUCUGGCCCUGUCCCACAAAAAUCUGAUUAUCUCUUAAUAUACUGCCCAUAUGAUCUUUUCGUUAAUUCCUCAUGAAAACAGACUCAUCGAGCUUCGAUUACAUAAUUUAUUCAUCAAUUAAUUCCACUCCUACUAUUUUUAGUGAUUUUUCAAUCUCAUGACACUGCUGCUGCCAGCAUCUGUUACGAAAGUAACUAGGUACAUUUCAUGCCUACCCUUGAUCCAACUCAAUCGAACAUUCGUGCCAUUUUCGCAUGGCUUAAAGUUUACAUGCCAAAGUUCAAACACAACGUAAUAGCUUAUACAUGCCAAAAUGUUCUUCUAAGCCAACUAAGAAGAAAGUACCAAAACUUGCUAUCCGGUGUGAUGACUUCGAUGACGGCCUGACCCCGCAAAAAUAGAUGAGUCCAAGCAACCUAUAAUGGGUGACAAGGAAACACUGAGUGAGUUUAUAACUCAGUAAGUCAUAAGCUAUGCACUACCAUCCAUCAAUAACAUUAUCACAAGAGAAAACAAAAUGGAACGAGGCUAAUUACUCCAUCCAUUCCGAACCAUACCAUAGUUCCUCCAACCUAUCGAUUCAAUUUCAUAUCAAUUCAUGCAUUCACAUUCCAUAUACUCAUCAAUAGGACAUUGAAGCAUUUUCAUAAAUCAAUUUAUUUUCGUUACAAUCAAACGACUAAACGGCCUUUCACCCAUCCUACGAUAAAUUUUAUGUACGUGACUUCAAGUAUGGUUGUCACAUAGGUUCAAACUUACCGAGCUCAACACCAAGUAUAAGCAUAGCACCUAUUAGCCAUGUACUCAAGACACUUACCCGAUCCGCUGUCCGCGAUCGACUCAAUAGUGUCGCACACAUAGUGUCCAUAAUGAUUCACGAAUGCAUAUUGAGUCCGCACACUCAGUGCUAUAUAAUCAACUCGCACACUUAGUGCUACGUAAUCAAAUCGCACACUUAGUGCUACAUAGUCAAACUCGCACACUUAGUGCCGCAUGGUCAAUUCGCACACUAAGUGCAUCAUAUUCAUUUCGCACACUUAGUGCAACAUAGUCAAAUCGCACACUUAGUGCUGUACAAUUUAAUCCCACGCACUUAGCGCCAAUCUCAUGGUCAUAAAUGGUUAUACCCGCACGUUUAGUGCCGAGAUCAACAACUCAGUACAUCUUACCUCUUUUCUUUUCAUUCAACAAUUUCAUCAUCACAUACGUACAUGCAUAUAUAUAUAUAUGUAUAUUUAUUCAUUCCAUUCAGCAUCAAUACAUAAACAUUAUGACCAUUUGAAAUAAUACCAACUACAUGCUUAAUGACUUACCUUGUGUUGGGUAAGACGGUUCCAACUCGACUACUCAGUGAUCUUUUCUUUGCCUUUAUCGGAUCUAGUUCCCUUUUGCUCUUGAGCUUAAGUUCAACAAAAUUUAAAAUAGUCAUUAAUCGACUAUUCAAGUAUUACUUUCAGAAUAAUAUAUAUAUUGAUUUGACCUUCACACACAUAGAUUAUAGUAAGCUUUAUAAUAGUCAAUAAAUAACUCAUUGGCAAAUUUUCAUUAAUGUUUACAACAAAAUCACAUAUUCACUACGAGCUGUUUUCCUGAGCAGUAGUCGCUAAAUUGUUUAUAACUGGAGCUAAAAAACUCCAAAUCACUAGCCGUUAAUUUUCCCUGAAUAUAGACUCGUAUAUCUUCUAUCCAUAAAAUUUUCAGAAUUUUUGGCUUGGCCAAUCAAUACCAUAUUUUUCUUAAAGUUUCAUCUGUUUCACUGUUUGACUAUUCUGACCACUCUUCACUACGAAUCAAAUUUCUCAUUUUACAGAAUUCAAAAUGUGUUGUAUUUGAUCUCAUUUGAAACUAGACUCAUUAAGGAGUCUAAGCAUAUAAAUUUUAUCUUAUAAUCAUUUUUGUACAAUUUAUAAUGAUUUCCUAAAAACAGAACAGGGAAUCUAGUAGUCAUUUUGACUCAGCCCCACAAUACUUCAAAUAUCUCAAGAUUGGUAACUCUUUUGUUUUUAUAGUUUCUUUUGUAAGAAAAUAGACUCUUCAAGCUUUAAUGGCAUAAUUCACUCAGCUUCUAAUUCAACUCCUACAAAUUAUGGCGAUUUUCCAAAAUCACCUUACUGCUGCUGUCCCCAAACAGAUUAUUACCAAAUCAAAUACUAACAUUAGCAUUUCACCUUAAUAGCUAGCUUACCAAGCCUUAAUUUAACAUAUUAAUCUUUAACAUAUCUUUCACUUUUCAUCAACAACUAUCAAAAAGCUCAAGCACUCAUCAAUGGCAAAACACAAAAUCAUCAUCAAUCCACAAAAUUGAACCAUGGGUUUUUAGAACUCAAGUCAACUACUAAAACAUGCAUGCAUCUCAAGAACAACAUCAAACAUACCUUAGUCUAGCAAACCACCAUAGCCGAUUUUCUCAAGCUCUUCCCCUUCCUUUCUUUCCUCUAUUCGGCCAAAUGUGUUCAAGAAUGAACACAUUUUUUUUUUGUUUUCUUUCCUCAACUCACGGCAACAAGGGGGGGUAUGGAUGAGACCAUUUUUUUUUCAUCACCCUUCCUUUUCAUUGUUUAAUUACCAUGCUCUUUAUUUUAUUUUUCUUAGCAUACAUCACUAGCAUAACAUGUUGGUGACAUGUUUCCACCCAUAGCAUGGCCAGCCACUAUGCUUUAAUUUGGCUAAUUUGACAUGCAAGGACAAACACUUUCCCACAUAUAUUAAUGGGCCACUUGAACACUUGCCUAGCAUAUUUCUAAAUUGUCUCACAUAAGUCCCUACUAAUAAAUUCCACAUACACUGACCAAAUUAAAGUAUGGAACUAUCACACAAGCAUUUACGCACAUCAUAAACACAGAAUAUAAUCUUUAAUUAUUUAUAAGACUCGGUUUUGUGGUCCCGAAACCACUUCCCGACUAGGGUCAAUUUUGGGCUGUCACAAGACAGCUUGAUCAAAGCGGAGUAAAUAGUGAAAUUAAAAGUAGAUACACUUGUGUUAUUGUGUUAACAUAUUAGAUUCUUUAAUUAUUAUUUAUAUACUUACUUACUAAGCUAUAAGCUUACUUUCUUUUCUCUCUUUUGUCUUAUAGUGUCGUCCAGCUUGCACAGGAGUUAAGGAUCGUUGAAGAUCUACCCGCACUAUCAAUAUUUUUGGGUAUUUGAACUAAACAUUUUGAAUUAUGGAAUGUAUAGUAGGCUUCGUUAUUUUGUUACGUGUCAUAAUUGCCUAGGUUUAAAAUAUUGGUUACAGUAUUUGACCAAUUAUUUUGUACAAAGCCAUUGAAGUUGGCUAAUAUUGUUCAAGACAUAUGUUAUAAUGAUAUAUUAUCUAAUUGGAUGACAUAUUUCUAUCUCAGUUUUGUUUAAUGGUAUGUGUUAUGUUCUAGUAAUACCUCGUACCCUGUUUCGGUGUUGAACACGGGUAAGGGGCGUUACAAGGAGCCUUGUGUUGAAGUGGCAAGUAGCGUCACAUAUGGGGCUUAGAGGUGGCGUCACAUGCAUGGUAAGGAGGUUUGAGGUUUGAAUCCCUCCUUACUCAAAAGAAGGAUUUAUUUUUGCUCAAUAAAUAGCCAGUAGUGGCGUUGGAUGUGAACUCUGAAGGGAGUGAUCAAAGGAGAAAUUUAAGGAAAGGAUUAUGGAGUUAUCAAAGAGAAAAGUUAGGAAAUAAGGGGUGCAUAGAAGUGGAGCCGAAUUGGGAAUUUGGGGAAAGGUAAAUUCAGUCAUAAUAUAUAUAGGUGCCGAUUUUGGGGAUUCUAGGCUAAUGUUGAAUUCUCCCUUUCUAUUUUACCGAAAACACUUUUCCCCCCAAAUAUCUAAAAGUCGAAAUCCCUUAUUCUUUCUCUUUUAUUUUGUGUCAAUUUCUUCCCUUCCUUUCUCAUCAAACUAUUUUCUUUCUUGCUCCUAGUUACUUUCUCUAAAGCCGAAUAUCUUUUGGCCAAAAUCUUAUUGUGCCGCCACUUUUUCUUCACCGUUGGCUGAUCGAUUCUUGUGUAAGUGCUUUACUUUCUUUUAGUUGGUCUUCCUAGUACCAAUUUCUUCUCUCCCUCACUCUUUUUAAAUCAGAUUUGGUAGGGGAUUAGUAUCGAAUCUCAAAUUUCAGAUCUCUGCCCAAUUGCUCCUUAGGCGUUUUGGGGUUUUGGGUAAGUAUUUCUCUUUUAUUGGUUAAGGUUGGCCGAAUGGUCAUGGAUGAUUUAAGAGGGACUUAAGAUGAUUGCGAGUCACUUGUUAUUUAGUUUUUAAUGAUUAAGAUUGAUGCAGAUUUAAGAAAUACUUGUGAUUAGUGAUCAAGGAAUGGUUGUUAAGGCUUGUCGUUCAAGGUAAGGCAAAUGUGAGAUUUUCGGUUUUUAGUGAUCGUAUUUGAUAAGUGUGUGAUUAAUCAUUGAGUGACAUCGUUUGUAGGUUCGUGGCUAAGGAGAUCGCGGCACGUUUUAAUACCAGGUGUGUACAUACACUACACACAUAUAGUAGACUGGCAAAUCCUGAAAUGCUGAAAAGCCGAAAUGCCGAAAAGCCAGAAGUUUGUCUACAAUAGUCUUGUGAGGGCACGAACGCUCGUAAAGGGCAAACUGAUAGGUUAUCAGAGGCCCCAUGAGCGAUUCCAUGGACUUGGACCGUGUAUUGACCAACUGGGUCAGAAUGGGCUAAAUGGGCCAAUGGGCUGUAAGGCCCAUAAUAGGCAAAAUUGGCAAUUUGAUACUAUGUGAUGAAAAAUCAUAUGAUUGCAUGACUAUGAAUGAGAUUGGGCCUGAUGGGCCAUAUAAAUGUGAUUGGGGCCGAUAGGCCAUAUGAAUGAGAUUGGGCCUAAAGGGGCCAAAUGAAUAAGUGUGGAUCUGUUAGUGUUUUAGUAAGGGGUUGUGAACCUAGUUUUUGGUAACUACUCAAUCAGACAUAAAACUUAAAUGAUUAAUUAAUUGCGACCGUAGACGAGUCUAGGAUUGGAUCUAGGGAGAGCUUGAUACUAAAGCGGUCUUAAUGACUCACCUCCUCUUCUCUAGAAUCCUACCUGGUGCAUAGUAUCUGUUCACUUUAGCCAACGAGAAUUUGUUAACGGGCCAAGGUAAGUAAUAAACCUAUAAUAAAGAGAAAUUAUCGAAAUGCCCCUAAGGGCGAAAAUGACUAAAAUACACGUAUGUGUGGAAUGUAAGAUUUAUGAAUGUUACAUGUAUUCUUGCUGCAUUCAUAUGACAGUCUGAUUAGGUUGCAUAUUGGUUGGGAUUUAUAGAACGGAGGAAGAAUAUGAGGAUCGCAUGGUUGUUUGACGCCUGUGGAUCCACCGGUGGCUUUUUAAGCCCAACAUAUGAGUAGCAGCUUGCUUCAAUGUUAGGUAGUACCGUAACCGGGCUGCCAUUGGAGUGUAUCCGGUGGGUGGGUCGAUAUUUAUAUCCCCACAUGGUGUGUAUCGGGGGAGGGAGAUGGUGUGUAGCGAUUGGAUGGGUAGGAUUCGUGCAUAUUUGAUUGCUUUACAUCUGUUCUGAUAUUGAAUUGGGCUCAGACACAAAAAGACUUACUAUUGCAUGCUUUUUUAUUUGCUGAGGGUUGUACACACUGAGUUUUCAAAAACUCAUUCCCUCUCUUUUAUUUUUCUCAGGUGAUGCACAGUAGGUGGUUCGACGGUUGGAGGGACUCCGAGGUGGCCAGCUAGUAAGAUGACUUGGACUUGUUUUCUUAAGCAUAUAAUUUCUAGUAUUUUAAGCUAUUUUAGUCCAAAUUGUAAUAAGGCCUAUUCGUUAGAUAUUAUUUAAUUGUCAUUACUACACCUUGAAACUAAAUUCAAACUGAAUGUUACUUAAUUUUCUCUUUUGAAGGGUUUUCAAUGAAAACAAGGUUUUCGAUAAAACACUUCAAUGUGACAUGUUAGAUCCAGCCAUAACGUCCGGGUUGGGUUUGGGGUAUUACAUUUAGGGGUAUCAGAGCCAAGUUACAAAACUCAGGCUGUGAAGUGGGCCUUAUUAUUUGGGUUUUAUUAAAAAAAGUUUGGAUCAAAAUGUUUUGGAAAAAAAUCUUGUUGUGUGACACACCGAGUCUCCGACGUCGAACUAAGUAAAUUCUUUUAUUAUUAAGCUUGUUUAAUUUGAUAUACUAUAAAUAGUUAGUGGGCUACUUUAGAUGAUUAUACUAACGCUUUUAAUUGGAGUGAAACUAAAGCCCGUAGGACCUUGAAACUGUAGAGGAUUUUCGAAAACAACUUUCUUUUUAAUACUUUCAUAAAACAUCGGCUUAAUUAUUGAAACUAACUAAAACUUUAUAAAAUUUCUAAUCUAGAUAAUACGUGAAUCAACGAUGAUUGCUAGAACAGGUGCAAGAGGCCGUGGCCGAUACCGCGGAAGUGUUAGGGCUAUUUUCGUCGGCAUCGGGCCAUAUGCCCAAUGUUGGAGUAGGAGAGGCUCCAACCUCACCCGUGGCUGAGAUUGGACCGUAUGAUCGGGCCGCGGGGAAUGAUGCAUUGUUGCAAGCAAUGCUGAGGAUUUUGGAAAGGGUCGCAGGGCCCAAUAAUGGCACGGGAAAUCAGAGGUCAAUUCCGGAGCGACUUCGAUCAAAUAGGGUUGAGAUCUUUGAGGGCGUGGCUGGUGUGGCUCCUAACGUGGCUGAAUACUGGUUGAAGGCUACUGAAAGGAUAAUGGACGACUUGAACUGUUCACCUGAACAAAAGUUGAAAGGGGCAGUGUCACUGCUUAGGGAAGAAGCUUACCAGUGGUGGCUGACAGUGAAAGAGGGCACCCAACCUGAGCGGGUCACUUGAGAGUUCUUCAAAAUUGCGUUUCAAGAGAAGUAUGUGGGUGCGAGUUAUGUGGGUGCUAGUUAUGUGGAUGCUAGAAGAAAAUAGUUCCUGAACUUGACUAAGGGAAACAAAUUUGUGGCGGAGUAUGAGGCGAAAUUUCUACGCCUUAGUAGGUAUGCAAGAAUUAUGGUGGCAAUGGAUUAUAAGCGUUGCGUUAGGUUUGAGGAUGGUCUUAAGGAUAGCCUCAGAGUAUUGAUAGCUCCACAAAGGGAGCGAGUUUUCUCGGAGUUGGUAGAGAAAGCAAAGAUAGCAGAGGAGGUGAAGCGCACUGAGCGCCUAAAUCCGAAAAAAGAAAGGGGUAAGAAUAAAAGGGAGGCUGAGACUUCUGGUGUUGGACAGAGGCCUAGGGUUAAGGCCAGAGUUAAUGGGCCAGUUAGAGCAAAGCCCUCUAUUGUUAAUCCAGGGGUGCCACCUUGUGUUGAUUGUGGGAAAGGUCAUGUAGGCGAGUGUUGGAAGAGGAUGGGAGCUUAUCUAGCUUGUGGAUCUAUGGAGCAUAGGAUCAAGAGUUUCCCUAUAAUGCCAGGUCAGGUGCUAGUUGUGGGCUGAGGCAGUGUUCAGCCACCAAGGGGUGGUCAACUGUCGCCAAGGGGCCGUGGGCAGGCCAGGGGCGGUAACGGUAAUGGACGUGGACGUGGAGCACUAGGAGGAAAUGCAGGCCAUGCUGAGGCGAGGCAGCCAGCUGUGGUUUAUACUGCUUGUCACCGAAAAGAAGAGGAUGCUCCAAAUGUGAUAAUGGGUAUGUUUUUUAUACAUGAUUUACCUUACACUGCAUUGAUUAAUAUUGGAUCGACGCAUUCAUAUGUUGCAUGCAAUAUGACUGAACCUUUGGGUGAUAUGUUUGAAAUUACUGCGAAUGAGAUUACCGUAAUAAGUCCGUUGGCCAGUUAGUGGGAGUGAAUAAGCUGUUUAGGGAGGUACCCUUAGUAGUCCAAGGGGUUACCUUUUUAGCGGAUUUGAUGGAAUUGUCGUUUAGCGAGUUUGAUUUAAUCUUGGGUAUGGAUUGGCUAGUGAAACACCGUGCAAUGUUGGAUUGUGCUGCAAAGCGAAUGGUGUUAAAAACGGCAGAGGAUAAAGAGGUGAUGGUGAUUGGUGAACACCAGAAUUAGCUGUCAAAUGUGAUUUCGGCAUUAAAGGCUGAGAAGUUGGUACGAAAAGGAUGUGAAGCCCAUUUGGCUUAUAUUAGCGAUACGGAGGCUAAGAGCCCUACUGUUAAGGAGUUGAGAACAGUUAGGGAAUUUCCUGAUGUGUUUCCCAAUGAGCUGCCAGGGUUGUCGCCCAACAGAGAAGUGGAAUUUGGAAUUGAGUUGUUACCUGGUACUGUUCUGGUGUCCAUCGCCCCUUAUCGGAUGGCACCGAAGGAGUUGGUAGAACUUAAGGCACAGAUUCAGGAAUUGUUAGAUCAAGGAUUCAUCCGACCAAGUUUGUCUCCGUGGAGAGCACCGGUGUUAUUCGUAAAGAAGAAAGAUAGGAUGUUGAGAAUGUAAAUAGACUACCGGUAGUUGAACAAGUUAACUAUUAAAAACAAGUACCCUCUGUCGAGAAUCGAUGAUCUUUUUGAUCAGUUUAAGGGAGCUUCUAUUUUUUCGAAGAUUGAUCUGUGUUCGGGGUAUCACCAAUUGAGGGUUAAAGAGGCGGAUGUUUAUAAGACAACUUUCAGAACUCGUUAUGGGCAUUACAAGCUCGUGGUGAUGCCAUUCAGGCUGACGAACACACCUACCGCUUUCAUGGAUCUCAUGAAUCGAGUCUUCCAACCCUACCUGGAGGUGGUUUUUAUAGAUGACAUCUUAGUGUACUCAAGAAAUGAGGAUGAUCAUGAUGCACACUUAAGGAUUGUGUUGCAGAUUUUGAGGGAGAAGCAGCUGUAUGCCAAAUUCAGUAAGUGCAAAUUUUGGCUAAGGGAGGUUACUUUUCUAGGACAUGUGGUGCCAGCUGAGGGGAUUAAGGUGGAUCCCUGGAAAAUUAAAGCUGUGUUAGACUGGAAAACACCUAAGUCAGUAUCAAAAAUUCGAAGUUUUUUGGGCUUGGCAAGGUACUAUAUACGGUUUGUUGAGGGCUUUUCAUUAAUUGUUUCACCUUUAACUAAGUUGUUGAGGAUGGGGGUACCAUUUGAUUAAACGGACAAGCAGCAAGAAAGUUUUAGAAAGCUUAAAAAGGUUUUAACUGAGGCCCUUGUGUUGAUUCAACUAGAGCUUGGGAAGGAGUUUACGGUUUAUAGUGACGCGUCGCAUGUGGGCUUGGGCUAUAUAUUGAUGCAGGAAGGAAAGGUUGUUGUGUAUGCGUCACGUCAACUUAAGACUCACGAGGUGAAUUACCCAACCCAUGACUUAGAACUAGCUGCAGUGGUUUUCGCGCUAAAAAUAUAUAGAGGCAUUAUUUAUAUGGGGAGAAGUGCAUAAUUUAUUCGGACCAUAAGAGUUUGAAGUACCUCCUUACCCAAAAGGAGAUAAACCUUAGGUAGCGUAGGUAGGUGGAAUUAUUGAAGGAUUAUGAUUGUACGAUUGAAUACCACCCUGGCAAAGCAAAUGUGGUAGCCAACGAGUUGAGUCGUAAGGUUAAGUCAGACUUGAGGGCUAUGCUCAGACAUUUAAGCUUGUUGGAUGAUGGUAGUUUGUUAGCUGAGCUUCAAGUAAAGCCGGUGUGGGUCGAGCAGAUAAAGAGUAAGCAGUUAGUGGAUGAGACUUUGAGUGCUCGUUUUGGACAAGUAGAAAAUGGGGAGACGUCAGACUUUGGGAUAAAUAGUGAAGGACUGUUGUGUUUCCGUAGGAGAAUGUGAAUACCAAAGGUCGAUGAUUUGAUGUAACACCCCUUACCCGUAUCCAUUGCCGGAAUAGGGUACGAGGCAUUACCGGAGUUUACUGAACAUUUUCAGAUAAUUCUGAGUCAUUUAUUAUUCAUAUUUUAGAAAUAAUCAUAACGUCUCUCUAUUGGGCCCUCGAAGCCCCAAACAUACAUUAGAAACCAACCGGAAUUAAAUCGGGAUUAUAAAAAAAAUUCGCAAAAUCUUAAAUUUUAUUUUCAUCUAAGUACUUACUAUUUCAAUGCUCCUUAUAAUUAAACAUGUUACCGUUCAAUCAAUAGUUUGGCACUUGUCUAAGCGUCAAACAACAUCAUUGUUAGUAUACUUGCACACAUUUCAUCUAAAUUCAACAUUGAUAUACUUAUUUUCUCUACAUAUCGCACUUGAGUUUAAUAAUAGUCUCAACUUACAUAAUUUCCUUAUAUCAACAUAUCAAAGAUAAUCAUAUAUGUACAUGUCAUGAAACAUAUCAUGCUCUUACCGUUUCUUCAUAAGCAUAUAUCAUUCAUUUCAUUAUAUCAAUAUUUCAUGCUCCAUCAUUUCCAUACAUUUUAUGUAUAUUUAUUCCGGUAAUAGUUUAUUUCAAACUUGACAUAAAUUAUAUUCCAUGUACUUAUACUUAUUUUGUUUAUUUAUCUUCAUAAUUAUUCCAUACAACUAUUUUGUACAUAUAUUUCUAGAUGACCAAUUCUUGUAAACAUUUCACACAACCAUUUCAUAUAACCAUUCGUCAUCUGAUAAGUAUUACCUGAAUAUCAAUUGUUCAAUAGAUGUCAUAGCAUCUCCCAUCCAUGGUCUUAUUUAUCUUUGACAUGAUGCCAUAGUGUCUUUCAACUAUGGUCUUACUCAUUCAUUUUCUGUAAUGUUGCCAUGGUAUCUUUCAACUAUGGUCUUAUUCUUUUCAUGUCACGUUGCCAUGGUAUCUUUCAACCAUGGUCUUAUUCAUUUCAUAUCAGGUUGUCAUGUUAUCUUUCAACCAUGGUCUUAUUCUUUUCAUGUCACAUUGCCAUGGUAUCUUUCAACCAUGGUCUUAUUCAUUUCAUAUCACGUUGCCAUGGUAUCUUUCAACCAUGGUCUUACACAUUUCAUAUCAGGUUGCCAUGGUAUCGUUCAACCACGGUCUUACACAUUUCAUAUCAGGUUGCCAUGGUAUCUUUCAACCAUGGUCUUACACAUUUCAUAUCAGAGAGCACACUCCCGCGAACCUCAUCCUUAUAGUGGGAUUACCAGUCCAGGCUAAAUCCCCUGUAAUAUAAACUCAUAGAGUAUUGUCGGGAUUACCAGUCCAGGCUAAAUCCCCUGCAAUGAUAAUUACUCUAAUGAGCUUGGAUCUGAAUUACCAGUCCAGGCUAAAUUCAGACCCUAAUUCGGAUUACCCGUUCAGGCUAAAUCCAUUUUACACGUAUUCUUCAGGAGGGCUGUAUCAGAAUAGGAUCACCCGUCCGGGCUAGAUCCUUUUUACCGUCAAUUCCUUUUCAGAGAUCCAUCGAAUUUUUCUUUCAUUCAACCGGGCUUUAUUUUCAAUUUAUAUCGAGUAUUAGCAAUAUUUCAUCAAUUAUCAUGAAUUGAACAUUCAAUUCAUAUUUUCAUCACAUAACCACAUAUUUCAAGUAUUUAAAAUACAAUUCAAGUUACACAAACUUAACUCAUUGCUUGUUUGUGUUUAUAAUUUCAUUAAUCCGAUAUCUUUUAUUUUCCACGAUCAAGUCUCAUUUUUGAGUCGUCCGGAUCUUUAUAAAUAAAUUUGAUCAUCAUUUUCAUUCAUUUCAUAUUCUAAUGCAUUUAAUUAAUGCUCUAAGAAAAAUUACCAUUUUGCCCCUAAACUUUUAAUUAAUGACGAUUUCAUCCUUAGGGUCAGGAAAAUAAAAUUCUUGCAAUUUAAUCCUUAUUUCUAGAUAUUAUUCUCAUACAUAUUGAUAACAAUCCAUGAAUUCUAUAAAAUAUCAGAAUUUUCCAUAAUUUUAACACUUUUCACUUUAAUCCCUAAAAUAUGUUUUCCCCCGAUCUUGAACUAAAUUAAUAAUUUCAUUCAAUUUUGUAAUUUAAAUAAUAAAAUAAUCCAUUUCAUGCAAUUUGGUCAUUUUUGACAUUUUUACAAAAUUACCCAUAAAGUUUUACUUUUAUUCAAUUUAGUCCCUGAGCCUAAAACAAUGCAAAUUAGCCAUGCUAGAUGAAUUUUCAUACAUAUUUUUCCUCCUCCUCCUCUCCAUUCCACAUCCUUAGUGUGUAUAACACACUUGUAAGUAACAUUAUCUAUAAUUUUUAUUAUUUACUUUUACGAAUAUUCAAGCUAUCCAUCUGUAUCAUAGUCACUAAAUUAUUUAUAACUCGAGCUAAGGAACUCCAAAUUAAGAUACGUUAAUUUUCCCUGAAACUAGACUCAUAUAUAUUCUUACCAUAAAAUUUUUACAAUUUUUAGUUUAGCCAUUAGGUACAAUUUAUUCUUUAAAUUCACCCCUAUUCUGCUGUCUGACAGUUCCGACCCUUCUACACUAAAAAUUAAUUAUCUCACACUACAGAACUCGGAUAAUAUUCCCAGUGAUUUCUCCUGAAAAUAGACUCGUUAUGAAUUCUAAAAAUAUAAAUUUAAGCCUCUAAUUAGUUUUCUUCAAAUUUUGGUGAUUUUUCAAAGUCAGAACAGGGGAACUCAAAUUCAUUCUGACCUUGUCUCACAAAAUUCAUUAUAUCUCAUAAUUUACAAUUCAAUUGCUUACACCGUUUAUUCUAUAAGAAACUAGACUCAAUAAGCUUGAAUUCCAUUUUUUAUUAAUUCUAUAAUUCAAUUUCUACAAUUUUUGGUGAUUUUUUAAACUUAAACUACUGCUGCUGUCCAAAAUAGUCUUGGUGCAAAAUGUUGAUUUUCUACUUUUAAUUUCAAUUUAAUCCUAACUAAAUUCACUUACUUUUCUAUCUUAAUUCAUACUUUAUUUCUACUCAAUUUUUAACUAAACUCAUAUUUAACUAUUAAAUUUCCAGCAUAUUUUCCUAAUUUCAAAAUUUCAUCAAUUUAGUCCCUACAACAUAAAACUUAUGAAUUAAUUUACAAUUCAAUCCUUAUUUCAUUUCUAACUUGAAUUCCUAUCAAUCUAACCCCUAAUUCAUCUUUUUAUUCAACAUGAACAAUAUUUAAAAAUCUAAUAACUUUCAAAAAAUUCAUUAAUUUCUUCAAAACCUUGUCUCAAAGCUUCCAAAACAUCAAAAUUAAGUAAAAAAGGGCUAAAUUGACUUACCUAUUUAACUUUGAAGCCUUAAAAUCCCAAUUUUUCCCCUUUUUCCUUCUUUCUUUUUUUCCUUCCUUCUUUCUUUCCCCUGCUCUCUGUUUCGUUUCAUCCUUUCUUUCUUUUUCUAUUCUUUUUUUUGUUCCUUUUUCUUUAUAUAUAUAUAUAUAUAUAUAUAUAUAUAUAUAUUAUAAUAACUUAAUAAUAGCUAUAAUAAAAUAUCUAUUUAAUAUCCAAUAUCUAUUUUACAUUUGUAUACACAUAUAUUAUUACAUUUGUCUUUCUUUAAUCUAUUUAUUAUAUAAAUAUCUUUUACUUAAUAAUAAUAUAUAAUUUAAUAAUAUACUUAUAUAAUAAGUAAAUAUACAUGUAUUUUAUAAAUGUAUGUAUAUUAGUAUCACACAUGUCACCAUACAUAGCAUACAUUUGUCAACUUUUUAUUUAUUUAUCAUAUAAUAUUAAUUUAAUAAUAAUAAAUACAUUAAUAUUUACUUAAAUAAUAAGCAAAUAAAUAUAUGUAUUACAAUGUGUGUAUUAUAUUUAUUAUACUUGUAUUUUAUUUUUGCCAUACACUUGGCACUCUUUCUGGUUUAUUUACUUAUUUAGUCCUUUUAAUUUUCUUUAUUCUAUAAUUAAACUUUCACACUUCAUUCAAUUUAAUCCUUUUAUCUAAUUAUCCUUUAUUUAAGCUAAUUUGCUUCAUUAAACUUUAUUUAAUCACUCUCUUAACUUCGUAAAUAUUUUUAAUAAAUAUUUACAAAUCUAUUUUUUAGAAACGGAGACCCGAAAAUGCAUUUUUUUAAUAACUGUAAAAAUUCGGGUCAUUACAAUUCUUCCCCCUUAAUAAAUUUCGUCCUCGAAAUUUGCCUAAAAAUAAGUGGGAUAUAGAAAUCUCACUGUUUCUUUCGGUUCCCAUGUUGCUUCUUCAGUAUUAUAACUUCAUCUUUCAAUCUAGUAUCUCAAUCGGUUCUUCUUUUUCAUACAACAAAUCAGGUCAAAUUUCAAUAUCUUUUGAGUACCAAAUCUUGAAAAAUCUCAAUAAAUUUUUUGUAUUUGCAGAAGUAAAACCAGUCAAUUCAUUAUCAGUCCAACUCUUUAUAUAAUCUCAGAUAAAAAAAAAGAACGGAAAUUCAAUUUCCUUAACCAAUAGUAAUUCAAGUAACUCUUCCGGGAAUAUAUCAAAAUUUUCACAUACUAUUGCCACUGACUUUAAUUUUAACUUAAAUACUUUAAUAUCCAAUACCUAAGCAAAGUAAGUACCAUAACCCCUUUUUGGCACAUUUCUAUGUUGACAUUAUUAAUAUCACAAAGACAAAUCAUUCAAUCUCCUCUGAUUCGAAACAAAACAUUACAUCAUUCCAUUCUUGAAGUCACAUCAAACAAUAAUAACAUCAAAUCAAUUAGAAAACAGUAGUAUCGUUAUCAAACAGUUCCUGCAGAUCUCAUCAGCCCAUAAAUACUGAUCCAAUAAUUUAAUGUUUCAAUCCAAAAAUUUCAGUAAACCCAACAGGUAAAUCUUUAAUGGAUACUGAACUCAUGUAAUCAUAGGAAUAGUCAAACCAAGAUCAAUUUAAAAUAAUCAUAUUAGUGUCAAUAAAGAAGAAAGUUCCUGUAUAACAUCCAGUAGAGAUAAAUCUUCUUAUAUGCAAUUAACAUAUGCCCUGGCUGAUGUUCAUUCUUCAGAUUUUGCAGUGAAGUCCUUUAUCACAUUUCGACUAUCACUCAUAUUUCUGAGGUUACAAGAUGAUCUAUCUCUGGUAGUUGUGUUAUUCAGUCUUGAAGUUUGAUUUUUAUUUUUAUUUUUUUCAGCUUGCUUCGAGUAAUCACUAAAAUAAUGAUUAAAAGAAUUAUAUCCAGUACAUAUUCCACUCUUUAUUCUACAUUUUUCAGCUUUAUGUCUUCAUUUAAACCAUCUUCAAACCAUUUAUACCUUACAGUUUCUGUCGAAAUACACUCUCUGAUAGUUUAUUCAUUUAAAAAAUUCCUUUAAUACAUAGUUUCAAUCAUAUAACUUUGUUUAAGCUUCAAAAAUUCUUCACAUCCCUGAUCAAGAAAUCCCUGACCGAAGUAUAUAUAUAUUUCUGUCAGAAUCCUUUUUUAAAAAGUUUCCAAAUAACCCUUUCUUAAUCACAACAUAGAUCAACAUUUUCUACCACUAGUAAGCUGAAUCCUUUAAUAAAAAUAUUAUACCUUUUUAACAUCUAAUCAGUGUACAGAACAAUUCAUUUAUAAUCCUAUAACAUUCUCUAACUAGAUUCCAAUUCUUCCAAGAUCAUUUCCAAUUAAAAUUCUCAAUUCUUCCACACUAUGUUCACAGAGUAUUAAUAGCAGAUGACUUACCCGUUUGGUCAAUCCUUGUACCUUAAAGCACUUCGGGAACCGAUUGAGAAAUAGGAGGGGUAGAUAUCAUAGAAAACACAGUUUCUUUUUACUCACUAAAUGAAUCAGUCAUAAUGCUAAAUAAUUAUAUAUCAUCUUUUCUCUAUCAUUUUAUCAGUCAACAUUUAGCAAUUAAUCACUUAUUAAGUUAAUACUCACUAUUACCAAUUCAGUUUCCUUUUUAAUUCACGAGACUACUCAUCUCCAGUAUACAUUUCGUAAUCAAUACCAUUGAUAUGUUCAUCUAACAUUUUCAACUAUAAAACAGUACCAAACAAAUAUAUCAGCAUCUGAUCCCAACUCAAUUUUGACUUAAUUAUGGCAUGUACCUCUAGACUCCUUUUAGUACUCAACUUAAUCCUAGAAUCGGCUAAACCCGGUUAGCUCUGAUACCAUAAAAUGUUACACCCCCUACCCAUAUCCAUUGCCGAAAUAGGGUACGAGGCAUUACCGGAGUUUACUGAACAUUUUCAGAUAAUUCUGAGUCAUUUAUUAUUCAUAUUUUAGAAAUAAUCAUAACGUCUCUCUAUUGGGCCCUCGAAGCCCCAAACAUACAUUAGAAACCAACCGGAAUUAAAUCGGGAUUAUAAAAAAAAAUUCGCAAAAUCUUAAAUUUUAUUUUCAUCUAAGUACUUACUAUUUCAGUGCUCCUUAUAAUUAAACAUGUUACCGUUCAAUCAAUAGUUUGGCACUUGUCUAAGCGUCAAACAACAUCAUUGUUACUAUACUUGCACACAUUUCAUCUAAAUUCAACAUUGAUAUACUUAUUUUCUCUACAUAUCGCACUUGAGUUUAAUAAUAGUCUCAACUUACAUAAUUUCCUUAUAUCAACAUAUCAAAGAUAAUCAUAUAUGUACAUGUCAUGAAACAUAUCAUGCUCUUACCGUUUCUUCAUAAGCAUAUAUCAUUCAUUUCAUUAUAUCAAUAUUUCAUGCUCCAUCAUUUCCAUAUAUUUUAUGUAUAUUUAUUCCGGUAAUAGUUUAUAUCAAACUUGACAUAAAUUAUAUUCCAUGUACUUAUACUUAUUUUGUUUAUUUAUCUUCAUAAUUAUUCCAUACAACUAUUUUGUACAUAUAUUUCUAGAUGACCAAUUCUUGUAAACAUUUCACACAACCAUUUCAUAUAACCAUUCGUCAUCUGAUAAGUAUUACCUGAAUAUCAAUUGUUCAAUAGAUGUCAUAGCAUCUCCCAUCCAUGGUCUUAUUUAUCUUUGACAUGAUGCCAUAGUGUCUUUCAACUAUGGUCUUACUCAUUCACUUUCUGUCAUGUUGCCAUGGUAUCUUUCAACCAUGGUCUUAUUCUUUUCAUGUCACGUUGCCAUGGUAUCUUUCAACCAUGGUCUUAUUCAUUUCAUAUCAGGUUGCCAUGUUAUCUUUCAACCAUGGUCUUAUUCUUUUCAUGUCACGUUGCCAUGGUAUCUUUCAACCAUGGUCUUAUUCAUUUCAUAUCACGUUGCCAUGGUAUCUUUCAACCAUGGUCUUACACAUUUCAUAUCAGGUUGCCAUGGUAUAUUUCAACCAUGGUCUUACACAUUUCAUAUCAGAGAGCACACUCCCGCGAACCUCAUCCUUACAGUGGGAUUACCAGUCCAGGCUAAAUCCCCUGCAAUGAUAAUUACUCUAAUGAGCUUGGAUCUGAAUUACCAGUCCAGGCUAAAUUCAGACCCUAAUUCGGAUUACCCGUUCAGGCUAAAUCCAUUUUACACGUAUUCUUCAGGAGGGCUGUAUCAGAAUAGGAUCACCCGUCCGGGCUAGAUCCUUUUUACCGUCAAUUCCUUUUCAGAGAUCCAUCGAAUUUUUCUUUCAUUCAACCGGGCUUUAUUUUCAAUUUAUAUCGAGUAUUAGCAAUAUUUCAUCAAUUAUCAUGAAUUGAACAUUCAAUUCAUAUUUUCAUCACAUAACCACAUAUUUCAAGUAUUUAAAAUACAAUUCAAGUUACACAAACUUAACUCAUUGCUUGUUUGUGUUUAUAAUUUCAUUAAUCCGAUAUCUUUUAUUUUCCACGAUCAAGUCUCAUUUUUGAGUCGUCCGGAUCUUUAUAAAUAAAUUUGAUCAUCAUUUUCAUUCAUUUCAUAUUCUAAUGCAUUUAAUUAAUGCUCUAAGAAAAAUUAUCAUUUUGCCCCUAAACUUUUAAUUAAUGACGAUUUCAUCCUUAGGGUCAGGAAAAUAAAAUUCUUGCAAUUUAAUCCUUAUUUCUAGAUAUUAUUCUCAUACAUAUUGAUAACAAUCCAUGAAUUAUAUAAAAUAUCAGAAUUUUCCAUAAUUUCAACACUUUUCAAUUUAAUACCUAAAAUAUGUUUUCCCCCGAUCUUGAACUAAAUUAAUAAUUUCAUUCAAUUUUGUAAUUUAAAUAAUAAAAUAAUCCAUUUCAUGCAAUUUGGUCAUUUUUGACAUUUUUACAAAAUUACCCAUAAAGUUUUACUUUUAUUCAAUUUAGUCCCUGAGCCUAAAACAAUGCAAAUUAGCCAUGCUAGAUGAAUUUUCAUACAUAUUUUUCCUCCUCCUCCUCUCCAUUCCACAUCCUUAGUGUGUAUAACACACUUGUAAGUAACAUUAUCUAUAAUUUUUAUUAUUUACUUUUACGAAUAUUCAAGCUAUCCAUCUGUAUCAUAGUAACUAAAUUAUUUAUAACUCGAGCUACAGAACUCCAAAUUAAGAUACGUUAAUUUUACCUGAAACUAGACUCAUAUAUAUUCUUACCAUAAAAUUUUUACAAUUUUUAGUUUAGCCAUUAGGUACAAUUUAUUCUUUAAAUUCACCCCUAUUCUGCUGUCUGACAGUUCCGACCCUUCUACACUAAAAAUUAAUUAUCUCACAGUACAGAACUUGGAUAAUAUUCCCAGUGAUUUCUCCUGAAAAUAGACUCGUUAUGAAUUCUAAAAAUAUAAAUUUAAGCCUCUAAUUAGUUUUCUUCAAAUUUUGGUGAUUUUUCAAAGUCAGAACAGGGGAACUCAAAUUCAUUCUGACCUUGUCUCACAAAAUUCAUUAUAUCUCAUAAUUUACAAUUCAAUUGCUUACACCGUUUAUUCUAUAAGAAACUAGACUCAAUAAGCUUUAAUUCCAUUUUUAUUAAUUCUGUAAUUCAAUUGUUACAAUUUUUGGUGAUUUUUUAAACUUAAACUACUGCUGCUGUCUAAAAUAGUCUUAGUGCAAAAUGUUGAUUUUCUACUUUUAAUUUCAAUUUAAUCCUAACUAAAUUCACUUACUUUUCUAUCUUAAUUCAUACUUUAUUUCUACUCAAUUUUAACUAAACUCAUAUUUAACUAUUAAAUUUCCAGCAUAUUUUCCUAAUUUCGAAAUUUCAUCAAUUUAGUCCCUACAACAUAAAACUUAUGAAUUAAUUUACAAUUCAAUCCUUAUUUCAUUUCUAACUUGAAUUCCUAUCAAUCUAACCCCUAAUUCAUCUUUUUAUUCAACAUGAACAAUAUUUAAAAAUCUAAUAACUUUCAAAAAAUUCAUUAAUUUCAUCAAAACCUUGUCCCAAAGCUUCCAAAACAUCAAAAUUAAGUAAAAAGGGCUGAAUUGACUUACCUAUUUAACUUUGAAGCCUUAAAAUCCCAAUUUUUCCCCUUUUUCCUUCUUUCUUUUUUUCCUUCCUUCUUUCUUUCCCCUGCUCUCUGUUUCGUUUCAUCCUUUCUUUCCUUUUCUAUUCUUUAUAAUAACUUAAUAAUAGCUAUAAUAAAAUAUCUAUUUAAUAUCCAAUACCUAUUUUACAUUUGUAUACACAUAUAUUAUUACAUUUGUCUUUCUUUAAUCUAUUUAUUAUAUAAAUAUCUUUUACUUAAUAAUAAUAUAUAAUUUAAUAAUAUACUUAUAUAAUAAGUAAAUAUACAUGUAUGUAUAUUAGUAUCACACAUGUCACUAUACAUACCAUACAUUUGUCAACUUUUUAUUUAUUUAUUAUAUAAUAUUAAUUUAAUAAUAUUAAAUACAUUAAUAUUUACUUAAAUAAUAAGCAAAUAAAUAUAUGUAUUGCAAAUGUGUGUAUUAUAUUUAUUAUACUUGUAUUUUAUUUUUGCCAUACACUUGGCACUCUUUUUGGUUUAUUUACUUAUUUAGUCCUUUUAAUUUUCUUUAUUCUAUAAUUAAACUUUCACACUUCAUUCAAUUUAAUCCUUUUAUCUAAUUAUCCUUUAUUUAAGCUAAUUUGCUUCAUUAAACUUUAAUUAAUCACUCUCUUAACUUCGUAAAUAUUUUUAAUAAAUAUUUACAAAUCUAUUUUUUAGAAACAGAGACCCGAAAAUGCACUUUUUUGAUAACUGUAAAAAUUUGGGUCAUUACAUCUGAGGCAGUCUAUUUUGCGGGUAACGUAUAGCAAUCUCUAUGCUAUACAUCCUGGUAGAAACAAGACGUAUCAAAAUUUGCGUGAGCUUUAUUGGUGGCCUCGACUUAGGCGCAAGGUUCUGGAGUUCGUAAGUAAAUGCUUGAUUUGUCAAAAGGUGAAGGCGGAACAUCAGUUGCCUUCUGAAUUGCCUCAGCCAGUAAAGAUUCCACUUUGGAAGUGGGAAAGGUUUACUAUGGACUUCGUUAGUGGGCUACCCUUGACCCCUACUAAGAAAGACUCGAUAUGGGUUAUAGUGAACCAUUUUGUACCGGUCUGCACUGAUUACUCAUUACAAAAGCUGGCUAGGUUGUAUGUGGCGGAGAUUUUGAGAUUGCAUGGAGUGCCAGUUUCUAUAAUAUCUGAUAGGGACCUACGUUUCACUUCGCGAUUUUAAAAGAAGCUGCACGAGGCGUUGGGUACUAGGUUGAACUUCAGUACAGCAUUCCACCCUCAAACUGAUGGACAGUCGGAAAGGGUGAUCCAAGUUUUAGAAGAUAUGUUGAGGGGAUAUAUAAUUGAGUUUCGAGGUAGCUGGGAAGACUAUUUUCCAUUAGUCAAAUUUGCUUACAAUAAUAGUUAUCAAGCAAUUGUUGGGAUGGCUCCAUAUAAAGCACUGUAUGGGCGAAGGUGUCGAACUCCGACAUGUUGGACGGAAUUGGGCGAACGAAGAGUUUUAGGCCCUGAGUUAGUAGCAGAUACUGAGGGUAAGGUAAAAUUGAUUUGGGAUCGGUUGAAGGAGACCUCAGAUAGGCAGAAGUCGUAUGCUGACCUUAAACGUCGAAAGAUUGAGUAUGCAGUAGGGGACUUAAUUUUUUUUAAGGUCUCCCCGUGGAAGAAGGUAUUAAGGUUUGGACAGAAGGGGAGGCUAAACCCAAGGUUCAUUGGGCCAUAUCGAGUUGUGAGGCGGAUUAGGCCAGUCGCUUAUUAGCUGGAAUUACUUUCAAAACUAAGCCAAAUCCACAACAUGUUUUGUAUUUCCAUGUUAAGACGGUAUUGCUCGGAUCCUUCAUAUAUAGUGUCGGUUGAGGAUAUCGAAGUUAGGCCAGACUUAACUUUUGAGGAAGAGCCCAUACAAAUAAUUGGUCAUGAUGUUAAGGUAUUGAGAAGGAAGUCCGUCCCAUUAGUCAAAGUGCAUUGGUGUAAUCACAAGGCUGAGGAGGCUACUUGGGAACCUGAGGAAGCGAUGCGACAUCAAUAUUUUCAACUAUUUGGAUCAGGUAAAAUUUUGAGGACGAAAUUUCUUUCAGAGGGGUAGAGUUGUAACGCCCCAAAAAUCCCAUACUUUCUUUUUUUCAAUUUUGAUAAAAUAUGUGCUUAAUAUUUCUAGUCAAGUGUUAUUUAUGUGAUAAUAGGCCUUGGUUAAGUUUUGAGUUCAAACUUUAGGGUGAAGGAAAUUAUAGUUUAAUAAUUAAAAGAACAUUGAUAGAAAGUAGUUUGGUUUUUAAAUAAAUGAAUAAGGAAUUGGACAUAAAGAGCCUUGUGUUGGAGUGGCAAGUAGCGUCACAUGUGGGGCUUAGAGGUGGCGUCACAUGCAUGACAAGGAGGUUUGGGGUUCGAAUCCCUCUUUGCUAAAAAAAAGAUUUAUUUUUGCUCAAUAAAUGGCCAGUAGUGGCGUUGGAUGUGAACUCUGAAGGGAGUGAUCAAAGGAGAAAUUUAAGGAAAGGAUUAAUGAGUUAUCAGAGAGAAAAGUUAGGAAAUAAGGGGUGUAGAGAAGUGGAGCCGAAUUGGGAAUUUAGGGAUAGGUAAAUUCGGUUAUAGUAUAUAUAGGUGCCGAUUUUGGGGAUUCUAGGCUAAUGUCGAAUUCUCCCUUUCUAUUUUACCGAAAACACUUUUCCCUCCAAAUAUCUAAAAGCCAAAAUCCCUUAUUUUUUCUCUUUUAUUUUGUGCCAAUUUCUUACCUUCCUUUCUCAUCAAACUCUUUUCUUUCUUGCUCUUAGUUACUUUCUCUAAAGGCUAAUAUCUUUUGGCCAAAAUCCUGUUGUGCCGCUAUUUUUUCUUCAACGUUGGCCAAUUGAUUCUUGUGUAAGUGCUUUACUUUCUUUUAGUUGGUCUUCCUAGUACCAAUUUCUUCUCUCCCUCACUCUUUCUAAAUGGUUUUGGUAGGGGAUUAGUAUCAAAUCUCGGAUUUUAGAUCUUUGUCGAAUUGCUUCUUAGGCGUUUUGGGGUUUUGGGUAAGUAUUCCUCUUUUAUUAGUUAAGGUUGGCCGAAUGGUCAUGGAUGAUUUAAGAGUGACUUAAGAUGAUUGUGAGUCACUUGUUGUUUAGUUCUUAAUGAUUAAGAUUGAUGCAGAUUUAAGAAAUACUUGUGAUUAGUGAUCAAGGAAGGGCUAUUAAGGCUUGUCGUUCAAGGUAAGGCAAAUGUGAGAUUUUCAGUUUUUGGUGGUCGUAUUUGAUAAAUGUGUGAUUAAUCAUUGAGUGACAUCAUUUGUAAGUUCAUGGCUAAGGAGAUCGCGGUAUGUUUUAGUACUAGGUGUGUACAUACACUGCACACACACAGUAGACCGGCAAAUCUCGAAAUACCGAAAUGCCGAAAAGUUGAAAGUUUGGCUAUAAUAGUCUUGCGAGGGCGCGAACACUCGUAAGGAGGAAACCAAUAGAUUAUCAGAGGCCCCAUGAGCAAUUCCAUGGACUUGGGCCGUGUAUUGGCCAACUGGGCCAGAAUGGGCUAAAUGGGUCCAAUGGGCUAUAAGACUCAUAAUAGGCAAAAUUGGUAAUUUGAUACUAUGUGAUAAAAAAUCAUAUGAUUGCAUGACUACGAAUGUGAUUUGGCCUGAUGGGCCCUAUGAAUGUAAUUGGGUCGAUGGGCCAUAUGAAUGAGAUUGAGCCUAAAGGGACCAAAUGAAUAAGUGUGGAUCUGUUAGUGUUUAGUAAGGGGUUGUGAACCUAGUUUUUGGUAACUACUCAAUCAGACAUAAAACUUAAAUAAUUAAUUAAUUGCGACCAUGGACGAGUCAUAAGGUUAAGGUGUUGCAAUAGGUAUAUGCAUGUCUAGGAUUGGAUCUAGGGAGAGCUUGGUACUUAAGCGGUCUUAAUGACUCACCUUUUCUUCUCUGGAAUCCUACCUGGUGCAUAGUAUCUGUUCACUUUAGCCAACGAGGACUUGUUAACGGGCCAAGGCAAGUAAUAAACCUAUAAUAAAGAGAAAUUACCGAAAUGGCCCUAAGAGCGAAAAUAACUAAAAUACCCGUAUGUGUGGAAUGUAAGAUUUAUGGAUGUUACAUGUAUACCUGUUGCAUUCAUAUGACAGUCUUAUUAGGUUGCAUAUGGGUUGGGAUUUAUGGAACGAAGGAAGAAUAUGAGGAUCGUAUGGUUGUUUGAUGACCGUGGAUCCACCGGUGGCUUUUAAGCCCAACAUAUGAGUAGCAGCUUGUUGCAACGUUAGGUAGUACCACAACCGGGCUACCAUUGGAGUGUAUCAAGUGGGUGGGUCGAUAUUUAUAUCCCCACAUGGUGUGUAUCGGGGGAGGGAGAUGGUGUGCAGCAGUUGGAUGGGUAGGAUUCGUGCAUAUUUGAUUGCUUUACAUCUGUUCUGAUAUUGAAUUGGCUCAGGCCCAAAAAGACUUGCUAUUGCAUGCUUUUCUAUUUGCCAAGGGUUGUACACACUGAUUUUUCGAAAACUCAUUCCCCUUCUUUUAUUUUUCUCUGGUGAUCCUCAGUAAGUGGUUCGACGGUUGUAGGGACUCCGAGGUGGCCAACUAGCAAGACGACUUGGACUUGUUUUCUUAAGCAUAUGAUUUCUAAUAUUUUAAGUUAUUUUAGUCCGGAUUGUAAUAAGGCCUAUUCGCUAGAUAUUAUUUCAUUUUCAUUACUACGCCUUGAAACUAAAUACAAACUGAAUGUUACUUAAUUUUUUUCUUUUGAAGGGUUUUCAAUGAAAACAAGGUUUUCGAUAAAACACUUCAAUGUGACAAGCUAGAUUCGGCCAUAACAUCCGGGUCGGGUUUGGGGUGUUACACCCCAACUGUAAAUGCACGUCUUCUAGAGUGAUAGUACACUCGUCACAUGGAAGAUGGAAUGUGUGCGUCUUGGGUCUUCACCUCUCCAUUAAAGCACUUACGAGUUUUGGGUUCAACUUACAACCCCAGCCUACAAGGGCCACAUGCCAAAAACUGGUUUCCCUCAAGUAUGGUUCGAUCAACGGUGAUGGAGGACCAGGUACAUUACGAAUAUAACAUUGUAAAAUUCGAUGUUUUGCCUAUUUACGUAAAAAAUAUAAAAAAAUAUUAAGUUGAAAUAUAACAAUGAAAGAAAAAAAAUUUAAAACAAGAUUGAAAUUUAUUACAAUUUAUUCUUAUCAUUUGCAAUUGAUUGAUAGAGAUGCUUUCGUUAUCAAGACAGAUUAGAGACCCGACCACUACUAAUUACAUAGAACGUGAAAUAAUUUUUAAUAAAAAAUAUUUCUUGAAAAUAUUAAUAAAAAAUCGAAUAAAAAUAGAAUUUUAGUAAAAAAAAUUUAAGAGAGAAUUUGAUAGAUUUUUUAGAAUGGUUUGAGAAAUUUGUUAGAGAAUGUUCUGAGAAAUUAGUAGGUGGGUUUAUAGUUUCUUUCUUUCUUCUUCUUCUUCUUUUUUUUUUAUCUUUUUAUUAUCAUUGGAGGGGCAACGACUAUUUAAAAUAGUCUUUGGAAGUGACCGUUAGGGAGGGAAGUGCUGAGCUGGGCGCGUUUUUCAUUAACUAUUGAUCAGAAGGGAAAAGCUCUUCCAGCUGCAAGCAUUUUUCUGAGUUUUUCCUCAAAACAUUUUCAGCUUAUCAAAAAAGACCAAUUCCCGUAAUUUUUCAAAAAUUUAAUUUAUUUCUAUAAUUAAGAAAAACGACUUUAUUUAGUAAUUUAGUACAUUUAGCAACUAUCUUUAUUUUAUUUUAUGAUUGUUAGUACUUGUAAACCCGCUUGUUUUAGCUUAUUAGCAUUCAUGGCAGUAGAGAAAAAAAAAUGUUUUAGUAUUAUUUGAUAAGUGUAUCAAAAGUAACGUGUAUAGUCAGUAAACUUUUUGGGGCAAAGUCCGUAAUGGUGACACUCAUUUACAUUUGCAAAGGAAUACACUGAAAACCAUCUUGAAAUUAUUACGAAAAAAAGUGUGAAAAAUAAACUCUAUAAUCUGAUUCUUAUUGUAAACAAAAAGAAAGGAAUAUUCCCCUAUAUUAUGUAAAAAUGUAAAUAGCAGCUUGAAGUCUCCAUCACCAUCCAAUUUCUCUACAAGGAUUAUUCUUCUGGUAAUAUUAUGAAAAGUUCAAAAAAGACAAAAACAGAAAAGCAAAAGACUCCCCCCCUCCCACCUCAACCUCAAGGCUCUGCUUUUCAAAAUUGUCUUCUUUCUUCCUACCAUCCUAAUCCACCCAACCCUGCCUCAACCAUUCCAUUGCAUCUGUACCGCACUCUAUCCAAAAGUGGUUCACCUCUGAAUUCCAUGUCAUUUCUCUUUUCUUUUUUGUGGGUAUCCAUGGAUACACCUAAUUCAAAUAUAUUUUCUUCUUUUUGACUUUUUCUACUCUAAGGCUGUACAAAAACUCCUGCUUUCUUCGGUUACUAUUGAAAAUAAUUUUUAGGGCUCUGAAUGAAGGGUUCUAUUUAAUUUCUCUUUAGAAAUGCUCCUUGUGGAACUCAAAUUUAGUGCAACUUUUUUGGUUGAACUCGUAGCAGAGUUUGCUUAGUUCUUUAGCCAAAACCGGUGCUCCGCAGUAAAACACUCCUGCUCCAACAACACUAGUAUUAGAGGAGUUGCCAUUUUAUUCAUUUGAAUAAUUAAAAUAGAAUUGGGGGCUCACCUAUUCUUGCGUUGCAGUGCUUGGAACUUAGUUUGGAGAGAACGUUCUUCCAUUUAGGCCUUGCAAAAUGGGUCCGUACCUGUUGAUGAUAAUGUCAAAGAGGAACUGUUAUUUUGUUUAAAGAAUUAGAAUAUGGGUGAUGGGAGCCACCCAUGAUAAAAAUGCAGGAGGAAUUUUGUGACAGAGAUAGAUUGCAGAGUCUUAUCAAUAAGAUUUUGGAUGUGAAGUAGUGGGAUUAUAUGCUGAGAGAAUGAAGAUGACAGACAACAAGAUGAACUUACUCUGGUGCCUGAAACUAUGUCAACGCCAUUCUUGGCAUGAUUUAGUGCUUGGACCAUGGUGAUCAGAGCUGAACGUGCAUCUCCUUCCUCGUACACGCUUGUCAAAUAGUUGUGCAUUUCAAUGACACCCUAGUCAAAGUGACAAGUUAGUACUUCCUAAGGUAUUGUUACGUCUCGUUGAUGUCGUGCCUAUUAGCUGGUAUUGUUACCAAAUGAGAGUGACUAAGUUUUGAGAGACCGAUGGACAUUCAAAGAUAGGAAAAUGAGUGUGACAUAAUCAAUGAACAUUAUGAGUAAAAAAAUUUAUAAAGCUGAUUAGUUCUUUUACCCUUUGAUCAAGAUCUGCAACUUCAUUCAUGACUCCUUUGAACCAAUCAAAUGAACCUUGCUCCCUGGUUACCCAAUAAAAGUAAGCAUUUGUCGUCUUAAGAGUUUUCUUUCGUUUCGGUGAAACUCGGUUGGGAGCAGUUGAUUCAUUGCUCCCAUUACUUAGGUCUGAUGUGCUACUGGUAUCUGAGGCCAAAUCCUGAAAAUAAAGAUGCAUUAUUGUGAAUCUGAUAUCGAAACAAUGAAAAAGCGUGAUUUAACUGAAGUUAUGCACGAGUUACUUACCGCCUGCUCCUCCAUUUUGACAAUGUUAUUAAGCAGAUCUUUUAAAAUGCUGAUGAAUGGUGUUGCACCAAUUCCAAGUCCCACCAGUAAUAGGACGUCAUACUUGCGAUAGUCUUGAGCCGGAGCACCAUAUGGUCCAUCAAUUAAGAGCUUUGGCAAGCUGUUCUUGGACAAGAAUAUUAAUGAUCUAAAAGUUAAUGAUUCCUCCAGAUUCUAAGUGCUUUUAAAACAAGAGAAAAUAUUGAAUAUACUAGGACAAAUCAAAUAGAGCUUACCUUUUCUUAGUCGUCUCAUCUGCUCUUAGAAGCCCACUUUUCCCAGCUACAGGAGGUUCACAAACCUCUGAGAAUAAGCGCUUAAGCUCUUGCGUCCAGUCACCUAGCUGACGGAUAUGAACACUAAGGUAGUCGUCACCAGGAGCGGAAGUGAUAGAAAAUGGAUGCCUGGUACACAAAUAGACAAGCUCAUGAGUUCAGAAAAACUUGCAUAAUGCAAAAUAUAUCCAACCACCCUGAUUCAGGAUUGGAACUAUUAGUAUUUUAAACUUUCAUUUACUUCUUACAAACCAACCAAAUAAGACGAACCUGGUUCUAUUACUAUAAAAGGGCUAUUUCUGAUAUCAAACGGAAUCUGUUUCUGAUAUAACUAAUGUCCAUUUUCAUCCUAUCUAUUAAGUGUUAAUAGAGAUAUUGGAAAUUCUGAGAACAUUUUAGUAGCAACAGGAGGAAAUGAAGCAGCUGAAAUCACCAUCAAACAUGAUGGAUAUUUUUAAAUGUUCUACUUACCAUUCAAAGGGAGAGACAGCAGGGCACUGGACAAACAUGUACUGUCCACUCUUGUACCGAAAUUGAGGUGGUUUAGACAUUUGUAAUGUGAGAACACCUCCUGGAUAAAUUGCUACCUAUCGAGAAUACAGGGGUAUAGGAAGAUCAUCGGUCAAAAUAUACAACACCCUGAUUUUAGACCCUAAUUGAAGGAUUCAUCCAAAAAGGAUCACAGAGAAGAGCAAAUUUAGUAAAAAAUGGAGUUUAUGCUUCCUAAGUUGUCUCAUUAAAUGUUUCUAUUUUUUUUUACAUUUUCCUUGGGGCCGUUUCUAAUUAAAUGGAAAAUGCUGUCUAUUUAUGCUUACCUUCAAAAGCCGAACAGUAUAGAAACCAGAACGGAAAAAUCUUAGGACCCUUUCUCCAGCAUAUAACAAAACUGGAACAGCUAGGUACAUCCAAGUCUGCAACCAUGAAUUGCAUGCGUUACGUUAAAUUACAGUUAUAGUUACUACGAAAAUAAAAUAAAAUACUGCUGUUAGAAUAUUUGUAAUCACUUGAGAAAGGAAAAAGAUUUAAAUAUAUACCGUCUUACGAUACCAUAUGUGCACGAGAUAAAGGAAGACACCAUGGAUGAUGAGCAAGAUAUAGACAAUGACAAACAGAUGAUGUGAAUACCAAAAAGCAUUGAAACCUGUGAUUCUAUCAAAGGGUUUCGGCAGCUUAAUCAGGUUCCGCCUAAACCAUUUUGUUGCUAGUAUAAAUGCAAUUGCCAUGCAGAUAACCAUUAAAAUCCCGGUCACUCCUUCAGGUCCUUUUACCAGGUCCAUGUACGUUGGUUUACGAGAUCCAAAAUCAUGGAGAUAGUGGCUAUAUUCAUCAGGAGUAGAAUUGAUAAGCCUCGGAAAAUCACAGGCAAGAUGGUUACCGGCAUGGAGAAUGACUCCAAUAACAAUCGCUGCAGCUAUUGUCUGCACAAAUUCAAUGAGAUUAAGAGGGAACAUCAAAAUGCAGACAGUAGAUGAAGCCUAACUAAAUGCAUAUUUUGCACUUUUAGUAACAUUUUACCAAACAUAGAUCCUGGCUACAUCAUAUCCAUAUUGAAACCUAGUUGGAUAGCAUCAUAGCAGUAGUACAAUAUCAGCUGACCAGGUUUUCGUAUAAGCCAAUGCUUUUGGGAACACGGCCAAAAAUAUUAAAAUUUUAACAUUAUAUUAACUUAUAAUUUCAUAAUUUUCUAACAAACAUAUAAGCAAUUUAAUCAUUUUGGGUUAGCAGCACAACCUACCCUUUUGAUUCACCUUUGACUACAAUGUUUUAAUCUAAAAUAUUAAUGAAAGUUGGUCAAGGACUAAGGUGAUGUUUAUAAAAUAACAAAAUCAAUUAAUUAUUUUUCUUGCACUUAUAAAAAUAAUGCAUUAAAUGAUUUUUCAAAAAUUAAUAACUAAAUAAUUUUUUAAGUAACCUCUUUCAUGGUAGUACACUAAUUCUUUACUUUUGACAGCAUACACUUUACCCAAAAAAGGAUUGAGAUCUCUUUGGGUGUCAACUUUGGCUGCAUGAACGUGUAAUGCCCCCCACAGAAAUAGUAUGUAUCAUCACUAUUAAUAUGAUGGCUGAAAAUAAGCCCUAGUGUUGACUUCUAUCAUCAAGUCCCCACCUGGGACCCAGAGAGUAAAACGUAAAAGAAAAGCAAAAAAGAGUUGGUAUACUGUUUCAAUACCUUAUGAAAGUUGAUAUUGUCGUCAAAAGGCACGAAGAGACCCAGCUUUGUGGACCUGAGCCAAGUAAUGGUGUUUCGGCACACGGGCAACAGAAUAAGAGCCAUGUUAAACUUUAGUGUCUCAGCUGCUCCUUUGGCAGUGAGGACACAAUAAUGCAUGACUACAAAGGCACCGUUUUGCUUGUAUUGAAGGAACUUCCAAAUAAACAGCCCUGUCAUAAUCAUAAUCCACAGUGACAAGACCCAUAUCCUCUUCCAAUUUUCUUCCAAAUAGUACAAAAGUUUGGUGCUCAUUCUUCUGAUCCUGCUUUUCUUUCUUAAUCCUUGUAAGUUUUGGCUAAGGGCUUGGCUUGUGUAGCUUAAGGCUUGACUAUAGCUCAGAUACGUGUCUUUUUGCAAGAGAAGUGUCUCCAGUUGCCAUAACUGCAUCAUUUUCGUGCGUCAACAUCCACCAAACUAAGCAAUUAUGGCAAAUGAAAAUCAUAUUUGAUUCGGACAAGUUUUAGUCAUGCAAAGGACAAGAUUAUUUUGAUUCUAUCUACACCAUCAAAAACAAUUAUGCAGAACGCAUGCGUGAGUAAGUGAAGAGAACGCGUAUUGGAGACCGGAAUAGCCAGAAAGCAAAGUUCACAUGGGAACCCAAACUGAUCCGCCAUUUGGCAGGACCAUGAGUUCAAAACAUUCAAUCAUGGGAUAAAGAAUUGGUCAGGACUCGGUACCCUUUCAAUGUAUGAGCAAAUAACGACAACACCCUUUGCUCAUUACCCAAAGAAACAAAUCAAGUUCAAGCCAAAUGCCAAUAGCAACCUGACAAAUUGCUUUUGAUCUUACUUCCUAUAUCUCAAUUAUCAAAUGGAGAGAAAGCAAUUUGCCAAACUGAAAAUUAAAUGCAGCCAUUAUUGAUUAGAUAAUCAUGUUAUCUGAGAUAUUAAAAUGGAAAACUCACUAUGCAGUAAUCUAUUUUUGGUUGUAUUAAUCCAACCAAUAAUUGCUCAAGGUAUUGGUCAGGAUUUAGAAAAGGGAAGUACUAAAACUGUUGAACAACCUCAAAUGACAGUUACUGUAUACCAACAUAAGAUAAGUUGAGCUGUCUCUAGUUAAAAGCUCGUUAUUCUUGCUUGAUCAAGCUUUCUUCGUCGCGGUUGAACAAAAGCAGAACCGGAUUGUUGGAAAAUUUGAUCAUUUUUCGCCUAACAAUAGACUUCAGAAGGAAAAAGUCCAAUUUAAGAACUGUUUUUCAUUUAUAUAAAUAUAUAUAAUAUGCAAAGUUCCUAAUCAAUGUUGCUUGAUUCAAUGGAUAUCUUACUGAAACUAAUUUGAAGGAUAAUUAAUUAAUUAUCUCAACAUGCUUUAUUCGAUUCUAGAAUAUUUUUCCUUUUAGUACCUCAGAAUAUUAAAUAAUAAUAAGACAGAAAAAAAAGGUAUCAUGGCUAAAAGCAACGAAGGAACAUUUGGUAAUAUCGAAAUAUCAGUUUACUGAUAUAAAUAGAAUAAUGGACCCACCUCAAUGUAUCCAAGUCUUUCAGGGUCUAACUCUUCCAUGAUCAAAGCUGCAUAUUCUUCCGCCUGUUCCUUCAAUCUCGAUAGCUUGUUUGCUGAUGCACUUAGCAUUAUAAUCUAUGUAUCAUCAGGAAAAUAAAAAUUAAUUCUAAUUGUAGUCUAUAUUAAGGGUUAAAAAAUUAAAAAAAAAUCAUUUUAUUAUUUUAUUUUGAAGGUAUUUAUAUUUUUUCAUAUUUUGAUAAAUUUUGAAAAAUGGAUACAUAAUAAAAAUUAUGGAAUUUAAACCUAAAACAUAAUAUUGAUUAUUAUUUUUUACUCAUUUUAACCAAAGUGAUAUUUCACUUUAUACUAAUUAAAAUUAUAAUUUAAAUAACCAAAAGGCCCUUAAAAAUAUAAAUAAUUAGUAGACUUUUGAAAUUUACAGAUGGUGACAUAUGAAUAUAUUAAUUAAGGAUUUAGAGGUUAAUGGUUGAUUAGGAAAUGUAUAAAUAAUUGGGAAAAAUAAGAGUAAAUUCAGAAAAAUAAGAUUGAAUCUUUUAAUGGAAAAACAUUAUUCAGUAAUGAGUUUGUAGUGGUUGGUUUUUGAAGAAUUUCUUGUGAUUUUAGGUCACCCAAUCCCUGCCUAACGUUGAUUAUGUUAUGGUACCCCAAAUGACAACCUGUAAUCAAGUUUUUAAUUAAUCCCAUAAACUACGAAAAUGCGGCCUGAAUUUUCUUUUAAGCUAAAAAUUAAUUUUAGUGGAAUGGACAAAAUUUUUGGUUCAUGCACGUUGAAUUAGUUUAAGGUGGCUCUGCCAAAUCCAAUUUUAUUUUAAAAAAUGGAAUAUAUCUAUAUAUUUGGUUUUACCUCUUUUACUUCAGCCUCAGUUAUUCUACCAUCUUCAUUCUUGUCCACCCUGUAGCAUAAAUUCAAAAAUAAACUAAUAUAAUAAUCAUUUAAAAACAUCCUAAAACGACGAUUUUGUCCAAUUUUUUUUUUAUUCUUUUAGUUUCCAAAAUUAUGGAGCGAAUCUUCAACAGAGAGUGUGCUUUAAGCUUUUAAUUUAAUAACUAAUUUAAAAAUUGAUUAAAUGAGUUUAGAAGAAGAAAACACAUAAUUAAUUCAAAUUAAUAAUAUUAGUUUAACAGUGCGUACAUAUCGAAGAAGAUCUGGAGGCGAGAAUCAAAGCUUUGAUCGGUGAUUUGAGACCAGUAUUCAUAAAGUUCUUCUUUAUUAAUUUUUUCAACUUUUAAUCUUCUUCGUCUGCUCAAUGCAUCGAACAUCUCCAGCGCAAAUUCCUUCGACUCUUUCAUUCCUUAGAGAAAAGUAAAUCGAUGAAAAAAAAAAAGUUACUAAAAAAGUAAGCGUUCAAGAAAAUUUGAUUUGAAAAACGAAAAUAAUGAAAUGAAAAACCUAUGCAUUGUGCGAAAUCGGAGCGAAAGAGGAAUCCGUCUUUAGCGAGUUUGUUGAAAUUGUUUUCAACUUCUUCCCACGCAUUGGCUUUAUUGUUACUUAUAAAUCUUAAUCCACGGAGUGCUUUUUGAGCGCCGGAACGUGUCCGGUCAAGUUGAGCUCGCUGCUUUCUUAAAGCUCGAGCGGCUAACGCCGAGUCGAAUCCGGAUAAAGCUUGAGCAGCGUGUCCGUGUCCCCACGAGAACUUGCGUAGUUCGGCUUUCAGCUCUUGCGAGAACUGCUUAGCUUUAGCCACGGCUUCCGCUUUCAACUCUUGCGAAAACUGCCGCAAUCUAUUCGAAGAGCUCCGCUUGAUCGUCGGCGAUCGUGAAACGGAGGCGGAUGCUGGAGUAUCGGUUCCAUUGUCGACGUUGAGGACGGUGGCCGGUUCCACGCUUCGGAGUAUGAUGGUGUCAUCAUCUUGAAGAUCGAGAGUGACCUCGACGAAUUCCUCGGCUGAGUUGGAAUCAGUCCCAGGCGAGGUUGAUGAACUGAGUGUGGUUUUGGAGGGAACGGUGUCUGAGGCCCACCGUCUCUGGUGGGUGGGUAAAGAAGCACCUCUCAUUGAGAGAGCCCAACAACUGUAUUAAUUAUUACUUAGUUACAGUUAAUAAUGUAAACGGAAACUAAAGGGGAUGGAUUAAAUUAAGGUUUAGUUAUAGAAUGAAAAUGGAAUGAGAAGGAGAGGAAAGGCGGAGGGAAUCCGAAGGAAAAAGACAAUAACGCGGAGAGAAAAAAGACACAAUAUAUUGCAGGGAGCAAAGCAAGGGGAAACAGAUUUAUUUAUACCUUGGAUUUUACAUGACACAAUAUUAUUAUUAAUGAAAUUUGUAUAUCGCCUUAAAAUAUAAAAACUAAAUAUUUUUAUUACCAUAACUCCAUCUAUUUUUUUUAAAAAUAAGAAGGAAAGAAAGUCAUUUAUAUAUAUUUGAUGUUUGGCUUCACAACUUUAUACUAAUUUAGUUUGUUUGGAGAGUAACUUAAGAGUUAAGAAACAAGUAUUAGCAAGUAAAUAAAAGAUACUGAAAUUCAAAUGAAAAUAUUUUUUACUUAAUUCCUAUUACCACUUUAUAUUUAUUAAAUUAAAUUUGUUCAAAGACUAUUAAUUCAAUUUUAGAGAAACAUUUUAUCAUAUACUAGAUUUUAUGAUGCGGAUGUGUUCAAUUCUUAAAUAAUAUUUUUUAGUUAUUUUAUUUAAAAAUAAAAAUAAAUUUAUAAUAAUAUUAAUUAUCAAAGUAAUGGUAUUUUAAUAAUUUCAUAAUUGAAUUUAUGUAAAUAUAAUAUAGAUAUAAAAAUAGAGAAAUGACAAAUUCUUUUGGAAUAAACCGGGAUAUAAUAGCUUUCCUUUCUCAAUUUCACUCUUAAAUUCAAAUUCUUAAAAAUUUAACUACUGUAUAAUCUAAAUUUAGAAAUUUAAUUGAAAAAAUAACUGUAAAAUUAUAUUUUAGGGAUAAGAGACAUUAGGAAAAAAUUGGAAUAAAGAAAUGGGGAGUUGUUAUCGUGGUGGAGAAGUUGACGGCAGGGAUGGAUGGUGGGGUAAAAUAGAAUGAAUUACAACCUUACAGCUUUCACUCAAUUAAAUUUGACUUCACUAUUUGUAACGUAGUCUUACCCCUUCAUUAAGCUAAAGAAAAAAAGAGAAUCUUUAUAUUCAUGUUGAGGCACGCUUAAUUAGAAUGGUUGUUUCUUAGGAAAAGCAAAGAUUCUGUUGAAAAACAAGACAUAUUAAUAGAAACAUUGAAUGAUUACUAUUCUUAAGCAUGUUUAAUUUGUAACUUGAAAAACCCACAACAUUAGAUUCAUACAAAUAUAUUUAAGUUUUACAAAUAAUGGACCGGAGAAAGGAUUGUAUGAAAUUAUGAUUUCAUGUCAUUCUUAACCCUUUUUAACGAGAGAAUGACAAAUCAGAUUUUCUUUCUUGAUUUUCAACUUUUUCCUCUUGGAAAAAUUCAAAUCAAACUAAAAACACUAAAAAUUAAGAGAAAAAAUUUGAUUUGUCAUUCUCCUAUUAAAAAUAGAUAAAGAUAACAUAAAAUCACAGUUUUAUACAAUCAUUUAUCUAAUAGACAGUUUAUAAAUUUUAUUUUCCCUUCAACUACCCAUUUUGGAUUUUUUUAUAACUUUUAAUAUAAAAAAAUGCUUACGAGAAUUUAUAUAUACGUAUAGACUUUAUUAAAAACUUCUUUGUCCGAAAUUGUAAGUAGUGUGAUUGUUGUUUCAUCUUUUAUAUUUUUUUCAUUCAUUUUUAAUUUCCAAUAACAAUUUUCUACAAGCCUUGUUUGAAAAGUAAAAGAGUUUGGAAAAAAUUAUAAAUUUGAAAAAUUAGUUUUGAUAAAAAAAAUAAGACUAAUUUACUAAACAAGCAUACCUCGAAUAGGAUUUUUUACUCUGACUCAGCCCAGUAUUUUGUUGUUGUUUCAUUAUUGUUUUGUUACUAUUUUGUUGUUAUUGUUUGGAUAUUAUAUAACUCUUUAUUUUAUUGUUAAUUUUACUACUAUUUUGCUUGCUAAGUUGCAACAUUUUAGUGUUAUUUAAAUAUAAAAACUUUUUUUUAAUGUAUUUUCAAAUUUGUUAGGAAACAUUUAUUUUAUUUUUGAUGUUUUUAAUAUAUAUGAUGUAUUAUAUUUUUAAAUUUGUUUUUGUAUAAAAAUAAUAAUUUAAAAAAAUUAAUAUGGGUGAGCAAAGUCAAGCUCAAAUUUAACAUUUUUAAUCUAGAUUAAGUUUGAAUAGAAAUUUAAGUCCAUUUUUUGACUCAAGUCGAGUCCAGACUUAGUAAACAAUAUUAAUAAAUUUAAAUUUUAAUAAUUUAACUUCAAAAUAUUACAAAAAAUAAAAAAUAAAAAAAACACCCACUAAACUAUGAAAAAGAGAUAAAGGGGUUAUGAGAAUUUGGACUUAAAUAUAUAUAUAAACUUAGUAGUUAAUACACUACUAAUAAAGAUGAAAUAGUGUGAUAUAUUGUUUUUAAGUAAGCAAAAUUUUGGCAUAUUUAGGGAAAUGGUGGUGUUGUAAAAUAAGUUGACAUAAAAGCUGCAAUCCAAGGUCUGUAUGUUUGGAUUGAAGACAAAUGGCAAGCCUCUCAUUACCAUUAAUUUAGUUCACUUGCAACAAACAAAUCUGUCUUGCAUCAUUACUGGAUAUCUAUCCCAUCUCUACAUAUAUAAUAAAACAGCUUCCAUCCAACACAGACAUAAUAUCUUUAUUUACCUUUUCAUAUUAAUUCUUCCAAUUUUUCUUUUUUAAGGAUAAUUAUAAUUACAAUAAAAUUCAAUUAAAUUAAAAAUCGAAAUAUAUUAAACUUGUUUUCACACCCCGUAACUAGGGCAAGUAAAGAUGUUGACCUAUUUAGUUAAAAGAGAAAACUACAUAUUAUGUCCCUCUAAAAAAAUAUUAUGUAAUAGUCAUUUUAACCCCUUAACUAAAUAAUAAUAUUAUAAUUUUAGCCCCUAUUAAAAAUUAAUAUCUCAAUUUAAGUUAUUUUGUCGCAUCUCAAUUUUAUAAGUUUUUCUCACCCCAACACUAAAUUCCUAGCUUCGUCCUAGUGUUUUCAUAUACUAUAUUAUGGACCCAAAAAUUAUCAAAUAAUGGCAAAAGAUAGGGUUGUUCAUAUAAACCUAGAACUAUCACAAUGUAUGGAAAUGUAGUGUUGAUGUACAAACCAAGUUUUUUGAAUCAAGUCCAACCAGCAUGCAAAAGGAGGAAAUUCUAGAAUAAAAAUGAUGUCCAAACCAUUAUGCAUCUUGCAAUUAUUUUUAUUUAAUAGAAGGCAGAUUCUACAAUUUUCAUUUGUAAACAUACCGGUGAAUCUAACCCCAUCAGAAAAAUGUAGAAAAUACAUGUUUAUACUUUGAAUACCAAGUUAGAGGUAGUUUAGCAGUCAAUUUUUGAAUUGAUGACAAGGCUCUAUAGGACUUAUAAAAUAUAUGUGGGUUAAUUCACUAAAGUCCCCAAAUUAUAAUUCGGGUUUUAAAUUGGUCCCUAAAUUUUAAAGUGUUCUAAUUGAGUUGUCAAAGUAUCAAUAUUAUAUCAAUCCGAUCCUUGCCUAAACCUAGCAGUUAAUUUAGAUGUUAAAUGCCAAUAUAGAUCUUACGUAAAGCAAUAUUUAAAACAUCCAUAUACAUACAAUAUUCACAACUUGGAUCUAAGAUGUUAAAAAAAACAUUGUUAAGUUUCAAAACUGAGGACUAUUUGCCUUUUUUCUUUUCAUUUACAUGUGAGGUCCAACCUCCAAAUUGUAUGAGCAAUAGAUAUGCAUGUGUCUAUAGUUUGAUCCACCUAUUUCAAAUAUGGUUAAUAUCAUAUUUCUGCCAGCAUUUAACCUCUAAUGUAAUGGCUAAAAUGAUAGAAAGACCUGAAUGAUACGAUAGAAAUACUUUAAGGGCUCAAAAACAUUUUUGAAGUUGGAGGAUCAAUUUAAAAUUUAAACCAUUGUUUAAGGACGUCUAGUGAAAUAAACCCUAUAUGUAUAAAGAUAUUUGUUGUUAAAUUUCUUCAUCCUCCGAUCCAAACCAAAGAAAUUGUGUUGCUUGUCCCUCAAGGCAUAGAUGAUGCAAAUGCAAUCUUUCUAGUCCUGGAAAGGAAUAUCCGGCUGAUGACAAUAAUCCAUUCACCAACCAACCAGUUUACUAGAAAAGCCCAUUUUAUUUUAACUUGGAGCUGUUUUGACACUACUAACAUCCCCAUUAAUUUUUGUUAAUUUCAAACAAAACUUCGGUUUUAGUUUUGCCUACAUGGAACCUCUCUGCAAUUGGCUAAUGAAAUUCAUAUGGAAAGGUCAGUUCGUGGUUCUUAUUAAUUUCAAUAUAAAUAUGUGCAUGGUUAGUUGGUAGAAGAAUCAAGGUAGGGGAGUAAACCCACCUAACCCAUUGAAACUUGAAAUUCUCACUUUCUAUUGUUUCAAAUCCAUCUUCACCACCUGAAAACUAUGAAGAAAGUGUUUGAAAGAAUCUCUCUCUCUUCUUUGUUUUUUCCCUUUUAUAAUUCCAUAUUUUAAUUGCUUUAUUACUUUGCUCACAAAUUUAUUUUCUUAUAUACACCUACAGAUCUUUACAUGUAAAAAUUUACAUUAAUUUUGCUUUAAACAAUAAUUUAAUUUACAACUUAAGCAAGAGAGAGGAUACCUUCCACUGGUACCAUUAAAUUAAUUAGUUUUACAUGUUUUUUCUUAAUUAUAACUUUAUGUAUGAUUAUUAUUUAAGUUUGAAAAAAAAUUGCUUUAGGAAAUAAAAAAUGAUUUAUAAAUUUUAGAGACACCAAUGCUCCAAUCUGCCUUUCUUCUCUACGCCUUUGACCCCUAUCCUCUCGGUCGAAUAUACUUAUAUAUAUAUAUAAUGAUUUGAGUUUUUUUACAUCAAACAAAAAGAACUUUUAAUUCACUCAAAAUUUAAUGUGCAUAGAUUAUUUCAUGCAACGUUUGGGUCAUAUAAAUACAAAUAAUGUAAAGGACUAAAAAAAAAACAUAUAAAACUAAAUUAACUUUUAUAUAUAUAUGCAUGCACGCACGUGGUUUUGAUUAUUUUAUCUAUCUCUGUAACAUAAGUUGACAAAAGAAAAUAGAGCAUUUUAUUAUUAUUGCUGAGUAAAUUCAAACACACACACAUGCACACACUAAUUUAUUGGAAUUUGGAUUACUACAAUUAUCUUUCACUCCAACAAAACCAGGAAAAUCAGAAAAGAGAUGCAUUAAUUAUGGUAAUUAAUUUGUAAACCUAACUAAAAUUAUACCAUUUAAUCACUAAAUUAUAGAUAAAUUUUCAUUUUAGUCAUUUAACUCAAAAAAGUUACAAUUUGGUUACUGAACUAUUUAAAAGUUUUUAUUGGGUUGUUAAGUUCUUUUCUUUUCUUUUCUUUUCUUUUUAAAAGUUUUUCCUACUAGCUCUAAGAGACAAUUCGACAAUCGGUAUAGUGGAUCAGUUCCCAUUGACAAUUAGCAGAACAUAUCUUAGAUCCAAGUCGAUUUGACGAUGUCAGAGACCAAAGAAAAAAGUUAUUUGAAUUUCAGUUGAUAAAUUCUUGAUGUCUAAAGUUAUUUCAUGAAAAAAAUUGAACUGUAGAACAGAAGGGAAAGGAGAACUUUCGGUUGGUGGAAACAGUGCAAAUAAAUAAAGCCAUAUAACAUAGAUUUUAACAGUCCAGUGACUUAAAUAGAAACUUUUGAAUAGUUCAGUGACCAAACUAUAACUUUUUUAAUUAAAUGACUAAAACAAAAGCUUACCUAUAAUUUAGUUACUAAUAUUAUAGUUUAACUAAAAAUAUAAUUAUAUAGUCUAUGGUCAGAUUUAUUGGAACAGGAGAGCAGCUUGUUACGUUUUGUUUUCCUACUACAAAUGAAUUUUCUUCGUUCAAGCUUGAUCAUAUAUAUAGAUAUAUAUGGCGUGCAUGGAUGGUCAUCUCCACAGAUUUCAAAACUAAUUAACAGAUGCUUUGGUAAUUUGUAGUAAAAUUCCAACACAAAUCACAUAAAAUAUAAUUAGGGGAAAAAAAUAUCUAAUCGAAAGGCUAAUAAAAAUUCAGCCUCCUUGUACUUACAAGCGGAGGAACUAUUAGAACAUUGUAUCAAGUUACUCGAGCCGAUUUUGAGACCCUUAGGCCCUCUCGCGGCAAUAUGGUCUAGUCAAGGCUCAAUUUAUCCGAUAUAAUAGCAAAUUAUAUAUUAUCUUGCUAUAGUACUAUCUGGUAGUUGUUGGAUCCAUGAUCAAUAAUCAACUUCAUAAGAUUUCUGACGCGGACAGAAUUUCUCGAAUGACAACUGCAAAGCAUAUAAAUAGAUAUUAACUUCUUGUAAUGAAUGGUACAAAUUCAGAUAGUUAUGGAUUUGAAAAAUAUUUGAAUUUGAAGCUUUUAAGCUUUCAAGAUUAUAUAGAUAUUGACUCUCGAAUAUCUAUUAUUCUGAGUCUGUUUUACUUUUGCUAAUUCACUAUGAGUAGGUCUAAUGUUAUCCUAGCUUAUUGUUGUUUUUAAUAUUGUCUUCUUCAAAUGCAUCAAUUACCCGACUUUGAAGAGAGCUUAAGGGCACUUUUUAAUGCUUUAAUAAGUGAAAACCAUGAUAGUUGAAGAGUGAAGCUUGAACCUAUAAUUUUCAAGAUAUAGAGAUCAUGUGGACAAAUAUGAUAUCACUUGAAGUAGUGACCAUAAUUUCAAUUGUUUGGUUAUCAAGAGGUGCUCUAAGCUCUCUUUAUAGUAAAAGGACAAAACCUUAAACAUAUGUUGCUAACAAUACCAAAAAAAGGCAAACAAGUUUAGAUUAUUAGUAUUUGAAGAGUUUAUCUUUAUUUAUUUCACUUGAUUUUAUCAUUUAGGAUAAAAUUUUAUAAUGAUAUUGUUUAUCUUUUUAUAUUUUGAGGUAUCUAUUUAAUGUAUAAAUAUACCAUUUCAAUAUCAAUGAGUUUUUUUUAUUCAUUCAUAUAAACUCUUUCACUUAAAACAAUGAAGAUGAAAACCAAAAUUUUGAAAUGGAAUUAACAGAAACAUGAUAAAUACAUAUUAUAUAUAUGAAUAUGAUUGAUUAGAUGGUAAUUAAAUAUUAUUUUAUUAUCAUUUCUAACUUUACUACAUUUAAAAUUAUGUUCCUAUAAUUUCAUACAUGGAAAAGAAUGUAAAUUUAGAUGUUGAAAGCAAUAUAAGAAUAUAAAAAAAAUACAUAUGUAAAUAAAUCAAAAACAAAAAUUCGAUGCUCAAAGUUCAAUAAACAUUAAGCUGAAUAAGUAAUCAACUAAUGAAUUAAAUCAAAUAUUGACGUAAAGUCAAAAAGUUUUAAACCCUAAUUUUGGCAUUUCACAACUUUUGACAAAGAAAAUUUGCAGCCCAAAAUUACAGUUUAGUACCAUAACGUGUAAAACAAAAUUUCAUCAUUCAUCCACCUUUAAGCUACACAACAAAAAAUUAUAAAAAUAAUUUGCAAAUUGGGCUGCUGGGUUUUGUAAAUUUAAAACUUUGAAAGUGCUUUUUUGCUCAACUUUUGUGGCUUUAAAAAAUAUAAAAAAUAAAGAAUCCAAAAAUGGUGUAGAAAAUGGUAAACAAAUAACAACAAAAUAAGUUUGUUUUCUUCUUGCCUUUUAUUAGAGUUAAAAAUAGAUAGGCUUCUAGAAGAUCUUUUUCUUUGUUUUUUUAUUUAUUAUUAUUAUUAUUAUUUUUUAAUGUAUAAGAGCUUAUUAUAGAUGAGAACUUUGGGUCCAUGUGUAGGAAUUUCUCCCAUUAGUCUCCAAGUCAAUUGCCCACCAACCCCUUUUUAGAAUUAUUGGUUUUUGUGGUUAUUAUUAUUAUUAUUUUGCGUAAACAUUAUCUAUUUUUUCUCAUCUACUGGCUAACCUACCAAUGAAUUUUUUUUGUUUAUUUUAUUAAUUAUACAUUUGAUUUUGUUCUAAUAUAAAUAAAUUCAGAAGCUAACCAUGUUAAAGCAAAUAAAACACUGAUUUCCUUGCUUCUGUUUGAAUUUAUCGGACCUUUAAGCAGCCCAUGCUUUAAUUUUUUUUAAAAAAAUAUAAUGAUACAUUUACUUCCUCUUCUUCCCUUUUUUUUUUUUUCAUUUUGGUCCUUUUUUUAUUACUUUAGCUCUUAGUCUUCAAAAUUUAGUCAAAAUUUUGUUUUUGUAGUGAAAAGCUUACUAAACUGUUAAAGUUUUAAGAGCACUGAUGUAACAAUCCACAUGCACUUCGUACAAAUUAAAAAAAAACAUAAGCAUUAUUCAAAAAUUUUCAAAAAUGUUCAUAAGAAAUUUUUUAAAAUUGUCCACAGCAAUGCUUAUACUAUGCAUAAAAUUGUGGAUUUUAUCUUGUACUUUGGUUAAAUUUAGUCCCUACACUUUUCAAGCAUUGAAAUUUCAAUCCCUACCCAAACAGUAGCGGUUAAAUUAGUUAAGUCAAAAUUUGCUAUUCGUCCCACCCUUAGGUAAGUUGUGCCCUAUUCUCCAAUUUGAUCAUUUAUAGUCCCUAUAGUUUUCCAACAUGGAUGUUAUAGUUCUAAAUCAAACAAUAAUCAUUGAAUCUAUUAACAAAAAAAAAUGUGGCCUUCUUGUGAGCAUUAUGCAUAAAUAGUAAAUUGAUAUGACAUUACACAUGUGAUAAUAUGUUUGCCGCAUAAAAUUUUAGAAAUAACAAAAUUUAAUUGAAGAAAUAGAAUGGCUACCAUGUCAGUCGUGGUUGAAAUCUCAAAUUUUAAAAAGUUUAGGACUAAAAAUGAAUAAAUUAAAGUACAACAACUAAAGCUACAACUUAUACAUGGUACAUAUAUUAAUUGAUAGAAAAAUCCGAUUUGAAAAACGAUUUUCUUGUAAAGCAGAAAAUUAAAAUUUUGAAAACUAACCCGAUUUGUGAUAUUUAUAGUAAUAAAACUUAAAUGAAUUCGUUCCUAUGUUUUCGACUUAGCGGACGUUCGUUGUUAUCGGUUUUCAACCAAACGAUCUUAUCCGCUAUUCUUAUACCACGAAUUCCUUCAAGUGUGGGCUCGAACCAAUUGAAUUGAAAUACAGAACUAGAAAAAGUUUUAUCUCCUUUUUGGGUGAAAACGAAAAUUCUCUCUUCUUAAUAGAAACUGGUAGAAUUGUUAUUCCUAAAAAAUAUAUGUAAUAGUUGAGAAUAAUUUCUCUCUUUUAUUCGAUAGAAUAAUAGUCUUUCAAAAUUAUGUUCAUAGCUCUACCGAUACCAUCUAUUUAUAGGAAGAGAAGGUAGAACCCUUGUUGAGUUGUAAUGGUUUAUUUCAAAUAGAAAAACAACAUCCUACUUAGAAUAGGACUAGGGUGGACGACACUCCCUAGUACUAGGGUUGUCGCCCCCUUCAUGUCCAUGAGGGAUUUUUGGGCCUUUCUCACAUCAGGUCUAAUUACAAGUACUUCUUGGGCCUUUUUUACUUAGUACUCUGUAAUGUUGUAGCACCCCAUACCCAGCCUAGACGUAUGUUAUGGCUAGAUCAUGAAAGUUACAUUAAUAUUUCAAAGCUUUGACCAUUUGGUUUCAAAACUUAACCUAUUCUAAAAUCAAACAUUUUACCAAAACUUGCUUUAUCCUUUUUGGUUGGAAAAAUUUGACAACUGUAAAAUGUGUAUGUGAAUUUUGAAACGUUUACUUAUAAUAUUCAAUUUUUAAAAACAUCAUGCUAUCGACUUAAUUUAUUUGCUUUAUAAAAUUGCAUACAUUCGAUUAAAACUUUGCAGUGAAAAAAUUCUUAAGCUUGUUUAAUUUUGGAAAUUGAAUGUCUAAUUUUUAAUUUUCAUAAAUUAUGUCGUAAUUUAAAAAAAAUAACUAAAUACUUAGUAAAUCCCCAAACCAUGAAUAAAGUCCAAAACAAUCUGAAAGUCCAUAAAUUUUAAAAUAAAAACCAAUAAAUCUGUUUUAGUCGAAAUAACCAGCCUGAGCUCCUGAGCGCCUUAAAAUUCUAAUUUUAAUGGUUACAUGAAAAUAUUAAGUAAACGAUGAGCUAUUAAUCUCAGUGUGUGCCUUGGCCCACAAGAAAAAUCACAUAACAAAAUCAUGCUUAGAUGCAUAUAUCAAAGAACACAUAUAAGAAAUUACAACAUGCUUAAGAUGACAAAAUCAUACAGAAUAAUCUUACCCCCAUCAACUACACAUCAGCUCCGUCCAUCCAAUCACACCAGUUAGGGAUACUAGAACCCUUCAUCCAUCGCACCAAAAUGUGGUCAUAUGCCACUCAGAAAAUAUGCAGCUAUGCUGCCAAAGUCAUCUUGCGAAAAUACCGCCAGAAUUACAUAUUGCAGUUAAACUGCCAGAAUGAAACUUCCUCCAUCACAUAACCAUAUCUCACCCCAAAUAAAUAUGCAAAGUCAUACUAAGUGAUCAUGCAUAGCUAUCAUAACAUGUCACACCCACUCACAACAAAUAGGAUCCAUGUUUUUCAUACAAAUGAGAUAAUAGAACAAAUCAUACGAGUUAGAUUAUUCAGAGUCACAUUAACAAAAAAAUAUGAACGCACAUAUUUACGACUACACAGGGUCUAACAUCUUAAUUGAAUACUUGAAAAUCAUAUUUCAAAAUACCCACACUCGGCUCGAAAAAUCGCACGAAAUGGGCCUACAUGCUCGUGUAGCCCACACACCCUACUCGUCCAAAAUGUGUGGCCCACAUGGAAAACCACACGGCCAUGUGGCUUACACGGCUAGUCACACGACUGUGUGGCGUCGUCUGCUAGCUUCGAUUUUUCACACAUUUUUUAGAUUUUCAUGACAUUUUUUAGUAUUUACGAGUUAGAACACAUACCUGAAUGCCCUUAAGAUGUUCUCUCUACAUUAGACUUGAUAGAUGACAUACUAGUCUUUCAAUUAGUUUGCUCAUUUUCGAUUAAACUAAUGAUAUAUUUAGGUUCAUCCACUAAUACAAGUUGUAUUUCUAUACUACAAUCCGACCACAUAAUAUCGCUUAGUAUUAGUUAAAUAUAUUAGACAACCAAUGAGAAACAUUUGCUUUCAUUUUGCUUUGCGUGCAAAAACCAUGUGAGGACAAUAUAAAAAUGAUUAAUUUAAUUUAUGAAUAAUUUUAUUAACCAAUUUAUUUGGAAACAUUACAAGUGUACUUAGAUGAAAAUAUUACACUUAGGGCACUAGAUCAAACAAUCUCCCUAGUGAAGUAAAUGAGUCAUGUUUCGCUUUCCUAUGCCCUCAAUAUGUUUCCCAAAGAGCUCUUUAACUAUAAGAGUCUUAGGUAAACAAAUCCCCAAGGUUUUUCCUCGGAUUCAAUUUUUUACUACAUCCAUUUUUUGUCAAACACUCCAGUCUCCCUUAAUGUGUUUUGUCCCUAUGUGGUUUCUUUUAGGCUUAGUUAUAUUCACAUUGUUAUAGUGUCAUAGCUUUUCCAUACCUUAUAUUUGGCCAUCCAUAGUGAAGUUAGCAGUGUAACCCUGCUUGACACUUAUGCAUACUAUGAACCCACCGUUUAGGACAAAACACAGUCCGAUGUCGAUUUCCUCAAAUCCCAACAUGAUUGGAAGUUUAAAUCAGUGUAUCCGAUGGGAGUAAGAUCUCAUCUGAAAUACACAAGCAUAUAAUCCCUCGUUCUUCAUAAAUACUUGAUCAUAUGCUUAAUUGCUUGCUAAUGUCUGGGUCCUAGAUUCGUGUGACAUUGACUUACCAACCUUACUGCAAAACAAAUAUUUGGACAUGUGCAUAACAUAGCAUACAUGAGACUUCCUACUGCUGAAGCAUAAGGAACCUUUCUAAUGUUCUCUCUUUCUUUCGUUGUUUUAGGAUAAUCCUCUAAAGAGAGAUGAAAUCUUGAUACGGAGGGUUGAUUUCCCUUAUUUGAUUCGAUUAUUGCAUAACGCUCCAAUAUAUUGUUUAUGUGUAAAGCUUGAGACGGUGCUAUCACUUUAUUCUUUUGAUCCCUUAAGGUUCGGAUACCUAGAACAAAAUUAGCUUCUCCCAAGUCCUUUAUGCUAAACUGUUAGCUAGGUUAACCACAUUUUAAUCGAUGACAAUGUCCUUACAUCAUUCACUAUGAGUAGAAUAUCAUCGAAAUAUAGAACUAAAAGACCACAUUUCCAUCCCCUAAAUGUUCAUAAACACAAGGUUCAUUUACAUUUUGCUCAAAUUCAAAAGUCUUGAACGCUUGAUUAAAUUUUUGAUUCCAUAAGCGAGACAUUUGGUUAAGUCUAUAUAUGGAUCUAAGCAAUUUGCAAACUUUAUACUCGUUUCCUUUAGUUAUAUAUCCAGUAGGUUGCAUUAUGUAGAUGCUCUCUUCAAGAUAGUUGUUCAAAAACGCUGUCUUGACAUCUAUUUGCUAGAUCUCCUAAUUUUUUUAGUCUUGACUUCUAUUUCCUUUAGUCUUUUUUUUUGUUUCUCCUAAUUUUAAAUUAAUGCACAAUAAAAUUAUAUUUUUAACUUUUAAAAAUGAAAAAAAGUAACUCUUUUAAAAACGUUGAAAUACGAUAAAUUUGCACGCUAAUCUCUCAAAAAUUUAUAAUUUAACUUCAACCCGUUAAACAAUGGUUUGAAUUCACCCUUGAAGUUAGCUCAAUUUGUUUAGUAUUUAUUAACAUUCCGGUAAAUAUUAGGCUGAAAUUUCACCAAUUAUCCCAUUUAAUCUAACAAAUACAUUUAUGUUCAAUGUAAAUACAUUAAAUUAAUUUAUGACUUUUUUUUUCUUCUAAAAACUUUUUGGAUGAAAAAUCAAAAUCUGUUUUUUAGAAAUUAAAUAAUUGUAUAUAAAUAAUGACGAAAAUAUCAUAUCGGAUGAAUCCAAUGAUUUGUUUUUGAGGAAGAUCAAUCAAUUCAAUUGAUUUAAUCCAAUACUUAUAAUCUAUCAUACAAUUAUCUAUUCCUAUAUUUAUAUUUAUAUUUAUAUUUAUAAAAUUACGGGUUUAAAAAUAUUUUUAACUAAUAAAAAUUAUAUUUAUUGUUUAUUAUAUUAUUAUAAUGAAAUUAGAAUAAUAAUAUUAUUAUAUUUUAAUUCUUAAAAAAAUAUAUUUCAUUAAAGCAAAAAUUAUACUAUAUAACCAUGUUAAAUUAAACCUUCACAUAUUUAAAUUAUUCAAUAUUGAGUUAUAUAUUUACUGAUAUUUCAAUAAAAUAAAACUCAUAAUUGCCACUAUAAAAUAAAUGUAUUAUCAUUUUAAAUUCUAAGUAUUUUCAUUCAAUUAGCCUCGAGAUUAUUCUAGUUUAAAUCUUAUUGUUUUAGGCAAUAAGAUCUUAAGAACUUUGAGAUUCUAUAUUCAAAUUUUAGUCUAUGUAAAUCAUAUGUGGGUUCUCAAUUAAGAUUUUAUUUUAAUUUAAAUUUUACUGUGUGAGGGUACUAUGUAGAUUUUUAAAGACUAAUUUUUUCAAAGAUCAUGAUUGUUGUUCCCAACAGUUUUAUUUUCGAGGUUGGUUUUAAAUUAUAAUUGCAUGGUUAUGGACGGAUUGUAGGGGGUGAUAGAAUAGAAAUCUAGUGGUUGGAGUAAAAUUAAGCGUCCUAAUCUCACCAAGAAAAAAAAGGGGGAUUUGGUAGAGGAGAUAAUUGUGAUUGAAAUGAAAUUGUGGACGUUGACUACUGUUGCAUUUAAUUUGGAUGGGUUGAUGAGAAUCUACUUUAAUGGAGUUUAAAUAUUUCAACAAAAUCAUUGGAAUGAAGUGUGUAUGACUUGGUUUCUCUCCUCAAAUUGUUUACGUAAAAGGACCGCACCAAGUCCAUCAAUCUAUUUCUGUUUGAAUACACAUAAUUAAUCUUAGAGUAGGUAUACAUCGACUUUUGCUAAAUUUGUUAGUUUAUGUAAUUAAUUUAUGUGCUUGGAAUUAUGUCCCUCCAUGCAUCACAUGAAGAUAAAAUCUUUGUAUUAUGGUAGAGAUUAAAUUUUUUAGUUUAAACGUGUGAAUUCUUUAAGAAAAUUCAAAGGGCUUUGAAGGAGAAACACUAUUGAUAUCUUUGCUUGCUUCCUCCUUUCCAUAAAGGGUUUACUUUCUUGUAUCUUUAAUGUCUUAAAUUUUGUUGUCAGUAUCUAAAGUUUGGACUACUUGAUAAUAUUAGUUCUUUCAUGAGUAGAUAGUUUAAGCUUUUUUUUUUUUAUCCUAGUGUACUUUGAAAUACGCCUAAACUCUUUAGAGUUAACUUCAUUGAAAACCACAUUAAGAACUUUGGAGUUUGCAUUUACUAGUUUACCUUCAUCACUUGCAUUUACUAGUUUACCUUCAUCACCAGUCUAUGUAACUUCUUGUUUUAGUGUCUUCACACUAGCAACAUCUGUUGUUGGAGGUUCCCAACCAGUCAAGAUUGGAUGUCUAGCUUUCUCAUUCAUCAACUUAAUGAAUGCUCUCAUAUUUGCCUUCCAGUAGGCAUAAUUCAUGCCAUCCAACAUUGGAGGUCUUGAUAUUGAUGUGUCUUCAUUUCUAUAGCAAAUCAAUGGGAGGAUCUUCAUUUAAUGUGUCAACUGUCUAUGUUUUAUACCUACUGAGAAUUCUUUGAUUUUUCCUUUUAGAUGCAUGUUCAAUUAUAACCGAAUUUACAACUAACAAUAUAAUAAUAAUAUAGUUUGAAAAUUUUCUAUGUUUAUAGAGCUUUAAUUAGAGAGUAAUUUGUUAUAAAUAUUAUUGUAAAAGACACUAUUUAAGUUUAACUUACUCGUCAAAUUAUAAUCUUCUCUUUUAAACAAUGUACAACAAUCUCCCACUAAAACUUUCGCAUUAAUUUGUAAAUUUUCUUUAUCGAGUAGCUUAAAAUUUUCAUAAAUCUUUGAGAAAAGGAAAUUUGAUAAAAUUUCAUUAGUCUAAACGUGGUAAAAAAACCGAUCAAGAAACUGCUGUUAAUAAACUAAUAAUCAUAGCAAAUUGAAAUUAAGUUGCAGAAGAAAGACCUCAUAUCUAUGGUGAACUUUUACCAACCAUUUUUAUUUUCCCCUUUUACUUCAAUAUAUAUACCCUUCUUUUUUUUUCUUGUUUACUGUGUAAUGGUUUGAAAUGCAAUCUAAGGAUAAGUAAAGAAGAAAUUUAGGCAAGUUAUUAUUAUUAUUUUUGAUAUUCUUUAUGUGUAUUUUAGGGUUUAUGUUCUAAAUUUAAAAUGAUCUCUUUCAAUAAUAUCAUUUUCAAAGUUUAAACUUGCAUUCUUUUUUUAAAAAUACAAUCUACCUUACCACAAUCCCCAUAUUUAUUCAUCAAAUUAUUAUUUCAAUAAAAUUUUAAACAAUUUUUUUUUAUAAUAUAUAACAUUUCGAAAGAAUGAUAAAGGACAUAUGGAAUUCAUACAUUUGUCAGCUUACUUUAUGAAAUUUAAUAGUGCAAACAAAUCAUUUUUCUUAAAGAAUUUUUCCAUCAAUAAAGAAAUUAUAUUAUUAUAAUAUAAGUUAAUAGUGAUAGUAGGAAUUACCGUAAAGUAAUAAAAAAGAAAAAUAAAAAUAUGUAAAUUUUACGUGGAAAACUCUUAUCAAGAAAAUUCACAGACAGAAGAAGAGAAAUUCACUAAUGUUGAAAAACAAUACAAGAGGCUUUUUGCUACACCUGUUUUAAGGGUUAAACAACACUUUUAUAAUCAACGUCUAAUAGAAGAAGUAUAGUCCUAUACGGAUUCAACUUGUGCGGCAAGGCUCUCGGUCCUUCGCCCCGCAUAUCCCUAAAUUUAGCUCUCUAUUUUAUUUUUUUAACAAGUGAGUUAUACCUCAAACUUUUCAAAUUAGAGUUCAAGUCACACAACUCUAAGAUAUAUUAAUUGCUUUAAUUCGUGUCAACAAAAUUAAAGGUUGUUGCUUUCUACUGCAAAUUCUAUAAUGGAGUUUCCUGUACAUGAAAUUCAAAGGGGUACCUAAAAUUUUAAUUCCAUAUUUUUAAGGUUUUCUUCAUAAUAAAGUUAUCCCCUAGGCCCCCAAGUUUUGUUAAAUUUUUAAAUGCAUAGGAGUUGACUCCUCUGCACCAUUUUUUGGAACUGCUAUAAUCUACUAAUAUUCUUGGUAAUCAUUAGCCAACUUUCUUCACAUUACGUUAACAUAUAUUAAUUUUUAUUGUUUCUCAGGUGUCCAGAGGGGUCUUCUUGUGUUAAUCAUAAAACCCCAUAUCUUCAUUAAUUUAAAAAAUGUAAAUUAAUAUAUAACAAUCAAACCUGAAAGAUUGCUUACUAGUUUUCAGGCAUUGAAAGUGCAAUAAGAGGAAAAAAUGAAAUCCCACUAGGGUUUUAUAUAUAUAAAUGUGUUACCUAAUGGUAGCAACUAGCGAGAACAAAACAAGCACUAGUUCAUUAUGUAGAAACUUUUAAUUAAACUGGUUCAUUAAUGGGAAUUGGAAGUAGAUUAUGUGUGGAGAAUUAAUGCUUUGUUUUGCAAAAGGAAAAAAAUAAUAAUAAUGGUGAAGCGUUGGAGUUGGAAAUACAGACAUGUGUAUCAUGAAUUGACCUCAUGAAUACCAUGGCAGACAGCCUAAGAACAUUGAAUUGAGAAAAAGGGGGAAAAACAAAAAGAAAACAAAAGGAAAACUGGAGUGUAGAAUUCACUAAGAAGAAUAUACAAAUGAUGAUUAUUUGUUUUUUUUUUAAUAAUCUUUAUAUUUAUUUUACCAUUAAUAGUUAUGAUAUGUACUGUUUCUUUCAAUAAUAUUAUUUUUAAUAUUCGAACUUAUAUUUAUAAUAUUAUUUACAGAUACACCCAAUACAUAGAAGAAAGUAAAGGGGGUUGACAAUUUUCUGACUUUAUCCCUCACCCCAAACUUGUUUUUCUGAUUAGCGUUUUAAAUCUUGAUGUGUGAAAAGGAGAGUAUAAUUCAACGUAGGUUUAAUCAAUUGGAGAUGACUAGAGUCACUUGUUUCGUUGAUAACGCAUGCCCUACUUUGCUUUAUAAACUAAAUCAUGGUUCCAAAGAAAAAAAAAAGAAUUGUAUAUAUGAAAGAAAAUCCAAGUUUGAAAAUGGGAAAGAAAACAAAUAGUAAAUACAAAGAUUUCAAUAAUAUAAUAAAAACAUCCCUAAAUUUUGUCUCCGUCUAAUUCCUUCCCAAAAAUUAUAUUUUGUAUGUAAAUCAAAUUUCCAUAGCAAGUUAUCAUUACAUUGGAUUUUAUUUUUAUUAUUAUAUCGGCUCCUUUUAACACAAUGUCUAGAAUUAUUCAUACUCCAUUUCUAACUUAUAAAUAGGAGGAUAAUGUGAUUCAGUAUACUCGAAUGCACGUACUUUUGCAUUGAUAACAAUACUCACACUAAUCAAAUUAAGACUUAGUCAGAUCUCAUUUUCUUUUAUUCCUACUAUAAGAAAAUUUACAUUUAAAACAUAUCAAUAGUUGACAUUGUUGUGAGAUUGGUGCGUAUACCUCCAUUAUAAAAUAUAUGUAACAAUUUUGAUAAUUUAAAAGUGAAUUUUAGUUAUAUACACUUGUUUAUGUGAUUCAAAGAUUUAUUGUAUUUAUUCUAGUAAAAAUAUUAUUAUUUUUAUAUUAAUUAAAUAAAAAAUUUCUACUAUUUUAAAAAUAAUAAAUUCAUUAAUUUUUAUUUAAGUGAUAUUAAUGUUAUAACAUUAUCACAAUAUAUUUUAAAAUUUUAUAUGAAAACUAUAGAUAUAUUAAAACAUAUAUUUUAUUAGUGUAUGACAUUUGUUAACGUUUUAUAUAUUAACAUACAUUUACCUUGCAUUCAAAUAUUUUAUGACAAAAGGUUCUUUUCUAAAAUUGUUAAUUUUUUAAAAGCAUUUAGAAUUAAAAAUAAUUAAUUUCUUAGGAGAUUAAAUAAUAUGUGACAUAUUUUUUAGUAGAAUUAAAAUAGAUAUGGUUUAUUAAAUAAAAAAAGAAUAAAAAAUUUAUAUAAUUAUAGAGAUUGUUUUAAACAAUACAAUAGAAAAGUUUUAAAAAUUUAACAUUAGUUUUUUCUAUGAAAAAUAGUUUAUAAUUUAUAGUUGUGUCUAAACAAUUGCUAUAUAACAUUGUAUUUUAAAAUUUCACAUUUUCUUUUGAAAAAUGAAAAUAUGAUGAUUUAUUUUUCUUUAUUAAAAAUAGAAUAACAGGCAAUAGAAUAUUCAAAUUUGUUUAAUUAUUUUUUAAUAUGUUUGAUAUUGUUUAAAAAUUUAUUUACCCUUUUUUUUUGCCCACAACAUUAUUUAAUUGUCUAAAUAUGCUUUAGUAUCCGAUUACAGUAUUAUAAUAGUUAUCAAAUACGGUCUUGCAACUACAUUUUAAUUGUGUUGAAAAAUUGGAUAUUUUGGAAGCUUUGAGGCAUAUUCUCAAUUAGUAAAUAAGGAGAUCUGAAUCAUAAAACUAUGGUUUUAUAUUUUACUUUAUGAGAUCUUUACAACAGCAUAUCAUAUGCUCAAAAUGAUUGAGUGAUGAAUGAGAAAUUAAUCUCAAAGUAAGUCACUUGUGAAUUAUGUUGAGGAAAAUGAAAAUUUUAAUUAGUCCCACGUUUGUUAAAAAUCAAGAGUGGAAUAUGUUUAUAUAUGUGAACCAACUUGGUGUGUAACACCCCAAACCCAGCCUAGGUGCCAAGACCAAGUCUGAAGAGUUACAUUGGCAUUAUUAGAAACCCACAUUUAUAUAUACAAUAAAAGUAAGCCAUUCAACACAUUAGAACAAUCAUAAUAAUCAACCAAUCAUUUAACCAUCUUAAAAAAAGUCAUAAUACUAGAGAUUACUGAAAUUACUAAUAAUAUAAUUAAAGGGUAUAGAUUUAAUGUAUCAGUUAUAUGGUAGAACAAUUCCAGUUCAGAUACAGAACAGAUCAAAAACAGAUGUAGUUGUAUGAUCAGAAUAUUAGAUAACACUUAUACGGUCUAAUUCAGAUUAUAUAUAUACACUACGGAUGACCUACAUUUGCGUUAACAACGCCUUACCGCACCAGAGAUGAAUUCCAAACUUGACCUACACGCUCAUGUCUUUGGCCCGUAUGAUCCUUAUCUUGUACUCAGUGAGAUACAUGGCCUAACACACGGGUGCUGGUAAGAUCCUCACCUAAAAAGGAAACCAAUUGAGUACUUAAAUAAAGAAUUCGAGUAAAACAAACAGAAAUCUUAUUUUGACAAAAUAAAUGAUAACAACAUGAAAACUCGCAAAGACAGAAGGAAUUAACUAAGAACUUACACAAUAACCGUACAAUCGAUGCAAUAAUGAAGAACUCCCAAUUAACCAAGUAUCAAUUAUGGAAACAAGAAAAAAGAAAAAAAAAAGAAAAAAGGAAAGAAAACAAAAAGAAACAAUGGAAAUUAGUUUUAAAAGAAACUAAGCUAACCACCAACCAGAUUCCCAGCAAUUAGAAAAAAUAUCCCCUAUCGCACACUCCGAGCCUCGAACACAGGACCAAACAGAAUACAGAUACUUAACCAGUGAACCAGCAGGCUCAUUUUUGACACAGGUUUACAUUGAAUUAAACUUAAUUAUGUAAUUUCGAGAUUGAGGUUGCUUAGAAUAAAAUAGUAAAAUUCCAAAUAUGCGACUUGAAGUACUGACGUCGAUUGCAUAAGCAAAGUACAAAACCACAGAUACAGAGACUCAAUUACAACAGAAUCCAACACUCAAGCAUUUAAAUUUUUGGGGCUUUACAUCUCUCUCCCUCUGAAAGAAAUUUCAGCCUCAAAAUUUACCUAACUCAAACAGAUAUGGGUACUGCUGUCGAAUCAAAUCUUUGGGUUCCCGGUGGCUUCCUCAAUGCCAUCAUUCCAUCACAAAACUUUAACUAAAGGAACAGUUUUCCUUCGCAAUAUUUUGACAUCUUGAUCUAGGAUCUAAAUAGGCUCCUAUUCAAAAGUCAAAUUCGAUAGCAACUCAAUCUUAUCAAUAAGGACAAUGUGCGACGGGUUAGACCGAUACUGUCUUAACAUCGAGAUGCGAAACACAUCGUAGAUCUGAUCCAAUUUAGUGGGCAAGUCUAGCUGGUAAGCAACAAAUCUGACACGUUUCAGGAUACGAUAAGGUCCAAUGAACCUCGAGCUUAACUUGCCAUUGCAUCCAAAUCGAAUGACCUUUUUCCACGGUGACACUUUUAGGAACACUUAUUCACCUACAGAAAACUCAAUAUCCUUUCUCUUUAAAUUGACAUAAGAUUUUUGUCGAUUAGAAGCUGUUUUAAGAUGAUCAUGAAUCAACUUGAUAGUAUUCUUAGUUUCAUAAACUAGAUCGGGACCUAAAACCCAAUGUUCACUUAACUCAGUCUAACACAGAGGAGUAAGACACUUACAACCAUGCAGAGCCUCGUAAGGUGCCAUCUGAAUACUCGACUGAAAGUUGUUAUUGUACGCAAACUCAGCCAAUGGUAAGUAGUCUUACCAAAUACCCCGAAAAUCUAUUACACAACCCCAAAGCAUAUCCUCAGGAUCGAAAUGACUCGCUCAAACUAUCCUUCGGACUGAGGAUGAUACAUAGCACUGAAAUCCAAUUGGGUACGUAAAGCCUUAUGAAGCUUCUUCCAAAACUGAGACAUGAAAUGCAGAUCUUUAUCCGAGAUAAUCGAGAAUGAAACCCCAUGUAACUUCAUGAUUUCAGUAAUAUACAACUUAGCAAGUUUCUGCAGUGAGUAAUCCGUCCUGAUAGGGAUGAAAUUAGUAGACUUGGUCAAUCUAUAACAGCCCGAUUUAGACCCUAGUUGGAACGGUGGUUUCAGGACCACGAAUCUGAGUUAGAAAAAUAUUUUAAAUUAUUUUAUGUGUUUAAUAUGUGUGAAUUUGUGUGUGUGAAAUUUUUGUGAGUUAAUUUUAUCGUUUAGGUGCCAGAUUAAAUAAAAGGACCUAAUCGCGUAAAAUGAAAAUUUGAUGGUUAAUUAUAAAAGGGCCAAAAUGAAUGUGUCUUUAUAAAAGGAAGUGUUUAUGAUGCAAUUAUGCCAUUGGUUUUAUAUUUGGACGGCAAUGGACAUAAUAUAAGUGAUAAUAUAAUGUUUUAAUUAAGGUUAUAUAUGUAAAUUAAAUGCUAAGUUAUAUAAUAUCUGUAAUAGACCCAUUUCUCCCAGGCCCAUAAAAUCAUCCAAAAAUAAAUAAAAUAAAUUAAAACAAAAAAAGCAAUAAAUAAAAGUCCAUUACACUAGCAUUCUAAAAUAGCCCAAAGCCAAAUUAAAUAAAAUAGUCUAGUCCAUUUACAUAGCAGCCCAAAUCACAUUUACACUUAUAGUCCAAUAAACAAACAAUAAACCCAAAUCCCCAAUUAACCUUAGCCUAUUCACAAACAAAAUUAACAGCCCAAGAAUACAAAAUUACAGUGGCCCAGUAACGAAAGCAAGCCCAACGGCCCAAAAUUUUCCAAAAAACAGAAACACUAGGUUCCCCUUUUUGCUAAGCGCUGCAGUGGCCACAACGGCCUUUACACUCCACAUCGACAUGCCCGCGAACGACUCUUACCUCUGUACAUUCACGUCACAGAACCUGCAAGAAGAAACAAAAAAACAGUACCACAGAAAAUAGGCCAGCAAAUGUAUAGAUCGAGGAUUUCUAUUCCUCUUUAUAUAUUUUUAUUUUAUUUUUUAUUCUAGAAAAUCGGCUAUAAAGAAGCCGAAGGUAAUCUGUAAAUGUUUACGCACACAGAUCAAUAGAAUCAAGAAAUAAAAAUAGUAUUUGCUAAAGGUGAUUUUCAUUUUUCUUUUCUUUUCGGGUUUUUUUUAUGUUGUUUUCAUUCUUUUUUUUUAUUCACUUUGAUACGAAUCUAAAGAAGGGAAAGAGGAGGGACUUACCUGAUUCCCCAGGGUUACAUCGGCGGAAGAUCCUUCUCCACCGUCGUAAUCGACCCUAAAAAGGGUAUUAAGCCCUACGUCCGUUUGAUUUAUCGGGUUUCGAGGGCUUAGCCUUUAAUGGCGCAUCAAGGCGGGGCUAAAAAGCCUAUUUUCGCAAUGUCGGCCACAACGGCGAUAGGGCAAACCGCCAGCCGAACCCACUCAACGGAAGAGAAGAUAUUGAGAGUUUUUUUAAAAAAGAAGGUUUUAAGUUUUAGAGAAUAAUCGGCUGAAUGAAUAUUUUAGGGUUUUUUUAGCAUAUAAACAAGAAAAAAAUGCCGCCAUUUUAAAGAGUAUUAUCGGAGGCCAAAACGACACCGUUUUGAACCUCCGACCCGAUGACCUGACCUAAACAUAACCAGGAUUCGCGUGUUUUGGUCUGUGAGGGAAUUUGCAUGAUUGGUCCCUCCCUUUCGCGCAGUCAUUUGAUUGAGCCCCAUUUCUAUUUCUUUUGUAUUUCCUUAUUUUUCCCUGAAAUUUGUGUGCCAUUUCAAGUUAGUCUGCGCCUAAACGAUGCAUUCAGGGAUUUGGUUCAUUUGCAUUUUUAUUCCUCUUUGGUUUGCACGUGUCGUAUUUUGGUCCUCCAUGCUGUUUUAAUCGUUUUAUUUAUUUGUAAAUUGUUCCUUUGAUUUUAUUUUUAUUUCAACAGAGUAUUUUUUUUAAUUUUUCCCUUUCUUUUGUAAUUUGUUUUAUUUUCUUUAAAGAUUUAUUUAUUAUUCAUUUCUAUCUUGAAUCAUUUUCCUGAUUUUGCAUUAUUCUAUCUUAUUAUUUUAUACUUGUUUAUAUACAUAUUUUUUUUUAAAAAAGAGAUGGUGUUAUUUUAUAAUUUAUCCAUUUUAAAAUUCUCUUCUAUAUAAUUCUGUGUUUUAAAGGUUUAUAUGAUGUUUAUUUUCAUACAUUACUAUUUUAUACAUACGUACAUAAUUUAUAUUAAAUUACUUAUUCAAAUCCCCUUUCAAACCUAUUUAUAUAUUUUUUCUUUUAAAAUCUAUUUAUGUAUAUAGUUUGUUUUCUAAGGACCCAAUUUUAAAUUAUAUAUAUAUAUAUAUAUUUAUUUCAAAUACUUUCUUAUAUUAUUAUUCUCUUAUAUAUAUCUAUAUACAUUAUUUAUAUUAAAAUUUUCACCUUAUGUAUAUUAUUAAUUGUUGAUUAAUAAACCUUGUUUCAAAUUAUUUUGUAGGAUCAUUGAUUUCAUAUUAUAUAGUUUGUUAUUCAUAUCUUUGUAUAUUUUUUAUAUGGUUGUAUUUAUAUAAUUCAUUUAUGAUAAGACUUUUUAAUAUGUACAUUAUUUGGUUAUAAAUUUUAAUAUGGGCAUACGUCAUGGUUUUUAUGUACAUAAUUUAUAAUAUAUUUUUGUAACACCCCCUACCCGUAUUCCGAGCCUAGAAUAGAGUACGAAGCAUUACCGAACUUAAUAUGAACAAUCAUGUAAAAAUCAGCCACAAAAUUUCUUCUAAAUUAAAAACUUUCAUACAUAUGUUUAACGUCCCUUAUAUGGGCCUACGGGGCCCAAAACAUACAUUCAGGGUGGUUCGGGACCAAACCGUAAACAUAUGAAACUUUUGCAACACUUAGAAAAUUUUCACACUUUGGAGAGUCACACGCCCGUGUUUUCAACCCGUGUAACUCUCUGUUUAUAACUUCAUCACCCUUAUCAGUCGUACACUUCAUAUAAAUAACAAGAAACGUGUAUGGGCUCAAUUCUCAUUAAAAUUCUCAUAUAUAUACACAAUUUCACGUUAUGUAAUCAUACAACAUAUAUCAGCCAUAUCUCUUUAAUCUAAAUAUAUUUUCAUAAAAACUUAUCUUGAUUUCAUACUAUUUCAUAUUUAAGCUUAAAUAACUAAAGUAUUUGAAAUAUCAUCUUUAUGCAAAUAGUACACAUGAGGUAUAUAAUUCCAUAAUUAUGAAUAAACACAUUUAUCAAACAUUUUCCAUAUUCAUAUAUAAAUGUCUCAUGUCUCCAUAUAUCAAUAACUGUCAUUUUCAUGAAUUCUGAGUUCAAUUUCAUAAUUAUUUGUCUCGUGUUCAAUUUAUUCCAUGUCAGAACUUUAUUCAUUAAAACAUUUGAAUUAUCAAUACAUAUGGACAGUACAUUCAAGAUGAACAAUUAUAUAAUCACAAAUGAAUUCAUUUAUCAACCAAGUUCUAUACUCAUAUCUUAUCAACUCGUACUUCCUUGUAUCACAUAAAUCCAUGUAACACUUACCAGAAUUUGUCAAAUUAGUGAACGUCUUACGGAUUUGAAUACUUCGUUUUCUCGAUGCCAUAGUUCAGCUAUGGUCUUACACAUCUUCACAUAAUGAUGCCAUAGCCCAGCUAUGGUCUUACACAUAUUCAUAUAUCGAUGUCAUAGCCCAGCUAUGGUCUUACACGUAAUCACAUAUCACAUAUCGAUGCCAUAGCCCAGCUAUGGUCUUACACGAAUCACAUAUCUCACUGAUGCCAUAUCCCAGAUAUGGUCUUAUCUAGUAGCAUAUAUCACACCGAUGCCAUAUCCCAGAUAUGGUCUUAUACGGAAAACACUUGUCACUUGUAGCAGAAGCUACCACUAUUCAUUGAUCAGGUAGCCGGAGCUACCACUUUUCACUGAUCAGGUAGCCGAAGCUACCACUUUUCACUUGUCAUUUGUCCUUGAUCAGAUAAGUGUAGCCGAACCUAUCACUUAUCACUUUCACUUGUCUUUGAUCAGAUAAGUGUAGCCGAAACUAUCACUUAUCACUUGUUGCCAUGGUCCAACCAUGGUCUUUUCCUUCAAUUCAUCUUGUUACUGAACUGAAAUGCUCAAUUUGAUCAUUUAUUCAAUUUUCAUGCUUUUACAUUAUUCACGAUUUUAUCAUCAAUACAUAUGAAAUAACACAUCAUGAAAUUCAUAAAAUUAACAAAUAAUCACUAAAAUUUAGCCAUAUAAACUCACAAGUUCAAUUUUUGUAUUAUAACGAUAAUCAUAAUUUCAUAAUAAAUAUUCCAACUAAAACAUUAUAUCAUUUCUAAUCCAACACUUAUCGAUUAUAAUCGGGCAUGUGAUCAAUUUAUACAUGAUUCAGUCAUAUAUUUUUCCUCCUCCUCCUCUCCAUCCACAUCCUUGGUAUAAAUAACACACUUGUAAGUAACCUUAUCCAUAAUUUUCACUAAUUACUUAUGUGAAUAUUCAAGCUAUCCACCCGUGUCAUGGUCACUAAAUUAUUUAUAUCUGAAGUUACGGAACUCCAAAUUUAGAUCCACUAAUUUUCCCUGAAACUAGACUCACAUAUCUUCUUACCAUAAAAAUUUCAUAAUUUUGGUUGGGCCAAUUAAUACAGUUUAUUCAUUGAAGUCUCCCCUGUUCUGCUGUCUCACAGUUCUGACCCUUCUUCACUAAAAAUUAAUUAUCUCAUCGUACAGGAUUCGAACGAUGUUCCCGUUUGUUUCUAUUGAAAAUAAACUCAUUCAAGAUUCUAAACAUAUAAAUUUAAGCCCCUAAUUAUUUUUAUCCAAUUUUUUAUGAUUUUAAAAAUUCAGAACAGGGGAACCCAAAAUCAUUCUGAACUUGUCUCACAAAAUUUAUCACAUCUCAUGAUUUACAAUUCCAUUGCUUACAUCAUUUCUUCUACAAUAAGCUAGGCUCAAUAAGCUUUAAUUUCAUAUUUUAUUCAUCCUCUAAUUCCAUUUUUAAAAGUUUUGGUGAUUUUUCAAAGUUAGACUACUGCUGCUGUCCAAAACAGUUUUAGUGCAAAAUGUUGAUUUCCAUUUUGCCCCAAAUUUCACAAUUCAUACAAUUCAGUCCUUACUCAAUUAACCCCUCAAUUAAGAUAAUUUUCUCAAUUAAUACUUUUUCUAGACAUUAUAAGUUAUUUAAUAACUAUUGAAAUUCAGAAUUUCCAUAUAAAACUCUAACUUCAAACUCUUUUACAAUUAGGUCCCAAACAUUCACUUUCUAUUCAAUUCUUUCAAUAAAAUCAGCAUAUUAACAAUUUAAAGCUCUAAUUCCAUGCCAAAUCAUCAUAUAAUUACAGCAUAUAUUCAUAGCAACUUUCAAUUUCUUUCAUAUAAUCAAAAACUAAUGAAUUCAACAAGUGGACCUAGUUGUAAAAGUCACAAAAACACAAAAGUUUAAAAAAAUAAUCAAGAAUUGAACUUAAUUGAAGUAAAAAUAUGAAAAACCAGCUUAACGGAACUCUUCCAUGGUGUUUUUGCUGAUGAGAAUGCAGAAAAAUAAAGAGAAAUCUAGAUAAUUCCACUUUAGUCCUAGCUUUAUUAAGUAAAUUUUACAAUUUUCCAAUUUUUCCCUUAAUUCUCCUUAUUUUCUUGCUGAUUUCAUGCCCUUGCCGUCCAGCGCAAAGAGACCUUGGGUCUAUUUUCAUUUUAAACCCUCUUUAUUUUAUCAUUUAAGCUAUUUAAUCAUUUUCCACAAUUUUGCAUUUGAUACAAUUUAGUCCUUUUUGUUCAAUUAACUAUCAGAACUUUAAAAUUUCUUGACGAAACUUUAAUAAUAACUUAUUAACACUCCAUAAAUAUUUAUAAAAAUAUUUAUGGCUCGAUUUAAAAUUCUCGAGGUCUCGAUACCUCGUUUUCGAUUCUAAUUAUUUUAAAAUUUAUUUUUAGUACACUAUUCACAAUUUCAAAAUUUUUCCUAACUUCACAUUUAACUUAUACUCACUAAAUUAAUAAUAUUUCCUACUCAUUUGUUGGAUUUAGUGAUCUCGAAUCACUGUUUCGACACCACUAAAAAUUAGGUUAUUACAACUCUCCUCCCAUUUAGGGAUUUUCGUCCCCGAAAAUCUUAUCAGAAGAAGUUACUUUCAAUACUCAUGAAACACUUUUACUAACUUCUCAGAAUUACAAUUCAGUUUAACCUCGAAUAUUAUUUAUUAUUUUUUUCUAGUCACCUUUGAACUCUAGAAUAAAUGUUGGAACUUAUUGUUAAAAUUCUAAAUUACCCUAGUAGGAACACAUAUACUUAGCUGAUCUAUCAAAUAAAAAUUCUGUACCUAUUGAAAUGAUCAUACAGAUCUUUCUUUGUCAAAUGAUUAACCAUAAACUAAAUAACAUUUUUCUUUCUGAUGUUAAUGACAAUCCCAAUUCGAAAUCUAUAGCCAUUUUAUCUCAUAUCACACUAGAAUUACAAUUCAGUUUAACCUCGGAUAUUAUUUUUUUUUCCAGUCACCUUUGAACUUUAGAAUAAAUGUUGGAACUUAUUGUUAAAAUUCUAAAUUACCCUAUUAGGAACACAUAUACUUAGCUGAUCUAUCAAAUAAAAAUUCUGUACCUAUUGAAAUGAUCAUACAGAUCUUUCUUUGUCAAAUGAUUAACCAUAAACAAAAUAACUUUUUCCUUUCUGAUGUUAAUGACAAUCCCAAUUCGAAAUCUAUAGCCAUUUUAUCUCAUAUCACACUAGUAUUAUCACUGACUGCAAUAAUCCUGAAUACUCUUGAUGUUCGGCUUACUUGCUAACAAAUAGACAUUUGAACUUGAACUCAAAAAUAUUAUGUAAUGCUCUUGCAAUCACUAGCACAUCUAACACACAAGAAGAUAAUAAAGAUCUUGAUAAUUCCUCAAAGAAAGCCAGAAGAAAAACACUGUUUAUCGAUUCUGGACUUCCAUCAUAACAAAGAUAAUAUAUUUCCCGCAUGUAUAAAAUAAAAUCAUAAUCAGUAGAAACAUAAUAUUAGUCUCAUAUAAUUUUUUUUGACCAUCGACUUCAUUCCAACAUAUUAGAAUAAAAUUCCAAAGAGAUGAAGAAAUACUGAUCAUAAACUGACCAGACCAACAGGGUUUUCAUCUAACAUCAUAGUUAGCUAGCAUUCUCACAACAUAAGAACUCUAUCAAAAAUUGAACAACCACACACACAUAUAUCUGAGUAUAAAAGAAUAUAUAUAAUACCCAAAAAGGAUCAUCAUAUUCAUUUCAAUUAUAACUGUCUUACACACACAGGCAUCUUUACUACUCAAUUAUCAUUUCUCUGACUAAUUCUAUCAUUAUGAACCCUGUAUCAUUCCAUUCACUAACGAAAACCAAUUCGGGAAAAACUUCAGCAAACACAAACUUUAGACAUCAUAUCUGAAUAAGUUGAUUAGCCGAGGUUAACUUUUUCUUUAACCGUGACAUUACAUAAUCUGAAUGAUCUUUAAAAUAAUCUGAUAUCUUUUUCAAAACUGUAUUCACUUGUCAAACUAUUUUUAACUCCGUCUACAUUAUUAAUUAUUCAACUACUCUACUCUUUAGUUUCACACUUGUGAACUAUUCAACAUAAUUCUCGUGAAUUUUCGUUAUAAAAUACCACAUUGAUAAGGGGGUGAGGUCGUAAAGUAUCUAACUGGACUCUCAUAAAUACACGCAUAUGACUUAGCAUUUAUCAUCAACAUCAUAUCCUCACAAUUACAUAAUUCACUUCAAGCAAAUUCACAUACAUAAUUAUGUUACACGAACUUUUCAAUUAUCCUUUUCAAACAAGUGUACUUAAACAUACAUUCCAUGAAUUUUGAGUAAGUUUACUCAUAGCAUUUACUUAAUCAAACAAGUCAGGCACAUAAUAUCAUAUGAAUGUCAUACAAACAUAGAUGCGUUCAUCACAAGAUAAACUUCCAUUUCAUUUCACUUUUCCCAUAUUUCUCGAUUUAUAACUAUUUCAUUUCGUACCUCAUCACAUCCAUAUCAUGAACUCUUCUUCAUACCUUUCCAAGUUUCGACUCAUCAUAAACACAUUCUUACUCAGACACCUUAGUGUCACUUUCAACACUUUAUGAAAUAGCUCGAUUGAAAAGUAUUUCUGUCUAUAUGUAAAAUAAAGAUUAGAUCGGAUCAUACACAUCACAAUAUCACAGAUUUAUAUGGCAUGUAUUUCUAGACACUUAACACAUCUCAUUCGUUCCGAGAAUCGACUAAACUGAAGCUCUGAUACCAAUAAAUGUAACACCCCCUACCCGUAUUCUAAGCCUAGAAUAGGGUAUGAAGUAUUACCGAACUUAAUAUGAUCAAUCAUGUAAAAAUCAGCCAUAAAAUUUCUUCUAAAUUAAAAACUUUCAUACAUAUGUUUAACGUCCCUUAUAUGGGCCUACGGGGCCCAAAACAUAAAUUCAGGGUGGUUCGGGACCAAACCGUAAACAUAUGAAACUUUUGCAACACUUAGAAAAUUUUCACACUUUGGAGAGUCACACGCCCGUGUUUUUAACCCGUGUAACUCUCUGUUUAUAACUUCAUCACCCUUAUCAGUCGUACACUUCAUAUAAAUAAUAAGAAACGUGUAUGGGCUCAAUUCUCAUUAAAAUUCUCAUAUAUAUACACAAUUUCACGUUAUGUAAUCAUACAACAUAUAUCAACCAUAUCUCUUUAAUCUAAAUAUAUUUUCAUAAAAACUUAUCUUGAUUUCAUACUAUUUCAUAUUUAAACUUAAAUAACCAAAGUAUUUGAAAUAUCAUCUUUAUGCAAAUAGUACACAUGAGGUAUAUAAUUCCAUAAUUAUGAAUAAACGCAUUUAUCAAACAUUUUCCAUAUUCAUAUAUAAAUGUCUCAUGUCUCCAUAUAUCAAUAACCGUCAUUUUCAUGAAUUCUGAGUUCAAUUUCAUAAUUAUUUGUCUCGUGUUCAAUUUAUUCCAUGUCGGAACUUUAUUCAUUAAAACAAUUGAAUUAUCAAUACAUAUGGACAGUACAUUCAAGAUGAACAAUUAUAUAAUCACAAAUGAAUUCAUUUAUCAACCAAGUUCUAUACUCAUAUCUUAUCAACUCGUACUUCUUUGUAUCACAUAAUUCCAUGUAACACUUACCAGAAUUUGUCAAAUUAGUGAACGUCUUACGGAUUUGAAUACUUCAUGUUCUCGAUGCCAUAGUUCAUCUAUGGUCUUACACAUUUUCACAUAAUGAUGCCAUAGCCCAGCUAUGGUCUUAUACAUAUUCAUAUAUCGAUGCCAUAACCCAGCUAUGGUCUUACACGUAAUCACAUAUCACAUAUCGAUGCCAUAGCCCAGCUAUGGUCUUACACAAAUCACAUAUCUCACUGAUGCCAUAUCCCAAAUAUGGUCUUAUACAGUAGCAUAUAUCACACUGAUGCCAUAUCCCAGAUAUGGUCUUAUACGGAAAUCACUUGUCACUUGUAGCAGAAGCUACCACUAUUCACUGAUCAGGUAGCCGAAGCUACCACUUUUCACUCAUCAGGUAGCCGAAGCUACCACUUUUCACUUGUCAUUUGUCCUUGAUCAGAUAAGUGUAGCCGAAGCUAUCACUUAUCACUUUCACUUGUCUUUGAUUAGGUAAGCGUAGCCGAAGCUAUCACUUAUCACUUGUUGCCAUGGUCCAACCAUGGUCUUUUCCUUCAAUUCAUCUUAUCACUGAACUGAAAUGCUCAAUUUGAUCAUUUAUUCAAUUUUCAUGCUUUUACAUUAUUCACGAUUUUAUCAUCAAUACAUAUGAAAUAACACAUCAUGAAAUUUAUAAAAUUAGCAAAUAAUCACUAAAAUUUAGCCAUAUAAACUCACAAGUUAAAUUAUUUUUUUAUUAUAACGAUAAUCAUAAUUUCAUAAUAAAUAUUCCAAAUAAAACAUUAUAUCAUUUCUAAUCCAACACUUAUCGAUUAUAAUCGGGCAUGUGAUCAAUUUAUACACGAUCCAGUCAAAUAUUUUUCCUCCUCCUCCUCUCCAUCCACAUCCUUGGUAUAAAUAACACACUUGUAAGUAACCUUAUCCAUAAUUUUCACUAAUUACUUAUGUGAAUAUUCAAGCUAUCCACCCAUGUCAUGGUCACUAAAUUAUUUAUAUCUAAAGCUAAGGAACUCCAAAUUAAGAUCUACUAAUUUUCCCUGAAACUAGACUCACAUAUCUUCUUACCAUAAAAAUUUCAUAAUUUUGGUUGGGCCAAUUAAUACAGUUUAUUCAUUGAAGUCUCCCCUGUUCUGCUGUCUCACAGUUCUGACCCUUCUUCACUAAAAAUUAAUUAUCUCAUCGUACAGGAUUCGAACGAUGUUCCCGUUUGUUUCUAUUGAAAAUAAACUCAUUCAAGAUUCUAAACAUAUAAAUUUAAGCCCCUAAUUAUUUUUAUCCAAUUUUUUAUGAUUUUAAAAAUUCAGAACAGGGGAACCCAAAAUCAUUCUGAACUUGUCUCACAAAAUUUAUCAUAUCUCAUGAUUUACAAUUCCAUUGCUUACAUCAUUUCUUCUACAAGAAGCUAGGCUCAAUAAGCUUUAAUUUCAUAUUUUAUUCAUCCUCUAAUUCCAUUUCUAAAAGUUUUGGUGAUUUUUCAAAGUUAGACUACUGCUGCUGUCCAAAACAGUUUUAGUGCAAAAUGUUGAUUUCCAUUUUGCCCCAAAUUUCACAAUUCAUACAAUUCAGUCCUUACUCAAUUAACCCCUCAAUUAAGAUAAUUUUCUCAAUUAAUACUUUUUCUAGACAUUAUAAGUUAUUUAAUAACUAUUUAAAUUCAGAAUUUCCAUAUAAAACUCUAACUUCAAACUCUUUUACAAUUAGGUCCCAAACAUUCACUUUCUAUUCAAUUCUUUCAAUAAAAUCAGCAUAUAAACAAUUUAAAGCUCUAAUUCCAUGGAAAAUCAUCAUAUAAUUCCAGCACAUGUUCAUAGCAACUUUCAAUUUCUAUCAUAUAAUCAAAAACUAAUGAAUUCAACAAGUGAACCUAGUUGUAAAAGUCACAAAAACACAAAAAUUUUAAAAAAAUAAUCAAGAAUUGAACUUACUUGAAGUAAAAAUAUGAAAACCAGCUUAAGGGAACUCUUCCAUGGUGUUUUUGUUGAUGAGAAUGCAGAAAAAUAAAGAAAAAUCUAGAUAAUUCCAUUUUAGUCCUAGCUUUAUUAAGUAAAUUUUGCAAUUUUGCAAAUUUUCCCUUAAUUCUCUUUAUUUUCUUGCUGAUUUCAUGCCCUUGCCGUCCACCCCAAAGAGACCUUGGGUCUAUUUUCAUUUUAAACCCUCUUUCUUUUAUCAUUUAAGCUAUUUAAUCAUUUUCCACAAUUUUGCAUUUGAUACAAUUUAGUCCUUUUUGUUCAAUUAACUAUCAGAACUUUAAAAUUUCCUGACGAAACUUUAAUACUAACUUAUUACACUCCAUAAAUAUUUAUAAAAAUAUUUAUGGCUCGAUUUAAAAUUCUCGAGGUCUCGAUACCUCAUUUUCGAUUCUAAUUAUUUUAAAAUUUAUUUUUAGUACACUAUUCACUAUUUCAAAAUUUUUCCUAACUUCACAUUUAACUUAUACUCACUAAAUUAAUAAUAUUUCCUACUCAUUUUUCGGAUUUAGUGAUCUCGAAUCACUGUUUCGACACCACUAAAAAUUAGGCUGUUACAAUUUUCAUUUAAAAAUUUUGUUUUAAAUUGUUUUGUAUAGCACUAAUUUAAAAUUUUUCUUAUAAUACUUAUUUUAAAAUUUAUUUAUAUGUUAAACUUUAUAUUUUAUACAUUAUUUUUAUUUAUUUUAUGAUUCAUUUCAAAUUUUUGCAUGUCUUAUUUGUUUACAUAGAUAAAAUUUACUUUUAAAUUGUUUUUCUUUGCAUUGUCAAUUCCAAAUUUAUCUUCCUUUACAUUAUUUGUUUUAACAUUGCUCAUCACCGUUUAAAAGUUUUUCUUGUGUCAUUGUUUAAGAUAUUUUUUUAGUCCUUAUUUAGAAAUGUUAGAUAAUGUAUUAUCAUUGGAUGUGUUUUGAUUUAUAUAUUGGUAUCUUUAUAUUAUUGCCAAUAAUUUGUACAAUAUGUUAACCAUGUAUAUUUUCCAUGUUUGUUACUUUGUUAUUCAUUUUUAUGUAUUGUAUUAUGAUUGAGAUUGCCAACUUAUUUGCCUAAAACUAUUCAUUUCAUUUUCUUUACUUCAAACAAACUGAAUAAAUGUAUUUCAAAUUCGUUUUUAUCAUUACUCGUAUUAAAAAAUUUCUCACAACAAGGUAAUAUUUCGUAUUUGGAAAUUCGAGAAAUAGUGCCCUAAUGUGUUGGGUUUCGAUUUUCUGUUUGACCAAAUAACUAAAUAUCCUUUCAAAAUUUCAACCAUGUUUUCUUAACUUCAAAACAAGGCAAUAUUUCGCAUUUGGAAAUUCAAGAAAUCGUGCCCUAACGUGAUGGGUUUUGAUUUCUUUUUGUUUGACCAAAUAGCCAAAUAUAUUUUUGAUUGCAUGUUUUAGAAAUCAUAAGUUGAUUUCGGGUUUGAAGGUUUAAAAUGUCGUAUCCUAACGUACUAGAUAUGGUAUUUUGUCCCUUCAGAACGAGUGAAUCUUAAAUUCGAAAUUAUCCAAAUAUUUUUAAAAGAAAUUAUAUAUCAAAAUCUUUUCAAAUCUUGACAUAAGGACAUUAUUUAAUCAAUUAGGUACCAAUUUUGGGCGUAACGAGGGUGCUAAUCCUUCCUCAUACGUAACCGGCUCCCGAACCCAUUUCUUGAAUUUCAUAAGCCAAAAUUAAUAUUUUGAUAAAAUAAAAUGUUUUAUUAGGUGAUUCGAUCACACCUAAACAAAAAAAGGAUUGGUGGCGACUCCAUAUUUCGUUUUAAAGUCGAUCCCCAUUUUUUCAAAAUUUAAAAAUGGUUUUGAUAGCUUGGCGACUCCACUGGGGACCAAUAAGAAAGUCAAGCCGUAAAAUUGAUUAUUUUCUGUCCUUUUGUCGAAAAAUUAAAAAUUUGAUUUGAAAAUCAUGAUUCUUUUGUUGCAUUUGUUUGUAUGAUGUGGUUUGAGUCUUGUAGAAUACUCUUGCAUUGCAUUGCAUGACCGUUGUGGUUACACCUUUAAGUGGUAGUGAGAAGCUAUGCCUUCGUGAGGUUUUCACUUUCGCAUGAGCUAGUUGAUUGCUUCUGAGAUACAUCCGUGCCUAUGUCUUUGUGAGAUUUUCAUCUCUGCACGGUCAUAGGGAAAUGUAUUCUCCUGAACUAAACUCGAUCCAUAUGAGCCUAUAAUGGGUGAGAAUUGAGGAAUCUACUGGUUCGGGUACCUUUUUCUUUAGAACUGAACCUCAUAUAGUGACCCUAGGAACUCUCCCGAGGCAGAGUUAUGCUAAAUCCUAGCAGUUACCCAAAUAGGUGUUUAAUUAUUUCUUAUUUUCUUUGAGUUUUAUUAUUUGAUACAGACUUGCGUGUUUUGCUUUGGCUAUUUUUGCAUGACAUUGCUUAUUUAAAGAGGUGUCGAUUCGUGUUCGGUUACUAAGUUAGAAGGCUUACCAUGGAGAAUGAAUUUCUUGAUAAAGUCAAGGAUAAUGUGGCUGUCUGUAUAUGGUCAAAGAAGUUACAAUUAGAAAAAGGGGAUAGUCUGGCUGAGGGAUAUACAUCAGAGUUUUGGGACUUCACCCGUAUCAGUGUGACACAAAGUGAGCUGUAGGAAUUGAGAGACAUAUGGGCCCAUUGAGAUGAGGGGCCUAAGCAAUUGUUCUACCACAAUUAUGGCGAUAUACCUUACUUGCUCGAUAUCAAGGUAGACAAGCAUUUGUUUCGUGCUAUGGCUCAGUUUUAGAACCCUGCCUAUAGAUGUUUCACUUUCGGGAAGGUGGAUUUGGUGCCCACUAUGGAAGAGUAUACUACCUUGCUGCGUUGUCCAAAGAUUCAAGUCAGUAAAGCCUACUUUAGGGCUGCUAAUGCCCCAACUUUUGUGAAGAAGUUAUUGAAUAUUACCGGGAUGAGUGAGCCCUGGGUUACGGCCUGAAUUCAGCAAAAAGGGGAUGGUAAAUGUAUUCCUUAGGUGAAUUUGAGAGACUUGGUCUUAGCACAUCCAGAUGUAAAGAAGAAAGUUGACAUCUUCGCCUUGAGUAUUUAUGGUUUGGUGAUUUUCCCUAAAGCUUUAAGGCAUAUAGAUGAAGCAGUCACUGAUUUAUUUGAUCGACUUGAUAAAAGAGUCACACCUGUACCUGCAAUUCUAGCAGAGACAUUCAGAUUUUUGAGCAUGUGUCGGAGGGCAGGCGAAGGCAGAUUUAUUGGAUGCGCGCAGCUAUUAUUGGUAUGGUUUCAUAGACAUUUCUGGAAGGUGGACAAGGUCUCUUAUCGGGUUUUCUCUGAGAGUUACUCCCCAUUAAAGGAGGAAGCAGCUACACAAAGGAGAGACGACAUUUUAGAAGAAAGGUGGAUGGCAAUUCUUCAAAAUCUCAAAGAGGAGGAUGUUGAAUGGAGAGCCUCUUGGAUGGUUCCCGACGAGAUCCUUUAUUGGUGUGGGUAUUUUGAUUGGGUACAUUUGCUUGGAAUUUGGGGAGCAAUUGGAUAUGCCCCUUUGCUUGUAUUAAGGCAGUAUAAGUCGAGGCGGUUUAUACCGGCGACUUACGGGCUUGCUCAAUGUGAGUUCUCAUAUAAGGGGGACAAUUAUAAGAAAAAGGUUCGAGAGAUUUUUGAUGGUUGGAAGCAAACUCGCUCGAUGAAGAGGUUGGCUAUUGGUUCAAUGACGACGCCUGAAUAUAACGGAUGGUUUAGCAUAAGGAUUAAUGAUAAUAUUCCUGGGUCAAGUUUAGAAGGCACUCGAUCAAUAGAGGAAUACUUGCAAGUUGUUCGAUCAGAGUUAGAGAUCAUAAGACAAGACUUUGAAAAGAAGAGUUUCGAGCUUGGGAAGAGGAUUGAGUAGUUGGAGGAAGAAAAAAUGAAUUUGAGAUUGGACAUGGAUGUUCAAAAGUCAGAGGUUGAGAAGUUAAGAAAGGGGAAAAAUAAGCUGAGGAGGAUCUGGAUAGUUUGAAGACAAAUUAUAAGAAGCUACGUCUAUCGAUGAGGAAUGCUGGGUUAGGAAAAAUUUUAGAGCAGCGUCGUCAGGAGAUUCGAGAGGAAAAGACUAAAGUUGAUCGACGGGAAAGGAAAUUUCAGGAGGCUCAAGAGCGAAAUGAGGCUCUAGAGAAAAGUCUGUCAGAAAGCCGAAAUCAACAAGGUGAAUUAAAGGCUAGAGUAGCGAAACUUGAGAAAUUUUUUUAUCAGUAUCGAAAUCGUAAUUUUGCGAUGGAGUUGAGAGAAAGUUUAAGUAAGAUGAGGAAAUGAAAGGAAAAAUAGAAGAAUUGGAGGCGGUAUUACAGAACUGUGAAAUGCGGAUUGAGUUCUUCGAAGCAAGUGAAGAGCGUUGGAAGGAGCAGCUUCUCCACUCGCAAAAGCAAGUCAGAAAUAGGGAUUACAUUAUGAGAGAAGCCGUAACUCAGAUUCGGGAGGUAGCUGAUCACUUGCAGACUUUGGUGGUACAGGCAGAUAUAUAUAGUGUAAAGUAUGAGUUGGAGUUAGACUGGGGGUAUGAGCUAGCUUCACUGCCUAGGAAAAUUAAAGCUUUGAGCAUUAGGGCAAAGCCUUAUUUGUAACUCAUUUUUAUGUAAAGAAUUUUGUUUUCUAGUAAAGUUUUCUAAAUGUAAUUGAAUAUGAAUCGACACCUUUUUUGCAUUCAUUUCAUGCAUUUGCAUUACAUUACAUCAUAUGCAUUAAAGUCCAUCAAAAGAUCCUAAUUACUUAAAAAUUAUUUCAGUAAUCAAGAAACCAGCAAAAACUUACCAAGUACGCAUCCCUAAACUACAAGGAAAAAGACUAAAUCAAUGGAAAAAAAACUAGAAAAAUUGGAGCAAAUUCAAAAAGAGAUGCAAGAACAAAUGCAAGCACAGAGCAAGAGCAGCUAGCUAGGAUCCAGCAAUAGAUGAGGGACCAAAUGAUGGAGUCCCAAAGAAACAUGAUGGCUUAAUUGACCCAACUGCUGGCAGGGGGAUGGGCAAAGGGAAAGGCAGCAUGGAUAAUGUUGGAGAAAAUAAUGAAGACCCUCAAUAUCCUUCUGGUUUUACUCUAACACAUGCACAGGCACAACAAAAGAUAAACCCACGAAGACCAUCUGUUACGAUUAGGCCUCAACAGUUUCAGGUCGGGGCUUUGAUACCAAUGAAUUUUCAUGCUAGCUCAGGUUUUAACCUUGAUAAUAACUCAAAUAAUCUAGUUAUUCCUGAUUUGGAUUAAGUUACGGAAGAGGAAAGAGCAAGGACAGAAUCAUAAAAACAAUUAGAGGAACUGUGUAAAUGGUUAGAGGAAAAGUUUAGGGCAAUGGAAAAUGCUGAUAGCAUCAUGGAAUCAAUGCUAAAGAUCUGAGUUUGGUCUCAGACUUAGUACUUCCAUACAAGUUCAAAAUGCCAGAAUUUGAGAAGUACAACGGGACGAGCUACCCUGAAGCUCAUAUUACCAUGUUCUGCAGAAGAAUGACUGGGUAUGUUAACAACGAUCAACUACUGAUCCAUUGCUUCCAAGAUAGUUUGGUGAGAGCUGCAUCUAAAUGGUACAAUCAGUUGAGUCCUAGUAGGAUUAGUUCAUGGAGAGAUCUAGCACAAGAAUUUAUAAAGUAGUACAGGCAUGUAACAGAUAUGACUCCUGACAGGAUUACUUUGCAAAAUAUGGAGAAAAAGCCGAACGAAAGUUUCAAACAAUAUGCGCAGAGAUAGAGUGAAGUGGCUAUCCAGGUUCAGCCACCGCUCUUGGAGAAAAAAACCAUGAUGCUCUUUAUUAAUACUCUAAAUGCCCCGUUCAUCACUCACAUGUUGGGAAGUGCCACAAAAAGUUUUUCAGAUGUGGUAAUGACUGAAGAAAUGACUGAGAAUGCAAUAAGAAGCGGAAGAAUAGAGGCAGGGGAGAAUUCCAAAAGGUCAGCCUUGCGAAAAAAGGAAAACGAGGUGAAUAAUGCAAAGAUGGGGUGCUCAAAAUCUGUUACUGUAAGCCAACAAAAAGUGAUGGCUGCUGGUCAGGGCUUAUUAAGACAAGAAUCCAGAGCAAAGCAAAAUGUUGAGAAACCCUAAUUUACGCCAAUCCCAAUAACAUAUAAGGAGUUAUAUCUAAGUUUGUUUGAUGUGCAUAUGGUGGCACUUUUUUAUUUAAAGCAUUAUAGCCCCCAUACCCUAAAGAGUACGACGCAGGGAUCACAGGGCAUUCGAUAGAAAACUGCAUUACUUUUAAGAAGUUAGUUGAAAGAUUUAUUCAAAUGGGUAUUGUGAAGUUCGAUAAUGCACCCAAUGUAGAAAAUCUGUUACCUAAUCAUACAGAUAGUGGGGUAAACGCUAUAGAUGGAAGUAUGGAGAGAAUGAUCAAGGCAAAUAUUACAAAAGUAAAAACUCAUUUGAAAUGGGUCUAGAAGGAGAUGGCAAAAAGUGGGUUAGUUAUUUCGAGUCCAGAAGGAAGUUGUGACGAGAUAAAGAACUGCUGUGAGUUCCAUCAUAAAGAGAGACAUGAAAUUCAAGAAUGUGAGGAGUUCAGAGUUUUGAGUCAGGGCUUGAUGGACAACAAAUAGAUAGAAUUUUGCGAAGAAGCUAAAGAGGAAGGGAGUAUAUAUGCGUCAGAAGCAACAACGAAGGUCCUAGAAGUUAAUUAUCCUGUAGUUUUUGUUUUGCAUCCUAAAAAUAAAGCGAGGAUUCAAAUGGCACGAAAAUCAUAAUUCAGAAACCAGUAGUUUUCUCUUACAAUGAUAACAAAAGGGUCCCUUGGAAUUAUGAUUGUAAUGUGACAGUCCCGAGAAAGGAGAGUUCAGCCAGCACUUUAAAUAAGGAUCAAAAUAUAGGUUUUCACAAGCGUAGUGGAAGACCCUAUGAUUUGAUAAAUGCCCAAACAGAACCUGUAAUAAGAAAAGCUCCGAUAGUGGAACAAAAGAAGGGAAAAACAACCGAACCUGAGUUGCCUGUUAAUAAACCAGUAAAAGAGGAGGAAGCUAAGGAAUUCCUGAAAUUUCUAAAGCACAGUGAGUAUAGUGUGAUGGAGCAGUUGCAUAAACAACUGGCUUGCAUAUCUAUACUAGCUUUGCUCCUAAGUUCAGAGGUACACCGAAGUACAUUGAUGAAAGUGCUAAAUGAAACGUAUGUGACUGAUGAUAUCUCUGUCAAUAAACUGGAUCUUUUGGUUAAUAACAUAAGUGCUGAUAAUUUCAUCUUCUUCAACAAUGAUGAAAUACCACCAGGGGGUAUGGGGUCUACUAAAGCUCUACAUAUUAUUACCAGAUGUAAAAAAUACACGUUGCCAGGAGUCUUGAUAGAUAAUAGGUCGGCACUGAAUGUAUUACCCUUGUCUACGUUAAAUAGAUUACCUGUGGACAGCUCGUACAUGAAGGGACGUCAGAAUAUAGUGCGGGCAUUUGAUUGCACAGAAAGGAGAGUUAUGGAGAGAAUAGAAAUACCUUUGUUGAUUGGCCAAACUACAUAUGAGGUGGACUUCUUAGUGAUGGAUAUUAAGCCCUCUUACAACUUCUUGUUAGGAAGACCUUGGAUACAUUUGGCUAGGGCAGUGCCUUCGUCGCUACAUCUGAAGUUAAAGCUAGUAUCAGAAGGUCGGAUGGUAACGAUAAAUGCCGAAGAAUAUAUUAUUGCAGCUGUAAGCAGUGAUGUACCAUAUUUGGAGACAGAUGACGAAGCAAUCGAAUGUUCUUUUUGGUCUUUGGAGUUUGUAAAUGCAACAUUCAUCACUAAAAGGAGCAAGAUUUCGAUGCCAAAAAUAUCCAAAACUACGAGGAUGGGUUUACAGUUGAUGGUAGGAAGGGGAGCUUUACGAGGAAAGGGACUUGGGAGAUGUCUCCAGGAAAAAGUUAAGGUUCCAAUGCUGAAAGGAAAAUAUGACCUCUUUGGUUUGAGGUUCAAGCCAGACACAAGACAAAGAAAAAGGGAAUUUGAAAAAAGGCAGGAAAAAAGAAGGGCACGUUUGAGUGGUGAAGAAAUCAAGUGGGAACCCAUGAUAAUCCCUCACAUAUCCAAGACUUUCGUAUCGGGGGGAUUAUUCAUCCUGAACGAAGGACGCCAAAGAGAAAAGACAUUGAAGAAAUGUUGGGAAAUGUUCACAUCAAUGCCAUAUUUGAAGAAGCAACUGAAAGGGGGACUUUGUUAGAUAUUCGUCCUUAUGAACCUGGAAGUGUUCUAGACAAUUGUAUUGCAGAAGGCACUCCUGUAGUUUUUAGAGCUUACUAAGAGUAAUGUUCAAAACAAACUUGUUGCUUUAAGCCUAGAGGCAAUAAGGAUUUCUUUGUGAAAUAGGCUCUUGUUCAAACAUCAUUAUUUCAAUGAAGUACAUUUUUGCUAUCAUUUUGAGCAAAUAUUCUUUCAUUCUUUCCACAAUUAAUUAUUUUAUUCUUUCCAUUUGAGUAAUUAUCUUAGACCUUUUUGGACUUUCUUCAAUCAUUCUUUCAUUUCAUUCAUAAUCAUACCAUACAGAUAAUAAUUCUUAAAUUCAUUCAUUUUUUGUAUAUUUUUGUACCUAUAAUAUGUCCCUGGAUAUCAAUGUCAUGAGUGAUGCUGUUACUGACUCAGAAUCACUUUUUGAGCAAGACAUGUGUUUAGAAGGAUCCAAGGACUUUGAAGAUGACAAAGAUUGUGACUUAUCUCCGGACUUGUUAAGGAUGGUAGAAUAAGAGGAAAAGUAAAUUCUACUUCAUAAAGAGACAGUGGAUGUGGUGACUUUAGAAGAAGGAAAAGUUGUAAAAAUUGGAAAGUGCAUAACUGAAGAAACAAAACGAGACCUUGUUGGGUUGCUUCAAGAAUUUAAAAAUGUCUUCGCAUGGUCAUACCAGGAUAUGCCUGGGUUAAGUACUGAUAUUGUAGUACAUCUCCUUCUCAUAAAAGAAGAUUGCAAGCCAUUUCAGUAGAAACUUCGAAAGAUGAGGCUAGACAUUGUGCUAAAAAUAAAAGAGGAAGUCAAAAAGCAAUUUGAUGUUAGAUUCCUGCAGAUGGUCAAAUACUCAGAAUGGGUAGCCAACAUUAUGCCUGUUCCUAAGAAAUAUGGAAAAGUACGAAUGUGCAUGGAUUACAGAGACUUAAAUAAGGCUAGCCCAAAGGACAACUUCCUAUUGCCUUACAUUGUUACUCUAGUGGAUAAUACGGCUGGCUACUCGUUGUUCUCCUUCAUGGAUGGCUUCUCGAGAUAUAAUCAGAUAAAGAUGAAUCUUGAAGACAUGGGAAAGACUACUUUCAUAACCUUGUGGGGUACACUCUGUUAUAAGGUGAUGCUGUUUGGGCUGAAGAAUGAUGGAGCGACGUAUCAAAUGGCCAUGGUGACCUUGUUCCAUGAUAUAAUGCACAAAGAGAUCGAAGUUUAUGUUGACGAUAUGAUUGCCAAAUCCGAACCGAAGAGGAACACGUCUAAGUUUUGAGAAAGUGGUUCUUGAGAUUGAGAAAAUUUUAACUAAAGUUCAAUCCAACAAAAUGAACUUUUGGAGCUAGAUUGGGAAAACUGCUGGGCUUUGUGGUUAGUGAAAGGGGAAUUGAGAUUUACUCAGACAAAGUUCGGGCUAUAUAAGAAUUGCCUCCACCGCAUACUCAAAAAGAAGUUCGAGGUUUCCUUGGAAGGUUAAAUUAUAUUGCUCGGUUUAUUUCACAAUUAAUGGAGAAAUGUGACCUCAUAUUUUUUCUUCUUAAAAAACACAACCCAGGUGUAUCAAAUGAUGAAUGCCAGAAAGCUUUCGAAAAAGUUAAAAAGUACUUGUCAAGUCCUUUGGUGCUGUCACCUCCAAGUCCAGAUAGGUCAUUAAUUUUGUAUUUAGUAGUGUUUGAUAAUUCUAUGAGGUGUGUGCUUAGUCAACAUGAUGAGUCAGGAAGAAAAGAAAGGGUCAUAUAUUAUCUCAGUAAGAAAUUCACUGAGUGUGAAUCAAGAUAUUUGCCGAUUGAGAAAUUGUGUUGCGCUUUGAUUUGGACAAUUAGGAGGUUGAGGCAAUACAUGCUAUACCAUACGACUUGGCUAAUAUCGAAAUUGGAUCCUCUAAAGUAUAUGAUGGAGUCAAAUGCCUUGAAUGAAAGGAUGGCUAGAUGGCAAAUUCUGCUUUCUGAAUUUGACAUAGUUUAUGUGAGCCAAAAAGCUAAGUAAAGGAGCGCAAUAGUAGAUUUUCUGGCUAGUAGAGCUUUUGAAGAUUAUGAGCCCUUGAAUUUUGAUUUCCCCAAUGAAGAAUUAAUGUAUGUGGAAGCUACAGAAGAGGACGCUACAAAAGAUCACCCUUGGAAAUUGAACUUUGACGGAGCCUCAAAUGCUGUGGGUAAUAGAAUUGGGGCAGUCUUGGUAUCCCCAAAUGGAGAUCAUUAUCCAUUCAAAUGUAAAUUGGAUUUUGAUUACACAAAUAAUAUGUUAGAGUAUGAGGCAUGCAUCAUGGGACUCUGUGCAGCCAUAGAAUGCAAGGUUAAAGCACUGGAAGUAUAUGGGGAUUCAGCGCUAGUGAUUUACCAGCUUAAAGGUGAAUGGAAGACAAGAGACUCCAAAUUGAUCAAUUAUUGAAGGUUAGUGUUGGGGUUAAUUGAGGAGUUUGAUGAUAUUACCUUCAAUUAUCUCCCGCGAGAUGAAAACCAGAUGGCAGAUGCUUUGGCUACUUUGGCUUCCAUGAUCAAAGUGAGCGAACAAGAUGUAAAACCCAUUCAGAUGAGUAUUUGCAAGGCCCCAUCUUAUUGUCACAACAUAGAGGAAGAAAAGAGAGAUAACCACCCUUGGUAUCAGGAUAUAUUGUGACACAUAAGAAAUCGUGAGUACCCUGAUCAGGCAACUGAGAAUGAUCAAAGGACAUUGAGAAGACUAGCCUGUGAUUAUGUCUUAGAUGGGGAAAUCCUGUACAAAAGAAGAAAGGAUCAGGUACUAUUGAGAUGUGUGGAUGCUGUGGAAGCCAAAAAACUUUCAGAAGAAGUUCAUGAAGGCAUUUGUGGAAUACAUGCUAACGGUUUCACAAUGGCUAGACAAAUUAUGAAAUUUGGAUAUUACUAGUCUACCAUGGAAGGAGACUUCAUCAAUUAUGGCAAGAAGUGUCACAAAUGUCAAAUUUAUGGUGAUAAAAUUCAUGUACCUCCUUUACCUUUGCAUGUUAUGAUUUCCCCAUGGCCUUUCUCCAUGUGGGGCAUGGAUGUCAUAAGGUCAAUCUUGUCGAAGGCUUCAAAUGGGCAUCGGUUUAUUUUUGUGGUCAUUGACUAUUUCUUUAAGUGGGCAGAGGCUGCCUCAUAUGCCAAUGUGACUAAAUCGCCAGUCAGUAGAUUUUUAAAGAAAGAAAUCAUAUGUCGAUAUGGAAUGCCUGAGAGGAUCAUAUCUGACAAUGUAUUAAAUUUGAACAACAGCACGAUAGCAGAAGUCUGGAGUUAGUUCAAGAUCAGACACCAUAACUCAUCACCGUAUCGCCCAAAAAAAUGAAUGGGGCAGUGGAGGCAGCUAAUAAAAAUAUCAAGAAGAUUGUGGUAAAAAUGACUGAAACUUAUAGAGAUUGGCAUGAGAAGUUACCAUUUGCUCUCUAUGCUUAUCGAACAUUUGUCAGAACUUCUACUCGGGCAACACCUUUCUCAUUGGUCUAUGGAAUGGAGGCAGUUUUGCCCAUCGAGGUAGAGAUACCUUUCCUCCGAGUUUUGUCAGAACUAAAGCUAGAAGAAGCAGAAUGGAUACAGUCUCGAUAUGAUCAGUUGAACUUACUUGAGGAAAAAAGGCUAAGGGCAAUCAAGCAUGGUCAGAUGUAUCAAAAACGAAUGAUGCGGGCUUAGGAUAAAAAGGUUCACCCAAGAGAAUUUCAUGAGGGAGAUCUAGUUUUGAAAAAGAUCCUUCCUAUACAAAAGGAUUUCAGAGGGAAAUGAAUGCCAAAUUAGGAGCGGCUUUACAUGGUGAAGAAAGCUUUCUCCAGAGGAGUAUUAAUUCUGGCUGAAAUGGAUGGGAAAAAACUUGCACAAGUAUUAAUUCUGGCUAAAAUGGAUGGGAAAAACCUGCACAAUCCUGUGAAUUCAGAUUCAGUCAAGAAGUACUACACUUAAAGAGGGUAAGAGGCCAAAGUGAAAACUCGCAAAGGGCACUUUGAGACUUUCUUAAAAAAAAAGGCCCAAGGUGAAAACUCGCAAAGGGUGCUUUGAGACCAAACAAAAAAAUGAAAAUAAAAAGAUAAAAAGGAGAGGCUAAGGUGAAAAACCACAAAAGGCGGCUUGAGAUCAAAGAGGAUUUGAGUUGAAAACCCGAAAAGGGCAGCUCAAAUUUUGAACAAAAAUGGGAAGGCGGCGAUCUUGCUAUACCUGAAUUAGCAAAGAAAAAGGGUAUGCUGCAUCUUGUGGCAUUGAAAAAGUACUUCUGAUCUUCUAAACACAUGUCAAGUUUAAAUUAGUCUUCAAGAAGUUCGUACAGCGAAACUCAGGUUGCGAUAUCAAGGUACCUAGUCUUCAUCUUGUUCGUAAUAAAUUGGCUAUCUUUGAAAUAUUUUUUUUUCUUUUUUUUUUCCUUUUUCAAGAUAUGCAUUUCCAAUAGAUUUCCAUUUUUAUCUUUGAUAAUCUAUUCAUUCGAGCAAUGUUCUAAUUCAAUUCCAUUCCUAUCCAUUGCUUUGAUUUGUUGCAAGCAUAUUGCAUUGAAAUAAUGAUUAAUGAACUAAUAAUAUUUUCACAACAGAAGUUUCGCAUAUUACUCUAGAAGCUUCUAAAUAAUACAAGAACCUGAAACCGGAAUGUUGUUUAGAACUCACCAAGCUCAAGGAAAUAUCUGAGUAGGAGGGGUUUAAAUUGAAACUGUUUUAUUGGAUUUUUGUCCAAAAUGAUGAUUAAACAAAAAGACAAUAUAUGACAUUGGUGAUACAAUGUCGACAAAAAAAUGAUUAGUAUACGAGUAGGUCAUUCUCGAGAAAAGAAAAAUGAUAUUUGGCAUUCAUGUAAAUAUCAAGUAUGCACAUCUGGUCAUAACACCUGGGGAAUGGUGUAACAGACCAAAUUGGUAGAGGAAAAUUCAGAUCCUACACCCCUGAGUGGCAAUGGAAAGUAUAGACUUUUUGUUCCAAAAGGAACAGUGGAGGGAAUUCAGAAACUGCAGCGGGGCAAGCUUGCUGAGUAGAAUGUGAUUGUUUCUUUGGGAUUUCUAUAAAAAAAAAACCAGCCGAACAAGAGGGUAGCAUAAUACGUCAGUGAUGAUGCCCUGAUGAAUAACAAGUGAUGAUACCUUAAGUGUUUAACAAAGGAUCAUUCUCAUUUAUGCAUUCAUAUAUCAUUCAUAGCACAUCUAGUUAGGAGCAUUGGGUUCAUUUUGAUCUUAGCAUCUUAACUAUUUGGCAUAAGCGUAGGUACAUGAAACCGAUCCUACAGAUCAUGUCCCUAGAGGAUGGUGUAGCAACAUCGGUGAAGUUGCAGAUCUUAUCUCCAAGAAGUAGCAAUGGAGCAGAUCAAAAAUGGUGAAUCUUAUCUUCCCGAGGUAGUAGGGGAGCAAAUUUUUGCCACCAUCCUUAUCUCUCUAAGGUAGCAAGAGAGUAGGCUGAAGAUUGUAGUCUUAUCUUCCUAAGGUAUCAAGGAAAUAGACUGAAGAUUGCAGAUUUUAUCUCCCUAAGCAGUAGUGGAGCAGAUUGAAGAUGACGAAUCUUAUCUUCACAAGGUAGCAGGGGAGCAGAUUUUAGCCACCAGCCUUUUCUCUCUGAGGUAGCAAGGGAAUAGGUUGAAGAUUGUAGUCUUAUCUUCCUGAGGUAGCAAGGAAGUAGACUGAAGAUUGUAGAUCUUAUCUCCUUAAGCAAUAGUGGAGCAGAUUGAAAAUGGAAAAUCUUAUCUUCCGGAGGGAGCAGGGGAGCAGAUUUUAGCUACCAGCCUUAUCUCUCUGAGGUAGCAAGAGAGUAGGUUGAAGAUUAUAUUCUUAUCUUUCUGAGGUAGCAAGGAAGUAGACUAGAAACUGUAGAUCUUAUCUCCCUAAACACUAGUGGAGUAGAUCGAAAAUGGCAAAUCUUAUCUUCCCGAGGUAGCAAGGGAGCAGAUUUUAGCCACCAGCCUUAUCUCUCUGAAGUAGCAAGAGAGCAGGUUGGAAAUUGUAGUCUUAUCUUCCUGAGGUAGCAAGGAAGUAAACUAAAGAUUGUAGAUCUUAUCUCUCUAGGCAGUAGUGGAGCAGAUCGAAAAUGACAAAUCUUAUCUUCCAGAGGUAGCAGGGGAGCAGAUUUUAGCUACCAGCCUUAUUUCUCUAAGUAGUGGAGCAGAUCGAACAUGGCGAAUCUUAUCUUCCCAAGGUAGUAGGGGAGCAGAUUGAAGCCACUAGCCUUGUUGAAAUCAUGAUUCUUAUCUUCUUAAAGUUCCAGUGGAGUAAAUUAAAGCACUAUUUCUUAUACCCCUGAAGACGCAGUGGGAUAGAAUGGGGCUACUUGAAGAAAAAAAGUGCUAAGAAGUUAAGAUUCAGCAAAACCAGGCAAAAUCGGUCCUUUUAAAGUCUUUGCUUCAUUCCCAUUACACGAUAAUGAGAAAAGAAGGACAGUUGUAAUAGGCCCAUUUCGCCCGGGCCUAUAAAAUUAUCCAAAAAUAAAUAAAUAAAUUAAAAUAAAAAAUAAUAAAUAAAAGUACAUUACACCAGCAUUUUAAAAUAGCCCAAAGCCAAAUUAAAUAAAAUAGUCUAUUCCAUUUACAUACCAACCCAAAUCACAUUUACACUUAUAGCCCAAUAAACAAACAAUAAAGCCAAAUCCAAAUUAACCUUAGCCUAUUCACAAACAAAAUUAACAGCCCAAGAAUACAAAAUUACAGUUGCCCAGUAACGAAAGCAGGCCCAAUGCCCCAAAAUUUUCCAAAAAAUAGAAACCCUAGGUUCCCCUUUCUACUAAGCGCCACAGUGGCCAUAGCGGCCUUCACGCUCCACGUCGACACGCCCGCGAAUGGCUCUUACCUCCGUACGUUCACAUCAUAGAACCUGCGAGAAGAAACAACAAAAACAGUACCAAUAACAGAAAAUAGGCCAGCAAAUGUAUAGAUUGGGGAUUUUUAUUCCUCUUUAUAUAUUUUUAUUUUAUUAUUUAUUCUAGAAAAUCGGCUAUAAAGAGGCCGAAGGUAAUCUGUAAAUGUUUACGCACACAGAUCAAUAGAAUCAAGAAAAAAAAUAGUAUUUGCUAAAGGUGAUUUUCA